rnacentral:lncRNA from 1 species
CUCCAAUCUUUAGAUUUGUCCUCAAAUCAACUGACAGGGGCUAUUCCACCUCAGAUAACUGCACUGACAUUUCUAGAAGUCUUAAACCUCUCGGGAAACCAUCUUAGUGGAGAGAUUCCUCAGAAAGGACAAUUCAGCACAUUCAACAAUGAUUCUUAUAUAGGAAACUCCGCAUUAUGUGGAUCACCAUUGACGAAGACAUGUGCAAACACAGCAUCACCUCCACAAGAAGUCGGAAAUGUUGAUGAAGAUGAUGCGGGUGAUGAAUUGACAUGGGAAGCAAUCUUGAUGGGAUAUGGAUGUGGACUGAUAUGUGGAUUGUCAUCUGCAUACAUUGUUCUCAAACUAGGAAAGCCUUGGUGGUUUGUGAGAUAUCUCGAAGUACUGCAACAGAAGUUGAUGAAAAGAUAUGCAUGAAGAAUGGUACUGGCCGAUCAAGACCAACUUGAAAGUUUGUUGUCCUUGUGCACAUUUCUGAACCAGUAGUGUACUUGCUGCAUAAGUAUUUGGUAUUAUGUAAUAAUCCGUUUGGUCGGGACUCAUAAUGAUUUCUCUUGCUUCAGGGGUAUUAAUAUUAACCUUGCUAUCUUGAUCAAUGUUAAAGCAAAUUAAAUGAAUGAAAAAACAAAAAGUAUGCAUCAAAUCCGCUCCUGCUGUACCAAAAUCCAUUAAAUUGCUUUGGUCUCUUACCUAACAAUUUAACAGCACACUUCCACACUGUUCAUACCUAAUUUGCGUGUAAUAUGAAAACUAAGAGGCAUGGCUUUUGUCUCUAUAAGUCUUUGAGAACUUAUUCUUCCAAGUCUUCUUCGGAGGCCUGCUGCCUCAACAACCUUUCAAAGAUGUAGCAGUUGCUCGAGAGUAACAUAUAUAUUAGAUAAAGACUAUGCAAUAAUCCACGUGACAGAAAAACCAAAGUCCAAUUAGUUUUCCAAGUUCAUAAAAAAUACUAUAGGAUCAUUAGCAUUACAUUAGUAUUCCACUAGCAUACAGCAUAUUAUAAGACAAAAGUAAGCGGAAAUAAACAUAAUUUCAAUAGAUUUAACUUACUCUUCAGAAUCGAUAAGUUUGGAACACGUUGAUUGAGCACAAGACGAAGGCCACACAUGCGCAUCAUCUGAUGCAGCUAUAUAUGGUGCCUUUACAGUUGCUCAUACAUAUAGUGAAACAAUAAGGAUCAACUCCUCCAUUGUACGUACACAUUUUCAUACAAGCUAUAAAGCAUGGUGAUAGAGUCUUUGCAAUCUCGUCAUGACCGGCACAUCCGAUUAUGAUAAACUCUAGCAGGAUCAUCCAAGUAAUAAUUUUCAUAAUGAUAUUAAUUAUCAUUGUGAAUAGUUGCAUUGAGUUAUAUAUGUGUGUGUAUAUAUAUGCAAUGGAUUUUGUGGUUGAGAAUAUCUAUUAGAUUUUGUAUAUCCAUAACAAUUAUUAAAAUUUAAACAAGAAUAUCUAUUAUUGGUUGUGGUUGACUAUUGUAGUAGUCCAAGAAAUCAAUGCAAGUGAAAUCUAUAUUAUAUUUUAAAAGAUUAUACAUGAAAUACAAAAGGUUUUUUUAGGACUGCUGUUAAAAAUUGUUAUGUUGUACGAAAAAAUGCUGAUAAAAAGAGUGUUAUACGAAAAAAUGCUGAUAAAAAAAAUGUCGUAUAAAUCAGAUAUGACAGCUUCCCACAAAAACUAAAAAAAACAGUUUUCCGUAAUAAUAUGGGAGAGGAAAAACUGUUUGUAGAUUUAUAGAACAAUUUUUCGGUAAAAAACUGUUGUUGUUUUCGAGAGUAAUGACAAACAGUGCCGAAAUCAUUUUGCAGGUAGUUAAUCUCACUUCCAUAUAAUAUACUCCUAUAUAUUACCGAAAAAACAUGAAAUGAUGCAAACCUCAUACUAUUGACAACAGCUAAACUCCUUGCAAUACUUUCAGCUGCAAAAUCCAUCAAAUUUUUUGAUUUAUCAUGUAACUGUUUGACAGAGUACUUCCAAGCCUAAGUAUCAAAAAUCACUACCUUACGAAAUAUAUCUCACCCUACCUUCUCUGCUUAACUGUUUCGAGUGCUUUUACCAAGCAUAUUUUCCAUUAAGCGUGAAAGGCACAGAAUAAUUAGGAUCACCGAAUAUCCCAUCAGUGCUGGGGAAUAUGGAACCAUCUUAUCAAUUAACUAGUUUAACAUUUCUUGCGGUCUUGAACCUCUCAGAAAACCAUCUUAUCCUAAUGUGCCGACUUCCUUUGACGGAGAAAUGGUGAUGCUGAUGCUAAUGAUAAUGAACUCAACUGGGGAGUGAUCCUUAUGGGAUACGGAUGUGGAUUGAUAUGCGGAUUUUCUUUGGGGUUUAUAUUUUGUGGUUUGUGAGAUACAUUGAAGUACUGCAGCUGGAGUUGAUCAUUAUAAAGAACAUAGGCAAGUUAAUCGCUUAUUGAAAUUAGUAAUUGUCAAAAGUAAAAUGUUGAAAUUACUUUUUUCGAUUGAAAUCAUUGAAAAAAAGUCUCUGUCGAAAUUGAUCUGCCAAAAUUAUGUUUAAUAUCUACGGCCAAGAUUAUCUGUCGAAUAUAUUUCCCGACAAUUUUAAAAGACAAAUUUUUCGCCUCUCAGCUGUGAGCGGGAACAGAUAUUUUCGACAGAAUUCCAUUGAAAUUAGCUAAUUUCAACAUAAAUUUUCUAUCGAAAUUACUUGAGUUCUUUGUAGCUUGUUUUCACAAAUACGCUGAUAGCCUUUGGGGACGGGUAUAUUGUUUUCACAAAGCCCUGGUGGUAUGUGAGAUGCUUCGAAGGACUGCAACUGAAGUCGAUAAGAACAUGCAGAAAGAAAACCGAUCCAUCUUGAUAAACUUGAAAAAUGUUGUCAUAUGGUGAUAUAUACUCCCUGGCCCCAGUCUCUUGGAAAGAACUUGGUUGAUUUUUUUUUUUCAGUAUUGUUGGAGCUGUCAUACUAGUGCUAGUGUGCCGACUAGCACUAGUAUGACAGCUCCAACAAGUAUCCAUCCCUAAUAAUUGCAGCAAAUUAAAAAAUAUAGCUAUAUCUUUUUAGCAAUGGUGCAAUUUGGAAAGCUUUCUCAUCAUCUUCUUCUUUUCUUUAUCUCAUUACUCUCAUCUAGUUCCACUGUCCUAUCUGCAACAAUUCGCGAAGGAGAAGCUCUUGUGGAAUGGAAGAACAGCCUAUCCCCGAAUUCAUUUCUUGGUUCUUGGUCACUAAUUAAUCUCACUUAUCUUUGUAAUUAAGUGGACUGGCAUUGUAUGCAACUCUGCAGGUUCAGUCAGUCAGAUUAAUCUUCAAGAACUCACACUUGCUAACCUCCGUUUCUUUUCGUUUCCAAAUCUCACCAAUCUCAACAUUACACAUAACAACUUCACUGGUCCAAUACCACCCGAGACUUUAGCUAUAGUAAUCUCAAUGGUACCCUUCCAUACCAGGUCAGCCAUCUUCAGAGGUCGGUCGUCUUAGGCCUCUAAUUUAAUCACUUGAAAGCUCUAAGCUUGUCCAAUUUUUCCCCCAUGCCUAUACUGGUUGGUCGCGGUCUUGGUGGUAAUAAGCUGGCGUCAAUUUUUCCAGAAUUCAUAUCUAAUUGCUAUAACAUGAUUAACCUUGAUCUUUCAUUUAACAUGUUAACUGGUGAUCCCUUCAACAACUUGCGAAUCUUGGAUCUCUUCGACAAUGAAUUCACUGGUUACUUGCCAAUCCAAUAUUUUAAUAAUAUGAAACCAGUUAAUACCGUGAUUGAUUAUUACAACAUAACAGUGAAUCAUGAUUAUCAAGCAUGUCUUGUUAACAUUUUGCACUCGUAUUAAUUGUCUUAUAUAUGACUAACUCAUCUUGCACUCGUAUUAAUUGUCUUAUAUAAUACUAAUAACAAAAAUAUGAGGCGGUGCUUAGUCAGAUGAUUUUAGUUGUUAAAAUAUUUUUGUGUUAUUUAUAGAUAGUGAAACAUGUCUAAUAUUUUAUCAAUUUUGUUUCGUUUCUUGAGAUUUCCAAAUAUUUAUUGGGACAUUGUACCAUGGUGUAUUUCACAUAUUCGCAAUUUUAAUUAUUUUGUAUUUUUAUUUUAAAGAUAUGAUAAAGUUUAUUUAUUUAUUUGUUUUUAUCUUAAAAGCGAUUUUCGAGUGUUGCUUAAACCUCGAAGAUUCCAAUCGAGUUUUAUUCUCGGAUCUGUUUCGGAAUUGAGCUUGGCCUUGAUUGUUUUCUGAAUAAAUCAGAUCUUUUGAAAUCAAAGGUUCGAUUGUGUUUUCCCGUCUCGCCUUUUGGCGUGUGUUGAUUUAGUACCCAAUUUUUGGGUGAUUCUGCGUUGUUAUAUUUGUGGUUGUUAUGUCUUUCUGUGUUAUCAAUGAGAAUGAUUGGGAUGGAGUUUUGGGAGAUUUGGCUUAUCGCAUCAUUACAUCUUUCGGCAUGUCUAUAGCUGGCUCCCGGCAUGUAGAUAGCUGGGGUAUGCUUGGAACGGUGGCGAUCGCAUGUGCUCACCUGUCACAAAUUAUAGUUGUUCAUUAUUCGAGGGCUCUUGUUCCUCGUUGCUUAGUUUUUACAACUGAGUCGUCUGAACACCGCAACAGCCAUGGAACUAUUGUGAAGGUCAAUUGUGAAGCUAUCAUUUUCGAGAUUGAUGUAGGCUGGAUUACUCGAGAAGCUUUUGUAUUCAUUUUCAGUUUCAAGAAUUCUUGAAUUCAGUGUGUUAAGCAGUCUGGAAACAAUGCGGCUAUUUGAUUAGCUCGUUUUAUUGUUUAUCAACCUGAUUGCAUUGUCAGUUGGGGAUUUGUCCCGAUUAAACUUGUUUUAAUAUAAUGGAAUGAAUUUGCAUUUUGUCAAAAAAAAAAAAAAAAAGCGAUUUUGAGUUGUUUGAGUUAGAUAUAUACUCCUACUGUGGUUCAACUAGUUUUGCCAUAAGUGAAUAACUUCCGGUCAAUAUUUUGAAAUUUGUCGUUAUCUUCUAAUUAAAAUAAAGGGUUAAAUAGCUACUUCAUCAUUAAUAUCGUUGAAAAUUUGCAGCUGAGUCAUGUUGUUGAAAAGACUUUCAAACUGCAUCAUUAAGUAAUUAAAAAAUUUCAAAAACACCACUCUCCGUCAGUUAUGUUAAACAAUUAACGGAAAGUUCGAAAAAAAAUAAAGAAAAGACAAAAAAACAUUAAAAAAAUUUGAAAAAAAAACCCGAAAAAAUGUGAAUAAACUAUGAUAUUUUUUUUCUUUUUUUGAAAAAUGUGAAUAAAAUCAAAAAAUCAAAAAAAAUGGGAAACCAAAAGUGGCAAGCUUUUUUUUUUUUUGUUCCUUUCAAAUUUUCUAAAAUCUGGGGAAAAAAGAACUUGCCAACUAAUUUUUUCCAAAUUUUUUCAAAUUCUUUUCAGAUUUUUGAAUUUUUUUCCAAUUUUUUCCUCACUUUUUUUCUGUUUUUUUUUGAAUUUAUUAAGAUUUUUUUUGUUUUUUCUGCUUAUUCUGAAUUUUUUAAGAUUUAUUCGCAUUUUUAAAAAAUAUUUUUGAAUUAUCCGUUAAGUAAUUAAUGGAACUGACGGAGAGUGAUGCUUUUGAAAGUUUUUAAUUACUUGAUAAUGCGUUUGAAAAUUUUUUCAACAACAUGACUCAGUUGCAAGUUUCCGGCGAGGUUAGUAAUGAAUUAGUUAUUUAACUCUUAAUAAAAAUCUAUCUAAACAAUAUUAUAAAUAUAAUGUUAUGGGUUCGAUGAGUCGUGUAAAACAUGGAAGAAGUUUAGGUGGGGUAAAAAGAGCCUAGCUGUGUGAUUUCCAUUCUGUUAUACGUGAUAUACUGUAGUUGAUCAUCUCCUUUGUCCGCUUCAUCCUGUGCAACCUUAACCUUUAAGGAAAAACUUAUGAGAUUCUCUAGUGCAUCUAAAUUCUUGUGUGAAGAAUGUGAAGAAAAAUGUUAGUCUCAGAUUAUUUUUCCUAAAAUGCUUGCAUGUUACAUUUUAUAUGUAUGUCCUGACUUUAAGUAUAAUUUAGCAUUUUUAUUUAGUAUUGUGUAAAAAUAAUAUAUUUUAUUCAGUCUUAUUAAAAAUAUAAUCAUGUUAUACUGUAAAAGUAUUUGUGAAUUUCUUUGUUACAUAUGUGUUUAAAUUAUUUUAUUUAUAUAUGUUUUACAAUUUUUUACAAAUAUAUAGGUUGAGUAUUGCAUAGGAAUAUAAUUACACGUUAGCAAAUAUGAUUAUGUGUAAACUGUUCUGCGUGCAUGUAUAUUGCUGCUAAGUUUUAAACUUCUUACUAACCGGAAUAAUUUUGACAGAUGUGUGGAACUUGAUUAAUUUAGUUGCACUAUAAGAGAAAGCGUUUUUGUCAAUAAAAAUUGUUAAGGAAAUUAGUCCGUUGGUAGUUCUCAACGGAUUUGUAACAAUUUGACUGGUCAAUGUUCUGUCAACCAAUUCGUAAUGAAAUACCCACACUUAUUUACAACGAGAUGUUCUAUUAGGAAAUAUAGCCACACAAUGGAAUAAUAACAAAAGACCAAGGAAUGAGCAACAGACUAGCAACGAAAGUAUCUGUUAUUACAUUCGUUGAUAUUCCCUUGAUAAAUACUAGACUUUUUAGCACUUUGGUGGCUUGUACUAUUUCAAAUUUGCACGUUAGUGGCCGACCUUUAAAAGUCAUCAAUUGUGUUGCUGAACUUAUUUUUUUUUAACACAUUAGGGGCUCCGCAUCAUAUCCGUUAAAUCGAAGUAACGGCGUCAAAUGAUCAAUACAUAUCUCCUCCUCCUCUUAUUUCCCUCCAAAUUAAAAAACGAAACGGCUACCCUCUUUUCCGAAGCAAGAACGACGACGAAUUCCUGCUUACAGAGAUGAGUUGGUUCCGGCGUCUUAAAGAGGAUGCUGAUGUGUAUUAGCCUCGACAGUGCCCCGAUUACUGUAGUAAGCUCUUCAACUUUUCUUCUUUGUAGCAUAUGAAAUGAGUUUAAUUGACCAUUAUUUCAGUGUUUGUUGUUGUUAGUGGCUAGUUGUUUAGUAUUAUGGACCUGCAAUUGCUUUAUACUAUUAAAAUGAAAGAUUCUGCUUGUGGGUUUUUAAAAAUUAAGGCUUUUACAUAGUCCAAGAUUCGGUCAUUAUAAAAUCAAUUUAUGCCUGUUUUAGUAUAGUGCUUGUUGUUAGUGGCUAUUUGUUAAGUAUAGUGUUGUUUAUUGUAAAUAAAACUGUUGCUUUGCACUCUACAUUUGCAGAACCUGGUGAUUUUACCCUAAAAAUAUAUCAUGGGGCCGAUUGGGUAGAUAACCCUAGGGCAUAUGUGGGAGGUACAGUAGAUUUCUUUGACUUCUGUAAUGCUGAUCAGAUCAGCAUAAUUGAGAUAUAUAGUAUGUUGAAAGAGGUUGAUGAGUUUGGGUUUCACCAACUGUGGUAUAAGCUACCUGGCACUACAUUCGAUAGAGCUUUUGUACUAAAUAAUGAUGAGGAGCUAAUGACCAUGUGUGAGCUUAUAUCUGAUGUGGAUAAGUAUAUGGAGAUUUAUGUCACCACUAUGGCACAUCUAAGUAUAGUGCCCUAUAGAGAUUUAGAGGUUGAAUUUGUUGAACCAACUCCUAAAGAAGCACCUGAAAAGAACAAUCCAUCACCUGAAAAGAUCAAUCCAGCACCUGAAAAGAUCAAUCCAGCACCUGCAAAGAUGUAUCCAGCACCUGCAAAGAGCAUUCCAACUGUGGGAAAUGAUGAUGAUCAGGAAGAGUUUGAGUUUGAUUUUGACAAUACACGGUUUUGGGAUACCACCCAAAAUGAAAUUGAAAUUGUGCAACAAGUUAGGGAAAUGGAGGGGUUGGAAGAGGAAUUUUCAGACACAGAUUCUGAUGAUGAGGAUUUUGUGCCAGAAGAAAAGGAAAGUAGUGAUGAGACCUUCCACUGUGAUAGUUCCAAUCAAGAUAAUUCUGAUGAUGAUUUGUUGUUUGAUGAUGAUUACUACCAUCCUUACCAGCAGAUGGAAACCAACAAAGAAAAAUAUACAACAACAACAACACAGCAAGAAUUUUCCAGUUCCUUGCUUGCUUCUGCGCCUCGGAUAGUUCUUCACUGUAGAAAUCCUUGUACUCAUCUUUGGCCUUAAUCAUUUCAGCAAAACAUUCAUCGUCCUUGUUCUUCAAACGCCUUAUCAGUCCAUUGAUUACACUCUUGCUGCGCGCAUCAAACUCGGGUUCAACCCACUUGAAGAAAUUGCACCUUCCAUUCACGCAAGUCAAGAAUCUUCUACCCGGAUUGUACUCCGUCCACGAUGUCUUCUCCACUGCCCAGCUUCCACACAUACAUUGUUGAUUCAUCUUUGCAGAGCUUUUUGGUUUGGAUGAGAGAUUUAGGUUUGAAUAUGCUCAAUUACACACAGCAGAAACGUAUAUAUAUACACAGCAUAUAGCCGUUGCAAAAAUAUUUUCCUGAAAUACCCCUGACGACCGUUACUUCGAUUUAAUGGAUAUGAUGCGGAGCCCCUAAUGUGUUAAAAAAAAAAUAAGUUCAGCAACACAAUUGAUGACUUUUAAAGGUCGGUCACUAACGUGCAAAUUUGAAAUAAUACAAGCCAUCAAAGUGCCAAAAAGUCUAAAUACUAACAGUUUCGUUAGUAAUUGAUUAUUAGUUUUACAUGGACAAUUGAUAUACACCACAUGAGCACAUACACGGAUACAAUGCCAGGCUCUUAGUUGAAAUGUGUGUACUGCUAAAGCUCAAGGAGAUUUAGUUGACUAAAUUGAUUUGAGUUGUAGAAAAAGGUUUAAUAAUAUAAUGGACUUUGAUAUAUGUAUUGUAGAUAUUAAGUAAUUCUCUUGAAUUUAUAUAUGUAACAUAAUUGUUAAUUGGCUCAUCCUUAACUAGAUAUUUUAUAUUACAUUCUUAACUACAGAUUUUGUAUUUAAAAUUUUUUUAAAAAAUUAACCUUUAUUUGGUAUGUGGAUUUUGUAGUCAAAUGUGGUCAAUUUACUUAGCCUUCGAUCGAAUACCUACCCAAAACAUAAAAAUAUUUUUUAAUCAUUUAUUUUCGACGAUCCAACUAUACGGAUAUUAUUGUAAUGUGAUAAUAUUGUUUACAAAUUUUUUUUAAAAAAAUUAGCCUUUUAUUUGGUAUGCGCAUUUUGUAGUCAAAUGCAAUUAAAUUACUUAGUCUUUAGUGGAAUCUUUACCCGAAACAUAAAACUUUUUUUUAAAAAAAAAUUUGGACAAUCCAACCGUACAGAUGUUAUUGUAACGUGUUAAUAUUGGUUAAAAUAAAUUUUGAGAAAAUAUGUCUUUUAUUUGGUGUGUGGAUUUUGUGGUCAAAUGCGGUCAAAUUACUUAGCAUUUAAUCGAAUACUUACCCAAAACAUGAAACUAUUUUUUUUAAAAAAUAAUUUCGGACGAUCCAACCGUACGGGGGUAUUGUAACACAAUAAUAUUGAUUAAUUUUUUUAUAGGAAAAUUAUAGCCUUUUAUUUGUUGUGUGGAUUUUGUUGUCAAAUGCAGUCAAAUUACUUAGCCUUUAAUGAAAUACUUACAUUAAACAUGAAUUUAUUUUUUUUUAAAAAUCAUUUGGAUGAUCCAAUCGUACGGAUGUUAUUAUGACAUGUUAAUUGAUUAAAAAAAUAUUUAAAAAAAAUGCCUUUUAUUUAGUAUGUGGAUUUUGUAGUAAAUGCUACUUAGCCUUUAAUCGAAUACUUACCCGAAACAUGAAACUAUUUUUCUAAAAAUCAUUUUGGACAAUCCAACCGUACGGAUGUUAUUGUAACAUGAUAAUAUUGAUUGUUUUUUUAUAUAAUAACCUUUUAUUUGGUGUGUGGAUUUUGUAGUAAAAUGCGGUCAAAUUACUUAGCUUUUAAUCGAAUACUUACCUGAAACAUGAAACUAUUUUUAAUAAAAUUAUUUUAGAUGAUCCAACCAUACAGAUGCUAUUGUAACGUGAUAAUUGAUUAUUUUUUAAAAAAAUUAGCCUUUAAUAUGGUGUAUGGAUUUUAUAGUAAAAUGAGGUCAAAUUACUUAGUCUUUAAUGGAAUAUUUAUUAGAAAUAUAUUUUAAAAAAUUAUUUUGGACGAUCCAAACUGUAUGAAUGUUAUUUUAACAUGUUAAUAUUGAUUAAAAUUGUUUUUAAAAAAAAAUUAGUUGUAUUUUAUGUGUGAAUUUUUAGUCAAAUACGAUAAAAUAUUUAUUUAGCUUGUAAUGAAAUAUUAAAACCCUACUUCAAAAGAAACUUGUCUAAAACUACCUAUAAGUGUUAGAGAAUCAUCGAUUUAGUUAUCAAAUUAGUUAUCAUAAGGGUUUUACUCCGCUUUUCUCUGGUAUGAUGUUGAUUUUUGGGGUUUGAUUGGUCGAUUUUCAUGUUUUAUAAGUUAUGUGAGUUCGAUUUUGAUGUUUUUACAAUUAGGUUUAUGUAUGUUCUUAUACAGGUUUCAUGUUCAUGUUUUGAUUUGUUGAUUUCCUAUUUUUCAUAUUUUGUUGAUUAGUUAUUUGUGUGGGUUUUGAACUUUGAUGAGUGUGUAUGUAAUCUCCUGUUUUUUUUUUUCAUUUUUCUGGUUCGAACACUUCGAUUAGUAGCUGGAAAAACAGCUGAUGCGGCAGUAGCGGCUAGUGAGAUGGAUAACAAGAAAAGGAUGAUUUCGAGGUCAUCUCGUGCAAGUCUUCAGAUAUAGUUUUGUUCCUUUAUGUUUUUAAUUGACAUAAAUUUUCACAUUUGAUGAUUAUAUUAUGGGGGAUUCUGGGUAUACUUGUAUAUAAUCUAGCAAGUUAUUAUAAUUCUGGACGGGGGGCUUAUUGUGAAAUUAAAUUGAGGGAUAAGUUGUGUUAUUGGUUCUAGUGGAUUAAAUUUAUGUUGACACUUGAUAUAUGCAUUGAUGUCGUAAAAUAAGUUGCACAUCAAACUAUUUGGCUUGUUUAAGUUGUAUGGAGUAAGGCUGUACGCGGAUCGGAUCGGUUCGGUUGGAGGGUAAUAACCAAACCAAACCGCAACUUACGGUUUUCUAAAAUCUCAAACCGCGACCAUACUGUUGGUUAAAAAAACCCAACCAAAUCCAUCCACGUAAUUGCGGUUGGUUGCGGUUCAACUGCUAAAAUAGUUAUAACAAAGAAAAUAUAUAAGUUAUUGCUUAAAAUCUUGCAUAAAGUACAGACUUUAACUCAAAAAUAUAUAAUUUAUCACUUAAAAUCUUGAAUAAAGUUAAUACAAUAAAUCUGAUUACAUAUUACAAAAGCAAACUACUCCGGAAAUAUAUAACUUGAAGCAGAGCUUCAAGUUAAUGGUUAUUAAAAAUUUCAUCCGCGACUGCCCACAUUUUACGGUUAUCCAUAAUACACGGAUCGGUUGCAGGUGGUUGUUGCGGUUAAUGCGGUGGAGCGGAUUGAACGUACAGCCCUAUGAAGUAUGGUUGCCAAGCAUUGGUUGGUUGUACACGUGUAAACAAAAUGAUAUUUUAAUAUUUAAACAAAACAAUACAGUCAUAAACAGAUCGUGUCGGGCUGGACUGAUUGUGAUUUUCCUUUUUGGAACUCGUACUCGGCAUCUUCCAAGCGAAUGAUAUUUAGAAGUUUGUUGCUAGUAUACUCCAUGUCAUAAUAAGAGUUCUUUAGAUUUUUUAUAUGUAAUUCGAAGUAUAAAAAACAUAUUUUAACAUAUUAUUUUUAAAUUUUUUAUACAUAAAAAUAUAACAUCUAUAUUUUUAUUUAGAAAAAAAUUUGAAAUAUAAUAUAUAGAUGCAUGUCUUUUUUAUACGUGAAAUUACAUGUAAAAAAUUAAAAGACUCUUAUUUUGAGUAAGAGAGAAUAUGAUGUACCAUAAAGUCAUCGAUCUUUUGUUAUCAAAUAAAUGUGAUAUUUAAUUAUUUAAGAGCAAGUCCAAAAGUAUCUUAGUUAAAGUCCUAAAUAUAAUAUAAAAUAUUACGUUCUGGUGAUUUAGGAUAUAUUUUACUAACUUGGACUCCAACAAUGUGUCUUAUUCUCAUAAGAAGUUUAAUAUUUUAUUAUUAAAGACUCUCUUUCAUCAUUAAAGCAUAAUAUAAAAGUAGAGAGAGAAAAAGAGUGUUGAUAAGAAUUAAUAAUAAAAUAUGGGAUAGGGUUAGGAGAGAUGUGCCUCAAAAAUAGGGUUUGAGGAGUUUCAUUAGGUGUGGACACGGAGACCAAGAAGUAAAAGAUGAGUACAGUUAAAUGAAGAUGUGGUAAAAUAAUGUGACCCAUUUAUAUUUAAUAAUACAUUUGAAAUAGUGGAGGAAAGUAACGAGUGUAAUAACGUUUAUAUUAUUAUAGCAUAUAGAUAGCAGAAGAAAGCAAUGGGUAUAAAAGUGUAUUAUAUUAUUAAAGUUUUGAAAUGUUUAGAAAUAAUGGGGCAAUCAAAAAGAAAACUGUAUAAAAAUGGACGAGAGAAUACAAUUCAAGAAGUAAUAUAUCUCAAUUCAAACUAGGUAAUAUAUUUAUGAAUUAUAUUAAAAAAAAUUUGACAUUCAAAUAUAAAAAUUUAUUUUAUCAUCUUAACAAUGGAAUAUUCGAUUAUUAACUUUCGUAAAUAACAUUAAUUUUUCAUUAUAAUAUACUCUAAACUUUUAUUUUAUGUGCCUGUUUGUUUACAAGAAGCUGGAGUCCUACUUCUCUUGACUCGUUUGUGUAAAAACGUAAAAAGUGCUUUUAAAAAGUACUGAGAAGGAAAUGGAAGUAGAAAAUGCUAGUUUUUCUUUAUAAUAUCUAUUUCUUUUCUAGACACUUUAAUAAUUUAUAUAUAUUAAUUUAUUUCUCACUUAUACUCCAUUUUUUUAUAGAGAACUUCUUUUAAACUAAUCGGCUCCUAUAAUCAGUAGUUUCUCAAUUUUAAUAGGAAUAAGAGCAUGUUUAUCUGAGCUUAAAGCCCGGGGUUUAUAUCAUCUCUGGCUUUAAGCUGAAAAAUGUAUGUUUGUGUAUUAAGUCGGAAGUCGGCUUAAAGUCGGAAAUAAGUCAAAAAUUGACCUAAAACCAGAAGUUAGUUUGAGAUACUUUUCUCGGUGACUAAUUUUUUUUUUAGCCAUUUUUUGAUAAAAAUUAUUCCUAAAUCACAAAUUACUCAUAAAUUACUUUUAUUAUUAUUAUUAUUAUAUUUUUAAUAACUUAUAAAUUAUUAAUAAAUCAAAAUUAAUCAAACAAAUAUUUUAAGUUCUCAUAUUAUGAGAUAACUAACGUUAAGUCAUGAAUCAACUGAACGGGAUGUAAGUCUUCUUCUCCCCGAGUCAUCAGCAGACUUUUUCCAUGUCUUCUGAGCCCCCAUUGGCUCACAAUUGGCCCAAAAAAUAUUUGGUUAUGCAUUGCUAUUCACACACUUAGACAUCAAAAUUUAUCAUCCGACAGGCGACAGCUAACUGCACACUAUUUUUCCCACAAGCUGAAAAAUCAACGAUCAAUUAAUUUUUCUUAUCAAUUAAUAAAGUUAUGAUUUCACGUACACGGCAGGCAAAAUGCUAAUAAAUAGACGAGUGCAGUAUAGUAUGGGUUCAUGAUCACCUUGAGAUUUAAUUGAAAAAUAUUAUGGUGAUAUAGAUUAAAUUAAAUUAUAAUAUCUUGAAAAGUUAUAAAUAAUUUUAAUUACUAAUAAUAUUUAUUUGUACAUUUAAAUAUUUUUAUAAAAACACAAAAAUAGCAUUAUACUCAUUUAAGUUUCUCGUAUCCGCCUCUCUUCUUGGAGAUUGUGGAUUUGCGAUAUUUAUAUUGAUUAUUAUAGGAAAAUGUUAUUUCCAGAGCAAACAUUUUUAUUUCCGGAGCAAAUUCAAACAAAUUUUUCCAAAUUGUUCUGGAAAUUAAAAUAUUGAUAUGGAUAUAACAAUUCCCUUAUUAUAUCCUAUGUAUAUUACAUUAAUGCAAUUAACAUGGUUGAUUGUUUUAGUAUAUAAUCAUAUUACUGUGACCUUUUAGUAUAUAAUUAUAUUAUUUUUGUUAUAUUUUAUGCAUCUAGAAACAAUUUUUUUAUGAUAUUUAUUAUAUUAAUUAUAGUAAAAGAUAUAAUUUUGUUUAAAAAAUUGAAUAAAACUAAGAGGGAUAGCCUACGUCUCUCCGAGUCUUCGAGGACUCAUUCCAAGUCCGAGAGGACCACAGCCUCAACCUUUAAGAGAUGUGAAAGUAGCUUGAGAGUGAUAUAAAUUUAUUUUUGACAAUAAAAUUUAAUAAUCAAAUAAAUUAAAUUAAAUUAAACUAGUUUAUAAUCGAUUAAAAAUAUAUAAAUCAAAAUUAUUCCCGAAUUAUGAUAACAAUUAAAAUCAUUUUAAAAGUUGCAUAAAUCAAAUCCAAAUCGAACAAAUUCCCCUAACACUAAAAUGUAGUUGCUUUAUUGUAGAUAAAAACAGUAUAAUAAUAGUAUUGAUGAAAAAUCAAAUUCAUCAAAUAAGUUUAUAAAAAAUACAUGAUUUUAAUUUUAAAAAAAAAACAUGAUUUUAGUGUGUUGUAUUAGUAGUGUGUCCACGCAUUUAUAUAUUAAAAUCUAUCCUCUAAAAACUAUCGAUCUAUUUACACAACUAUUGAUCUGUCGUGCAACAAAUUCCAGGGCGAAGUUCCAAAGAGAGCUUAAAUGGCUUGCAUUGCUCAAUCUAUCUCAUAAUAGUCUUAACGACAUAUGUUCUGAAUUAUUAUUAUGAUUUCAACAAUAUUUUCAAACAUUUCUUAAUAUGUAUUUUCAAAGAAUUCUCAAGCACUUGAACAUUUGGACCGGUUCUUUCGAAGCCAGGCAAUGCACAAAAAUGUCCAAAAAUGAAUAAAUUAAGAGAGAGUAGCUCACCCUUUCAAAGCCUUCCAGGACUCAUUCCAAGUCUUCGGAGGACCACUGCCUCCCCCUUUCAAAGAUGUGAUAGUAGCUCGAGAGUGAUAUAAAUUAUUUUCCCGACAUUAAAAAUAAAAAAUCAGAUUAAAUUAAUCAAUAAUAACUUAAGGAUGAAAUCCAAAUUAAUCCUAAAUUUUGAUAAUAUAUAAAAAUUAUAAUUAUAAAUUAUAUAACCAAAUCAGAAUUGAAUUAACUUACUUGGCACUAGAAUUGCUAAAGACAGUAUAAUAAUUUAAUUGAUGAAAAGUCAAAGUCUUCUAAUAAAUCCAUAAAGAAUAUGAUAAUAUGAAAAUUAUAAUUGAAAAAUCAAAAUCAAUAGUGUAUUGGAAUAGUGUUCACACACUUAUAUAUCAAAAUUUGUGGUCCAAAAACUAUAGCACAAUAUCCUAAAUACAUCACAUUAAAUAAUAGCACAAAAAUAUUCAAUAAAUAAUUGAUUUCAUUCAUAAAUUUGUUAUUUUAAAAACUAAUAAUUUGGUUGAUGUUAACCUAUAUUUUAUAUAUAAUUUCGUCUUAUUUUAUUUUACUAGAAACAAUAUUUUUAUAAUAUUUAUUACAUUAAAUAUAUUAAAAGAUAUAAUUUUAUUAAAAAAAUUGAAUAAAAUUAAAAGGAUAAGUCUCGGCCUCUCCAAGUCUACAAGACUCAUUUCAAGUCCACCGAGGGCCUCAACCAUUGAGAGAUGUGAAAGUAGCUUGAGAGUGAUAUAAAUUAAUUAAAUUAGUUAAUAAUGAAUCAAGACUAAUCAUGAAUUAUGAUAAUAAUUAAAUAAAUUAUAAAAUUAAAUUAUACAAAUAACACUAAACCUUAGUUACUUUAUUGGUAAAUAAAUAUAAUAUAAUAAUCAAAUUGAUGAAAAAUCAAAAUCAUUUAAUAAAUUCACAAAAAAUAUAUGAUCAUUAGUAUGUUAUAUUAGUAUCCACACACUUAUAUUUCAAAAUCUAUCCUCCAAACUUAUCAUCUCUGUAAACUAGCCACAUAAAAUAAAAAUUUAAAGAUAUUAGAUAUUUAGUUAUUUUCAUUAUAUAAUUUUUCCACACGAAAUAACAAAAUAUCUUUAUCAAAUUAUUAUUUAUGAGUUAAAUAUUCAAUUUAUAAAUCCAGUAUGCAGCGUAUAAAUAGAAGUGUGCAGUAUGAUAUCAGAUUCACAUAACCCAGUUGAUGAGGAGAAACAUGGCAUACUCUGCAAAGCCUUCUCACCUUCUUCUCUUUGUUUUCUUUCUCUCAUCACUUGAAUCCAUUCUUGCAACAACACGAGAGGGAGAAGCUCUUGUGAAGUGGAAGAAUAGCCUAGCCCCUUCUUCUUUUCUCGACUCUUGGUCACUCACCAAUCUCGAUAAUCUUUGUAACUGGACUGGCAUUACUUGUAACUCUGCAGGUUCAGUCUCUGAGAUUAACCUUAGUGAGAAACAACUUGAUGGAAUGCUGUCCGAGUUUGGUUUCACUUCAUUUCCAAAUCUCAACAAUCUCACCCUCGCAUACAACUUCUUCUCGGGUCCAAUACCGCCAGCCAUUGAGAAUUUAACACAGCUUCAAUACCUUGAUUUAAGCUUUAAUUAUCUCGAUGGUCCCAUUCCGUUCCAGGUUAGCCAUCUUCAGAGGUUGCUCAUCUUAAACCUGUCACAGAAUGCAUUGCAAGCUCCAAAUUGGUCCCAUUUCUCUCCCAUGCCUUUCUUGCGCAUCCUCGACCUUAAUAGCAAUCAUCUUGCGUCGAACUUCCCAGAAUUUAUAUCCAAUUCUCAUAGCUUGGCUAUCCUUGACCUUGGAUAUAACAACUUUACAGGUGACCUUGUGCGUGAAUUUACUAAUCUACAAAAUCUUGAAACCCUCUACCUAGAUGAAAAUUCUUUUGAGGGGCCAUUUCCGCCGGAUGUAUUCAGGCUUUCCAAAUUAAAACAUCUUCGCCUGUCAGGUAACAAAUUCUCAGGUUCAAUUCCCAAUGACAUAAGGUUGCUUUGUGAUCUUGAAUCCCUAUAUUUAAGCAACAAUUCCUUUAAAGGACCCCUUCCAUCAAAUAUAUUCAAGCUUUCAAAAAUAAAACAUCUUGUUCUUUGGAGUAAUAAGUUUUCUGGUUCUGUUUCCAAUGAUAUAGGUUUACUUUCUGAGCUUGAAACCCUCGAUCUUAACUCUAAUUUUUUUGAGGGGCCGCUUCCGUCAAAUAUAUUCAAGCUCUCCAAACUAAGGUAUCUUUCCCUUUGGGGUAAUAACGUUUCAGGUUCUAUUUCCAAUGAUAUAGGUUUGCUUUCUGAGCUUGAAACCCUCGAUCUUAACUCUAAUAUUUUUGUGGGGCCGCUUCCGCCAAAUUUAUUCAAGCUCUCCAAACUAAAGAUUCUUUCCCUUUAUAAAAAUAACUUUUCAGGUUUUAUUUCUAAGGAUAUAGGUUUGCUUUUUGAACUUGAAACCCUCUAUCUUGGCUCUAAUUUUUUUGAGGGGCCGCUUCCCCCACAUGUAUUUAGGCUCUCCAAAUUAAGAGAUUUGGGUCUCAGAGACAAUAGAAAUUUAUUUCAAGGAAGUAUUCCUAUUGGACUGGGACUCUUGACUAAUCUCAGGUACUUGAGUCUAUUUUCCAAUGAUCUCAGUGGCUAUAUUCCAUCUGAGAUUGGAAACCUGAAGCUACUAAAAGUUCUUGAACUCGGUUCUAAUCAAUUGACAGGACCGCUUUUAAAGAUAGUUUCUAAUCUCAAAAAUCUUAUAUAUCUUGGUGUAAGUGGUAAUAGUCUUAGUGGAAAUAUUCAGAGUGACUUGUGGAAAUAUAACGAUCAUCCAACUUUGGAAUACAUCAAUUUAAGUGGGAACCAUUUUACGGGUAUAGUUUCUCUCUAUAGAUCUUUGUCAUAUGUAACUAAGCUAGUAAUCUGAUUAUUGCCUUUUCACCAAAGUUUCAACAAUCUUGACAGGUGAGCUUCCAACAACAAUUUGCAAUGUCACAUCCCUUUUGCUUCUUGAUUUGUCAAAUAAUGAAUUAAGUGGUGCACUUCCAAACUGUUUCGGAAAUCUUGCUGAUAGAUUGCUUUACGUUAAUCUUGCUAAUAAUCAGUUUCGAGGAACAAUACCAACUACUUUCUCCAGGAGUUGUCAGCUGAAAUAUCUAAACAUGGAUAAUAAUGAGUUUGAAGGAUUGUUGCCCCCGUCUUUGGAAAACUGUAAGCACUUGAGAAUUCUUGAUAUUGGCAAUAAUAAAAUAGGUGGUACAUUUCCGUCAUGGCUUUAUGUACUUGGAGAGCUAGAAGUCCUUGUCUUGCAAUCAAAUAAACUCUAUGGUACAAUAAGUGGAAGGAGCAUAGAAGAUCCCUUCCGCAAGUUGCGGAUUGUGGAUCUGUCCAACAACCACUUCACAGGCCAUUUGCCAAUUCAAUACUUUAAGAAUAUGAAAUCAACUGAUAAUUUGUAUAGUUAUCAGCUUUCCACAGCAGUUUUUUCUUUCCAUUAUGAAGCAGCAGUCUCAUUAAUUGUGAAGGGAACAGAGUAUGAAGUAGCAAAUAACCUUCAUAUUUACACAGCCAUUGAUCUGUCGUGCAACAAAUUUCAGGGAGAAAUUCCAAAGGUUACUGGAGAGCUUAAAUGGCUGGCAUUGCUCAACUUAUCUCAUAAUAGUCUAACAGGACCUAUCCCGUCAUUGCUGAGAAAUAUGAAAGAACUCCAAUCUUUAGAUUUGUCCUCAAAUCAACUGACGGGGGCUAUUCCACCUCAGUUAACUGCGCUGACAUUUCUAGAGGUCUUAAACCUCUCGGGAAACCAUCUUAGUGGAGAGAUUCCUCAGAAAGGACAAUUCAGCACAUUCAACAAUGAUUCGUAUCUAGGAAACUCCGCUUUAUGUGGAUCACCAUUGACGAAGAAAUGUGCAAACACAGCAUCACCUCCACAAGAAGUCGGAAAUGUUGAUGAAGAUUAUGCGGGUGAUGAAUUGACAUGGGAAGCAAUCAUGAUCGGAUAUGGAUGUCGACUGAUAUGUGGAUUGUCAUCUGCAUACAUUGUUCUCAAACUAGGAAAGCCUUGGUAGUUUGUGAGAUAUGUCGAAGUACUGCAACAGAAGUUGAUGAAAAGAUGCUUGAAGAAAGGUACUGGUCGACCAAUAAGAACUUGAAAGUUGUUGUCCUGGUAGACAUUUCUGAACCAGUAGUAUUUGGUAUUAUGUGAUAUUCUGUUUGGUCCGGACUCAUAACGAUUUCGCUUGCUUCAGGAGUAUUAAUAUUAACCUUCCUAUCUUGAUCAAUGUUAAUGCAAAUUAAAAUGAAAAGGCAAAAAAUAUGCAUCAAAUCCCCUCCUGUUGUACCAAGAUUCAUUAAUUAAGAGGCAUGGCUUUUGUCUCUCCAAGUCUUCGAGAAAUUAUUCCAAGUCUUCUUUGGAGGCCUACUGCCUCAACAACCUUUCAAAGAUGUAGCAGUUGCUCGACAGUGAUAUAUAUAUUAGAUAAAGACUAUGCAACAACCAACGUGACAGAAAAAUCAAAAUAGGACAAAAUCCGUACGAAUCAAAAUAGUUUAUUUCUAAGGGGAAUAGCUGAAUUAAAUUGUAAGAGAAGUAAAACAGAUUCUUUUAUAUUUUGGAAUAUAACUGAAAAAGAUUUUGAGAUAAUUUUCAGAAAUCAAACCAGUCAAAUAAAUAUUCGCUGAAGGAACAGAGUAAAGAUACAACGAAUAUAACAAGUUGUAAGAUGAAUAUCGCUGAAUCAAACAGGGUAGAACCCGUACAAAAACGCCAAACAGAAAGGAUCAAAACAGAGUAAUCAAAUUUACCUAACACUAAUAGAAGUAGUGCUGAAUAAAAGAGAACGAAAUCUGUACCUUAAAAAUAGCAAACGCAAACACUAACCAACCUCACAAGGGACCAUCUAAACUCCCUAACCCCGACUUUAUCUUAAACUCCAAAUAUCUCCCUGACUCCAAUAUGCCCAGAACAAUAAACGAAUGUUUUGACCUUCUAAACGAUGUUUUCUGGAAUAACGCAAAACACGAAAAUCGUAGAGAACGAAAAGACCUUUCCGAAAAGGUAAGGCUCGUCAAGAACGGAGUCAUAACGAAUCGGGAAUUAAAUAAAACGUCCGCUGAUUCAGAACUCAAAGCGAGAACAGGAUCUGAUUAAGUUUUGUAAUUUUGAGAACAGUUUGAAACAUAAUCUGAGAAAACAUUAUAAACGAAAGUAUAUGAGAUUGAAAGAGCUUUCCGAAACAUCAAGAAUCAUCAAAUUCCGAUAAGAAUUGAAUUUUCUACGAAUUUUACAAGACAGCUGAUUUGUGAGAAUAAAGCCCUACGAAUUUUUGUCAUAAAAAUGAAGAGAAGGUUGAGUAGCUCUCAAAAGUAUAUAAAAAGAAUGAGAGAACAAAUCAAUAUACUCCCUUUGUCCCUCUCGUUUAUUUACAGUGUUUGACACGCAUUUUAAAGCGCAUAUAAAACAUAGUUCUAUGAUUUAUUUUCAAAAUUUUUCUUUUUUGUAUAAAAAUUUAAACAUCAAAUUUUUAUCUAGAAAAAAAGGAAGUUCAAAAUAAUUUAUUGAACUACGUUUUACGAGAGCAUUAGAAUGCGUGCCGAGCCCCCGUCCCCCAAUGUAAACAAAUGAGAGGGACGGAAGGAGUAUAUAUACAGAGUCUUGAGACCCUAAUUCUAAACCUAUCCAUUAUCUGAAUGCAAGGCUGAUCUAUAUUUUAAGUACACUAUCCUAAUUCAAUUUUAAAUCCUAUUCAUAAUCUAAUUUUAAUCCUUUAUUAUUAUUACUAACCAAUUAAUAUUAUUUUAAAAAAAUACUGGAUAUUACAUUCCUGAUCAGACUAGUGAUCGGAUUGCAACCGCAAAGCAGCCUAUAUAUAGUGACAAUUAAAUACACAACAAAACAACUUCUUUCUUCUCUCUUGGGUUAUAAUACUCAGACGGACAAGCUAUAUCUGAGGCGAUUUUCUGGGCGAUUAAACACACAAUAAAAGCAGCUUCUUCUUCUUCAAUUAAGGUUUAUUCUACACCCAAUCACAUACACACACACACUUUAAUAUGACUAGUGAGUUCAAUUUUUGGUGGUAUUAUAUGAUUAUCAUGUUCUCUUUUUAAAUAUUAGUAACGUUAUUUUCGGAGUGGACUCUGUUGAUGUUUAAAUUUGAUAUAGAUAUUGUAAUUGAAAAUUUAUGUUGAUUUGUUGUUCAGAUUUCAAGUAUUAAUUUGUGUGUGAUCAAAAUUUUGCUUCUACAUCGAUUAUCAGGAGGAAAUAUGAGGCCGAUCUUGAUCAAAGGACACGAAAGGCCAUUAACAUAUCUAAAGUAUAACAAGGAGGGUGACCUCCUCUUCUCCUGCGCAUUAGACAGAAACCCCGCUGUUUGGUACGCUGAUAAGGGAGAGCUUUUAGGCACUUACCGUGGGCACAUUGGUUCUGUUUGGGGUUGUGAUGUUUCUAGGGAUUCAAAACUUUUAAUAACUGCAAGUGCGGAUCAAACAGCAAAGGUAUGGGAUGUUCAAACUGGGUCUGAGCUGUUCACGUUUGAAUUUAAGUCCACUGUGAAAUCAGUAGAAUUUGGUGUCGGAGACAAGCUUGCUGUCAUUGCAACAGACUCCUUUCGUGACAUGUCUUCUGCAAUUCAUGUCAAACACAUAGCCAGAGAUCCUAGUGAACAGUGCGGUGAUUCUGUGAUUGAAUUCUCACCUGGAGGAAGAAUCAAUAGAGCUGUUUGGGGACCUUUAAAUAGGACCAUAAUAAGUGGUGGUGAACAAGGCGUUGUUCGUGUGUGGGACGUUGAGACAAAGAAAGUGAUUUAUGAGUCAGACAAGGAUACUGGUCAUCAGAAGGCCAUUACAUCACUUGCAAAAUCAAGAGACGGUUCACAUUUACUUACUGCUUCCAUUGACAAAUCAGCUAAGCUUUGGGACAUCAGAUCAAUGAAACUUCUCAGGACAUACAAGGCUGAAGCCCCAGUUAAUGCAGUUGCACUCUCUCCACUACUUGAUCAUGUCGUGCUCGGAGGUGGUCAAGAUGCAUCGACUGUUACAAACGAUCCUCGUGCUGGCAAGUUUGAGGCCAAAUUUUAUUCCAAGGUCCUUGAAGAAGAAAUUGGAUCUGUGAAAGGACACUUUGGUCCGAUAAAUGCAUUGGCAUUCAACCCUGAUGGAAAAAGUUUCGCAAGUGGAGGUGAAGAUGGUUAUUUGCGAUUACAUCACUUUGAUCAUGACUACUUCAACAUGGCGAUUUAAUUCGAAUUACUUACAUUGCUACGUCUUUUUUUUUUUUUUUCCGGUUUUAUUCAAGUUAUUUUCUGGUUUUUAUGUUGAUCUUAUGUUCUUUGUUAUAAAUAGAAGUGUGGUUCCUUUUAAAACUAUUUACAUAAGUUUUUGGCUUUUCAUGUAAUUUAAUCAAAGUAAAUGCCAUGAGAUCCUGAAUAUAUCUACUUAUCUAUCUAUCUACUUAUUAAAGCAGAAUCAGGGGAAAAAUAUACCAGAAAUUGGAUGAAAAAUUUACAUACACACCCUCAAUUAUUCAUCAAUUCCGAAAUUGGCCUGUAGUUUAGCUGUUAACUUGCAGGAUUUUUGUAAAAGUAGGAAUCAGCGAUUCUUAGGUACCCCAGUGACCCCGAAUCGGUUUCUCAGAUUCUUGGAAAUCCUCGGUCAGUUGAUUUAGAUUGUGGGCAUAUAUACACCUAUAGUCAGCCUCCGGCGGUGCAAUCUUUUGGUGGUGUUUUUCAGCCUUUUCUGCUAUAGCGAUUCUUGUUAAAACAUUCAGGUGCUAGGGUUGUUUUGUUGGUAAAGGGAAUUGGAUUGUUGUAUCUGCGGUUGUGGCAAAGGUAAUUUUCUUGCCCUUGCUAUUCUUUUGGGAUGUCUGAUUAUAAAUAGCCCUUCUAACUUUGUUCACCUGUUCUGUAUGAUGUGUGUCAUUUGUGAUUGAGUCGAGCAGUAUAUCAUUUUGAUGCAUAUUGUUAAUUUCACUCUGGGAAAUUUUUAUGCUGAUGUUUGGGCAAUUAAUUCUGGUUAUUUCGUUGAUUUUGUUUGUGGUUUGUUUCCACCUGCCAUUAGAACUGUAAAGUAAAGUGUAUUUAUUGAUCAUGAUUCAAGUGUUUGUAGAUAAUCGAUGUGGGUGACAAAGAAGCUGCAAAUGAUGAUGGUUCUUCACAAAUUUUAUCUGCUUUGCUUCCUUUUGUUGUGGCUCUCACCAUGGUUGUCAAGUCGACGACUGCUGUUGCUGCUCUUGCUCAGCCCUCAACUUUCACCUGGUAACAACUUUUGUAUGUUUGGUAAAAUAUUUUGAUUUUUUUUUUUUUGUAAGGGUAAAAUAUUUUGAUUGUGAUAAGCUAAUUUAUUGUUUUUUAAUGAUUCCAACACUACAACAGAUUUAGCAUCACACAACGGUUUUUGCCCGUUGUCUGAGACCACGGAAAACCGUGGUCUAUCGAGACGCCGUCUGAUAUGCGUAUCAGACAACGGUGCGCACCGUUGUGUGAUAGUGCUAAACACGAUGGUUUACGUUAAAAAAAUUGUUGUGCAACACCCAGAACCAACAACGUUUACUCUUAAACGUGGUGUUGUUAGAAACACUCCUUAACAAUAGUCGAUUUCAAAAAUGGUGUUGUUAGAGAGACUAUCCACAACAGUUUUAUUAGCUCGCAAGACUUGUUGGAAAGAUGAUCAUACAACAGUAGUUGAAAUAGAGAAGCUCGUUCUUUCCUCUCUUGUACAACGGGUUUCGAACACCAAGCCACUUGUGUAAGGCCCCUUCUAACAAUGUUUUAAUUAGUGAGGUUGUUGUGUUUAGUUACGUCAGACAAUGGUUUUCUUUCAUAGUUGGUUGUCGUUUACAUGUUUUAACAAUUGUUUCUGUUUCAUCAUUAUUGCAAGUCAUUUGUUUGGACAAUGGUUUUGUGACAAUAAAUCAUUGUUUCCAGUUUUAUGAGACAAUGUUUUUAAUGAAUAAUGAUUAUUGUAUCAUGUUCAGUAUGACAAUGGCCCUGUAUUAUCCCAUUACCUAAAUACAUAAUAGACAAUGAUUAACAUAACUCGAUUAAACUAAGCUAGAGAAUGUAAUUAAAAAGCCAAAAAUUUGUAAACAAAAAAUUUCAUUAUGCACUAAUAACCAUUGUUACAACCAAAUCAUAUAUACCAUCCAAUAUCCAGAAAUAUUUCCCCCGAGGAUGGCAAAUCUCAAAAAUAUAAAUACCUACAAUAAAUGGUAGCAUCUAGAGAGGCAUAUGUGACUACAAGAGUCUUUUGUGAGCUUUUCAACUACCCAGCCCAGGAACAAUCCUCUGAUUGCAUUCUUUUGAUUCGGAUGGAGCCCUCCUGCUAUCUCUUUUGGAAGUGACUCUACUGCAACCACCUGUAAUACAUAAAAAAGUUCUUGAUAUGCUUUUCGUACAAAGAAAUUAAUGUGGUUGAGGAGUAUGUUUCGAGUUCAAAAUAUACCAGUGUGCCAUCUUCCAUGGUUUCACGUCAUUCAUACACAAUAAAUUGUAGCAAUUGUGAGCCCUAUCAACAUACCAGUCUUUCUGUAUUUAGAGUUGGAGCAGCUAAGCCAAAAUCAGACAAAUGGGGAUUGAGUUCAUCAAGUAAAAUAUUUGCUGACUUUAAGGUACUAUUAACAACAUAAGGAACAACAUCAGCAUCUUGCUUCUAUCAUCAGUGAAGUAUAAAAACUCUUGCAAGCUACUAUUUGCAAUAUAAUCAUGGACCAGAAGACGUACCAUGUUCAGCGGAAUAUCAUUCAAAUCUCUGGCAUGGUUGUUGUGAUGGAUAAAAAUAAGUUCCUUUAUGACCUGAAUUAAACAUUAAAAGAUACCAAAUUAACCGAAAUGCGUAGAGAUGCACAAAAAGUCCAGGCCCGAAAAUAUGGUCAUAGAGAUUUAAAAAAAGUCGAAAAUAAAGACAAACCAUGUGAGUAAAAAGCAGAGUAAGGAGGAUUGAUGGUAGUGUUUGAUAUAGAUGCCAUGUGGGUAGAUCCAUAUGAGCUGCUGGAAGCAGAGAGAUUUCUUCCAAACUCUCUUACAUUAUUGACAACAUUUGUGUUAACAUAUAUGUGUUGUAUAUGAAAUUUUAAAGAUUAGAUACAUAAAUAUAAUAUUAUUCGGAAAAUAUAACAUACCAUCUCGAGUCAUUUUCUUGCUUGGUCAUUAAAAUAACCUACAGCAAGUAAUGUACCCUCACUCUAUAAGAAGAAGAUGGACAAAAAGAAGUCAGUUGUAUGGAUGCCUCGGAAUAUAUACAAGAAUGUCCCAGGGAUAUUUAUUCAGUUGAUGAAGCAUGUAUAUCUAGAAAUUAACAAACCUCAUCAGCCAAAACAAAUAUAAAAUUAAUAAAAUCAUCUGUCUCCAAACACACAGAUUAAAAUCAAAGCACAAAUGUUAUCACACAAAACCAAGACAACACAAGAUCCAUCACUAAAACACACAACUACUACUAAAAUCAAACACACAAACAAAAAUCUCAUAUAGAUUCAAACUUUAUCCCCAAAAUCAAGUAUAAUUACACAGUAAAAAGCAUUCGUUUACCUCUUCAUAAGGUGAAUUGUUGUUAAACUAAUCAGCACGGUCAACACCGGCAUCAAAAACUUGAAUGGCCUUUGGGGUUAUCGCCGACAGAACAGAUCUGAGUAAGCUUUGUAGAAAAUGAGAUAGAGACGGGGGAGGGAGGGGAGAGUUCAGAGGAGGGUGAGGGAGAGACAGAGGGCGAGAGGGAGGGGAGGGGCGAGAUGCUUUAACAAAUCAAUUGCGGCAAGAGUGGGGAAGACACAGCCGCACCAGAAGAGGAAGAGAUAGAUUCAGAAGAAGAGAGAUUUACUCUCACUUACAAAUUUUAGGUCAAAAUAGAGGGGGGGAAAUGAAAAUUUGGAUAAACAAGUAGAGAGGGAAUUGAAAAUUUUUGUAAGGUGGAAAUCAUUCGUUCAUCCCGUGUAAAUAACAAAAUCAAUGUAUUAUAAUAUCCAUAUAGUUGAAUUAUAAAUAAAUGAAUUUUUUAAAUUAUAUUUUUGUAUUUGAUUACAAAUAUUUCAUAUUAAAUAAAUUUUAAAAACAAUUUUAAUGUAGAUGUCAAUAUCUAAUUAUUUUAGUUAUUUGUGAAAAUCUUCAAAAAAUUAAAAAUUAAUCUGGUAAAUCUUUUUGACAAAAUAUAGUUGAAAUACAACUAUUUAAUAAAAAAUUAAUAAUUCUUUAAAAGUUAAAAUUCUCAUUUUCUCGAUGUAUUCCGUUUUUGUACUCUUUGUCUAAAUAAAAUAUACACAAAUUUUUAUUAUUCAUUUGUAAUAAGAAGAUAUUUGUGUGGUUCAAAUGUCAAUAUUAGUAUAAAUUUCAUAUUUACAAUAUAGGAUGUACUUAAUAGAAGUUUUGUGAUCUAUAUGAUUAACCCCGUAUUAAUUUUGAAAUAUUUUCGAUCAUCCAAACAUAUAAAGAUCUUAAUAUCUAUCAAUAUUAGUCAUGUAUAAUAUUUUUAAAUUUUUCUAUAUUUAUUUAUAUCUUGUUGUAACAAAACUAGUGAUGAUCGUUGUUUUUAUGUCAUUUCUUAUUUUUGUACUUUUUAUCAAAAAAUUAUAUUUAUAUUAUGCAUAUGUCCAAAUUUGUAUUAUUCAUUUGUAAUUGGAAGAUAAUUUUGUUGUUCGGACCUGAGUAUUACUAUGUGUUUUAUGUUCACAAUUUAGGAAGCACUAGAUAGAAUUUUUGUUAUCUACAAAAUUUGCUCUGAAUUAAUUUAUAAAUAUUUUUUUCGAUGAUAUAACCGUACGGAUGUUAAUAACUAACAAUAUUAGUCAUGCAUAAAAAAAUUAGAUUUUUUUAUGCUUAUUUUAUAUGCUUUUUUUACAAAACUAGUCAAUUGUAAAUUUUGUCUUAUUGUAAAAAGGUAAUUUUUGUCUUGUAGUGUCCAACAGACAACGGUACUUAUAGGCACGUGUGUUGUAUGAGUUAAAAUGACACAACUGUUAUGGACAUUAUACAGUCAUAACAAAAUCUAUUGUCUAAAAUAGGCUCAAACAAUGUUUCGGGAAAAACUCGUUGUGUGUAAGUAGUGUAGACAAUGGUUUCUGGGAGGCAAACCGUUGUAUAAUAAAUUUUCAUUUUUAAGAGUUAGAAAUUCACAUUUUCUUGAUUAGUUCUUGUUUUUGUACUCUUUGUCUUAACAAAUAUACUUAUAUUAUGUAUAUAUGCAAAUAUCAAUUGUCAUUUGUACUAUGAAGAUAAUUUUGUAGUUCGAACAUGAGUAUUGGUAUGUGUUUUAUAUUUACAAUUUAGAAAGUACUGAAUAGGAUCUUUGCUAUAUAUAAGAUUAGCUCCGUAUUAUUUUAUAAAUAUUGAUUUUGAUGAUCUAACCGUACGGAUGUCGAAAACUAACAAUAUUAGUCAUGUAUAAAAAAAAUCAAUUUUUUAUGUUUAUUUUGUAUGUUUUUUUUAACAAUACUAGUCAAUUGUAAAUUUUGUCUUACUGUAAAAAGGUAUUUUUUGUCAUGUAGUGUCUAACAUACAAUGGUUUUUAUAUGCACCUAUGUUGUAUAAUUGAAAAUGAUACAACUGUUACAGAAGUAUACCGUUCUAAGAAAAUCUAUUGUCUAAAUUAGGCUCAAACAACGGUUCACGGAAAAUCCGUUGUAAAAAAGUAGUGUAGACAACAGUUUAUGGGAAGGAAACCGUUGUAUAAUAAAUUUUCAUUUUUAUGAGUUAAAAAUUCGCAUUUCCUUGAUCAAUUCUUGAUCUAAUGCAAGAAAAACAUAUGACUAUCAAGAAAUUGAUUGUUUUGUUAUAACUUUGGUUAGGACUUUGAAUCUUUGCACUCUCUUAUGUACAUCCAUUUUCUUAAAAUUCAUUCAAUCAUACAACAUUUUAUUAGUUAGUAGAGGCUUGUCUAUAAUGCCAUGCUACAAUGCUAACAAAAACACUUGUAUGUUAGCUUCCCAGUCACACAACACUAUAUAAAACCCUUGUUUGAACUCCUCGUAAACAACACAACAAAUAAAACACUUGUCUAAUUACAACGACGGUUUCUUGAACUAUUGUCUGAAGUUUCUUCACACAUCGGCUCUCAAAACAGUUGUCUAACAUGCAUCAUUACACAAUACCACAGUUAAGAAACCAUUGUCUAAUUGAAUUUACUAGACAACAAUUUUUUAACCGUUGUAGGUCGUAGAUGUUAGACAAUAGUUUUUCGAGGCCGAAAAGAAAGUGUUGUGUCUUUUUUCCAAACAACGCUUUUUUCACCGUGCGUUGUCUGAUCAGUGUUGUCUAAUGGUGUUAUUGUUGUAGUGCAAGUUGGAUUUAUUUAAUGCUAAUAGGUACUUGUUCAAGUGAGGAGAUUUAACUGAGAUUCAGGUUCUGGCAUUUGUCUUGUGUUGUUAUUUGUUUAUGUACCGGUUUUGAGAGUCAUUAGAGAUAUGUAAGGUAUUUAUUCCUAUUUUUUAUUAUUAGUAUUACAUCGUUUUCGGGUAAAAUAAUCGAUGAUUGUUUGUUUUAACUGUGUAAUAGCCUUAUGAUCUGCCAACUUAUGUAGACAUGUGAUAAACAUGUUGACUGUGGUCAAUAUUUUAGAUGAGGUAGUGUGUUUGUUGUUAUUGCAAGACUUUUUGGAAUAAUCAUUGUCAAAAAGAACUAACGAUGAAUGGAAAUGAAGUUCUGAAGAAGUGAUGAUACAAUGUUAAAGAGAUUGCUUUUUGUUGAAUUUUUCUGACUCUGGAAUUAAACUGCGUUAGUAUCUUCUUCUCUGAUUUUCCUUAUUUGGUAGACCUACUACUUUCAGAAGAUACAUGUGGUAUUUGUUUGGUUGAUUAAUUUUGGUAAGAUACAGUUUCCGUUUGGAAUCAGACUAUCCAUUGAACAAUCAGACUAUCCAUUGAAGAUUUUAUGCUCGCUCUUAAAUGGUUGAUCCACUGAUCUUAUUCUUACUUCAUAUGAGCUAAAGCCAGCUCUAGGGGUGUUUCUCGCAUACAAAAAAAUUAAAAAAAAUAUUAUGAAACUAUACUUUGCAGGAGUCUCAAAAUAAAUAAGUGUAAACGAUAAACUUAAACACCUAACUUCUUAAACACCUAGCAUAACACGGGUGAGCAUAUGGUCAAUCAUACCAAAUUGAAUAAAUCGAAAUUAAAAUUUAAAUAUUUUUAGACUGGACCAAACUGAAAUAUUUUGUCCGAUCCAGUUCAGUAUGAUCGAAAAGAAUUGAUUCUUUUGGAAAAAGUAACUUAAUAUUAUAAAUAAAAUUAAGAUUUAUAAUUUAUUUAAAAACUAUCAAUGAAUCAUCAACACUUCUUCAAAAAUAGAUACAUUUGAAUUUAUACAUUAGAUAUUAUAACUUCUAAAAAGUAUAUAAAAAUAUAUAAUAUAAAUAUAAAUUUAUAGUAUAAUUUUUUUGACUAUUUAGAAUAUAUUUUUAACCCAAAUAUUUUUUUUUAAAAUCAAAUUUUAUUUCGAUGAACUUUUCUAGAAAAUUAAGAUAGAAACGAAACUCAUUCCUACAGUAAGGUUUCAGUUUUUCGGCUGCAAUACGGUUUUGCUCAUCAUUAGCAUAAAUGGAGUAUGUAGUAAAUAUGAAUGAAUGGCAUGGGAAUUCUUGGAAUGGUAUCAAGAAUUAAGAUUAAAGCACAUUAGAAGUUUAGAACCAUGAAUGUUAUUUUUGAAAAUAGUAAUCCCUCCGUUUCUUAUCACGUUUCUCGUUUGAUAUGUCGGAACGGUUCAUAAUAUGAGACAAAUUAGUAAUUUAUGUCCAAUUUAUAAAAUUAAAUAUAGUCAUGAGUGAUCUUGUUGGAUUCGUAUCUAUGAGUACUUUAAUAAGAUGAAAUUUUUAUAUUUAAUGUUAAUACAAAAUUAAAAUAUAUUAAUUAAAAAUAUAUAUUGACAAACGUGAUAAAAACAAACAGCAAAAAUAUUAAGAAACGAAGCGAGGGAGUAAUAAAUAUGCUUUAUGCUGAACUGAAUUGAGUGCGUGGAAGCUUGGGGAGGCAGCUUACUACAGUAUCUACGUGUAUCUGUAUAUGCAAUAAAGACACAAAUACUCACAGGAGAUUAUUUUUCAAACACUUAAUUUCCCCCUUUCCUUCUCGUAAUAUUCAACUCAAUUCAUCACAUCAUCUUCUUCAGACAAACAACUAUACUCACUUCAGAUCAUCACAUCAUCUUCUUCUUGACUUCAGAUCCACAUUUCAAACCCUAAUCAUUCGCUUGGUCCCCUCCCUCUCUGUAAUAAUACAAUUCUUUCUACACACAAACAAUAACAUCAUCAUCAUCGAGUGAAGCUUCAUAUCCACAUUCCAAGACCUAAUUACUCGCCAAACCACUCUCGCUCUCAUGGAGGAGGCCUUAGAAAUGGCGAGAUCGAAUGAUACCAAGAAGCGAAGGGCGGGAGUGGAUCGGCUGCAACAGCUUCUUGAAGAUUCAAGAAAGUGCUUGUCAUCGUCGGAAGUGACGGCGCUAGUCGACACGUGUCUUGAGCUUUUGAAGGACACGUGUGUUGCUGUCGUCGGCCGCGGAGUUGUUUAAGUUGCAUUCUGAUAGAAUUAUGACGGCGGUUGUUGAUAGGUUGUGGGAUGGGGAGCAGCGGGUUCGAGACUCGGCGAGGAGGCUGUUGAUUACCCUUAUGGAGGUAAUUUAUUAAUUUUCUUGGGGAAUGCCAGUUGAUUUUAUGGAAUGUGAUAUAGUAUAGUUUCUAUCAAUCGAGUAUCUUAAAUUGAUGACUACAACAAGUAUUAUCGUUUUGCACGCAAGUGGCUAAACUUUUAUGCAUGCCAAAUUGCCAAUCGGGUUUCAAUUUCAGAUCUCUGCCUUCACUUGCAUACGAACACAUUUGAGUUUAAAAAGAUGAAUCACCUCAUAAAUAUCAUUAAUAAUUAGUUGGUGUUAAUAGUGCACUGAAAAAUGGGAGAGAAUGACAAGACUAUAGACAGUAGUAGGGCUGAGCGAGAUGUUAAUUGAGUACUUAUAUGAUGCUUCACUAUGUUCAGGGAGUUAGUUUAUUGCUUCUUUCCUACACUUUCACUUGAAUUAGUACUAAUUAAUAAUUCCUUCUCUAUCUUGUAAAAUUUCUCCUUCAUUGCUAAGCAUAUCUACUCUGAUUAAUUUUCAAACAAACUUUACUACUGAGAUAGGAUUGUUUGCUGGGUAGGAGCACCAUAGAAUGAGUAGCUCUAUUGCUAUAUACUGAAGGGUGCGGUGGCAUCCUCGGUUAUAUUUUAAGUGCUACUUCGAAUUUAGUUGUUGGCUUUUGCAAUUUAUUUUCAUUCACAAUGUUUUAAUAAUGAUACCCCAUAUUAGGUGAGAGAUAUUAGUGCCAGGCUGGAGCAGAUUCAGAUUCAACCAGCAACUUCCGUCUCUUCCAUCUCUGAAGGACUUAAUAGUAAUCUUCUCCACCAUGCACCUGAUUUAGAAGUAUAAUGUAUUAAUGUGAACUUUUUAUUUAUAUUUAUUUCCAUGUGUAGUAAAACGAUCACAUCUUUUAAGAGCUUAGUACAAUGUUAUGUACAAUGUGUAAUUAAUUAAGAGGUUUGUACAUAGUUUAGUAUGAAAUGGAAAAAGUUUGUACAGAAGUUUAUUUGUUCACAUUACAGCUGAGACGAGCAAGCAAAAACCAUCAGAGAAUUCAAAGGAUAAUGAUAAAGGAAUUGAGCCCCUACUGGAACUGCCGGAAGAUAUUAUCUUUCUACAAAUUCUGCCUAAGUUGAACAGCCUAGAUGUUCUUCCCCUGGUUUUGGUGGCUAGGAGUUGGGCCUCCUUUCUUUUGCAUGAGGGACCCAGACUGAUGUUAUUCAACCCACCUAAAAAUCCUACACCUAAACACACUUCAAUUUUAUUUGAUGUAAGCCCGAUUCCGUACUCUGUUUCAGUUUUGUUAUCCCCAGAGAGCCGCCAACUGUGUCAGUCUAGGUGUAUAAUUGUUCCAAUCUUGAAUUCUGGUAUAAAACAUGCUGUUCCAAUUUUCACUGACUACCCAGAUUUUUUAAAGCAGGGGGAAGUCCCAACUGUAGUGGGAUCUUCCAGUGGUAUUAUAUGCCUCUAUAUCACCAGUUCUCCCUCUAGAUACAUCCUGCUAAACCCCUUAACAAAACAUUAUAAAGAGGUUGGGGCCCCUUAUAUUUUUGUACCAGAUUGUGAGCAAGCUUCUGUAACUUCUGGAUUCUUUUAUGAUGAAUGGACUGAUGACUUAAAGAUCGUACAAUUGUUGAGAUGGGAUCAAAGGCUUACGAGCUUGGAUGCUCCGGGACCCAAAAAGAUACAUGCGCUUCGCGUUUGUUCUGUAAAUUCUGCAAAUUGGGAAGUUGUUGACUUGGGGCCAAUGAAAGUCUCCGAUCGUCUUGGUGGUGUGUUAUUUUUGCCGAAAGCUCUCGUCACAUUUGUAGAUGCGUUUGCUACAGAGCCGGAGAUUAACUUUUGGUUGGAUUUUCGUGAUUGCCGUCUAAAGGCAGUUCCGGAAUUAGAAGGGGCUGAACUCAGUAUGAAAUCGGUUUGGUGGAAUAACCAGGUUGGUGUUAUUGUUGGAACUGACAGCAUUUAUGUCCUUGAUGAGGAGUUUGCAGCCUGGUAUUACUGCACAGUGCUUCCGGACGUGGGAAAUUGUGUAUUCUGUUUAGAUGAGAACAAAAUUGUGGGGAUGGGGGCUGGGGAAAGCGGAAGCGUAAAUGAUUACAAUAUUCUUAAUUCCACAAGCGGCGAAAUCCAACAUAUAAUCUCGUUGCCUUCUUGCAGGGUUUUUCCGUAUGUUCCUACAUUCUACUAUAUCGAGGGAAUGGCUAAUUUUUAGACUUUUGCAAGUCACAAUGUAAUAAAAGAAUGUAAACAGUACAUAGCAGCAAUACCUCUCUAUAGCAUAUAGUUUCAGAUACAACAUGUAUUGUGAUGCCAGCUUGUAGAGUACAAGUAUUAUUCUAGGUGAUUGAUUGUUGAGAAUAAUAGAGGCAACCGGUUGCAUGAUGGUAUCCUUGAAACUUUCAUAAUUACUAAUAUCGAACUCAGAUAGCAUGCAAUUUUUCCGGAGAUCAUAUUCUUUAGCUAUCAACUAACUCUACAUUAUAUAUUAUGUCCCAGAUCAAUGAGUUUGUUUGCUAUAAUGUCCUAUUUUAUAUGUGAUUUAGGAAUAUGUUCCAUUAACUUGUUAUCACCCUCAAAUCUAAAAUCUAAGACUACCAUGUCCUUAGUUUAUUUUGUUUAAUAUUUGUGAAUAGACUCUAAUCUGAUCAUAUCAAUUAUAUUUUAGUAACAGAUGUUUAAAUGCAUAUGUUUUUGUUAUCUAGUUAUUUCAAUGAUGAUGGGAUUAAAUUUUUUUAUUCUUGUAAUAUGUACAAUGAUUGGUUUAGCUUUAAUAUUUAUUUUUAUUUUUAUUUACCAAUUUUAAUGUAGGUAAAGUUUUAUCAGCAAAUUUUAUUUUUUGUAUGCAGUAAUCUGUUCUAAUAUCAAAUUUUGAUUUAGAUCGAGUAUUAGUAUGUUGAAUUUGCAUUCAUCUAGUUAGAUGAGUGAAACUGGCUAAUUAAUGGAAAAUCAUAAGUACCUGAGUUGUUUUCAAAUUUUUUUCCCAAAUUUUAAUUGUUUGAUUGGUUUCUUCAAAUUAAUAUUAAUGGAAUCAUGAACGCACAUAAAUAAUUUAAUUAAAAAUUAUUUAUUUAUGUGUCAUUUAGAAAAAAUUGGGGACAAAAUUUGGGAUAGUAAUGGGGACGAAAUAUGUGUUAGCGUUAAUGGUUUAGCGGCAGUGGAGAACGCAAUUUAAGAGCAAAUCCAAUAGUGUCCUAAACUAGUAUCCUAAAUUAAAAAUUAAGGUAUUUAUAUAAAUGAGUGCUCCACCUAAUGAGUGCUCCACCAAUGUCCAGUGAUACCUUAAAAUACUAGGAAAUCCAUCAAGCGUCUCGUUUUUAAGACAUCACUAGGCAUGCCCUAUUUCACUUCUAUCAAUAAAAUAUAUCUUUCCCUCGUUUUUUACAGAUCUCUUCUCUCUCAUUUUUUCCAUUUAUGCCCAAUUAUAAUUCAAAUAUAAUACACCUUCAGUCCCUUUUUAGUUGUGAAAUUUACAAAAAUAAUUUGUCCUUAAAUAAUAUUCUCAUCCUUGUUCCAAUACAUAUUUAUACAUAUUUUUUCAUGUUUACCCCUUGAUUGUUGGUUCAAAUGUUUGACUGUACUACUAAUAUAUACAGUUUUGACUUAGUAUUUAAUAUAAUAAAUAAGGGCAUGCGUGGAAACAACUUACAACAUUUAAUUUUCUUUAAUAUAUGUAUUUUUGCAAAUGUGACAACUAAAAAGGAACAGAGAGAGUAUUAUUUUAAUCAUAAAACAUAUUGUUGGAGUUAAUAUAAAAAAAUCAUGUCUUAAAUCAUAAGAUUACUAUAUUUAAUUAUAUUUAUAAGGCAUCUAAUAGUACAAUAUUGGAUUUGCUCUGAUCACAGAUCAAUCAAAUGAUCGGCAACUUAAGCGAUCAAAUGAGAUGACUCGCAUAGUCCACGCUAAUCGAUAUCCUUAAGAGGAUGUUUGCCUGGGCUUAAAGCCCUUGCUUUAAGCCAUCUUUGGCUUUAAGCUGAAAAAUGUCUGUUUGUGUAAUAAGUCAGAAGCCAGCCUAAAGUCAGAAAUAAGCCAGAAGCUGACUUAAAGCCAGAAGUUAAUUUGAGGUACUUUUUUCAGUGGCUAAAUUUUUUUGAACUUUUUUUUUGAUAAAAAUUACUCCUAAAUCAUAAGUUUCUUAUAAAUCACUUUUAUUUUUAUUAUUAUAUUUUUAAUAACUCAUAAGUCAUUCAUAAGCCAAAAUUACCCAAACAGACAUUUUAAGCUAUCAGCUUAUCAGAUAAGACACGUUAAGUCACAAGUCACAUUAAGUCAUAAGCCAUAAGCUCAGCCAAACGGGCAAGUUUUCUAAGAGACAUUCCUGCUUAGUGCAUUUUUAAUAGGGUUGCCUAAAUCGUUGACGAAAUUGGACAUGUGAGACAUUAUAUAAAAUUUGUUAAACAUGUAAGUGAUUGUGUUUCAAUAAUGUUAACUACAUUGAUAGAUUAUAACUUAAAAAUAGUAUGUUAUUAAUAUUUAGAUUGUUAUAAAAAAAUAUAUGAGUUUAAUAUGAUAGGAAAUGAUGUGUAAAUUACCCCGAUUAUAUAUAUAUAUAAAUAAUAAUAUAUUUAUAUAUAUUAUACUAAAUAUAUUAUUAAAAAUAGAUAAAUUUUAUAAUAUAAUCAAAAGUAAAAAAUAAUCUUUAUUUUUAUUGAUUGAUUAUAAAUAUAUUGUAAUAUAAUAUAUUUUAUAAUUUUAAAUUGUUGUUUAUUUAUAUUAUAAAUCAAUUUUAAUAUGAUUUGAGGUUGAAAAUAUAAGAUAAUAUUAUUUUAUUAUUAUAUUAGGAGUUUGUAGUUUGUUUUUUAAUUAAAAAAAUAUAUUAUAUAUUAUAAAAUUAUUAUGUUUUUAUUAAAAAAUAAAAUUCCCCGAAACCCCGCGGGGAUCCCCGUUCCCCGUUCGGGGCGGGGAUCGGGGCGGAAAAUAAUCCCCGUUCGAGGUUCGGGGCGGGGUCGGGUAGGGCCGUAGGGGUAUUGAAUUCGGGGAUCGGGGUCGGGGAUAGCACUCCCCGCCCUCGAAGUCUCCCCGUGCCCAUCCCUAGUCGAACCUCUAGAGGUCCGUAAAAAAUCUCCAAGAAGAUUACACUAUGUAAUCUUCUUGGAGAUUUUUUACGGACCUCUAGAGGUUCGACAAAUAUAGUGGCCGGUAGGAUGUUGGUUAAAAUUAUAGAUAAGUGGUGUCUAUGGUUGAGUGUGAUUUUUUUGAAUAGAAUGGCUAUAUAUUUUAUUUUUGGGAUGCCAACUCAAUUUUUAAACUAAGGACUUCUCAUAUUUGGAGAUGCUAUAUGAUGGCAAAUCCCGCAAAUCUUCAAUUUUGACAUAUAUUAUCCUAAAUUCUCUUUCAACAAUGAUUGAUUCAAAUUUGGAUCAAGAUUGUUGGAUCCCGCUGACGUGGCAGUGACGUCAUGUUGACGUGGCGCCCUGGGGUGGACCCCGGUGCUGACGUGGCAGAUGACGCGGCGGUGACAUGGCGCCUGGUUGGGGUCCCAUUACUAACGUGGCAUUUGGGUAGAAAGUAUAAAUUACGGAAAAUUGAUGACAAACUGAGAGGUGCAUAUUAUAAGUUUUAAAAAGUAUGAGGAGAUAUUUGAUCAGUUUAAAACUAGUUUUUAGGUUUUUAGGCUAACCGUGGUUUGUAUAUUCGAGCAUCCCCGUGUAUAUUGACAUAUAGGUAAACUCCUUGCAAUACUUUGAGCUGCAAAAUCCAUCAAAAUUUUGAUUUAUCAUGUAACUGUUUGACAGAGUACUUCCAACUUUCAAGCGUAAGUAUCAAAAUCACUACCUUCAUAUGUUCCAUUAAGCGUGAAAGGUACAGAAUAAGAAGUGAAAGAAAUCCUUUAUAUUUACACGGCCAUUGAUCUUAUAGGAUCACCUAGCCCAUCAGUGCUAGGGAAUACGGAACCAUCUUAUCAAUUAACGAAGAAAUGUAUGCAUGCAGUGUCACCACCACAAGUCAGAAAUGGUGAUGAUGCUAAUGAUAAUGAACUCAAUUGGGAGUGAUCCUAAUGGGAUAUGGAUGUGGAUUGGUAUGCGGAUUCUUUGGGGUUUAUUGUUCUUACAAUGGGAAAGCCUUGGUGGUUUAUGAGAUACAUUGAAGUAAGUUGAUAAUGACAUGCACGGCUUAAUUAAGAUUAAUUAAGACAAACACCUUGACAAAAUGUUGUCUUAGAAUGAUAUGUAUUCUGAUUUUUCCUAAUUUAAAAUCAAAUUUAUUACAAUUAAAGUUAAAAUCUGCGUAGCACAUACUAUACUUUGAUUAAAUUUUUAUUGAAGUUGUCCAUAUUAACCUAGUGGCCGAAAGUGAAUAAAUUAAAUUAGUGGGGUCUAAUAUAAAAAUUGCAUUAAUUAAAAUUUGUAAUGUAUAGAUUAUGCUAAAGCUAUUCAUUAUAAAGAACAUAGGAAUGUUAAUCUCUUUAUAUGUUUGCAUGCGGAUAGUCUCUCGGGAGUGUGGUAUAUUGUCAUGGCUGGAAAAACGGCUAAUUUCUACGGUUUUUUUUUGACAGAAAUUAAUUUUGACGGAAUACUGUCGAAAUAUCGAAAGUCGAAAAUAAGCCGCAAAAUUACUUUUUUCAAUUUUCAAUUGAAAACUGUCAAAAAAGUCUCUGGCAAAAUUAUAUUUAUUUCUACAGAUAAUGUCGAAAAUAUUUUCCUGCAAAUUUCCCGCACCUUAGUUGUGAGCGGAAAUAGAUAGUUUGGACAGAAUUCCGUCGAAAUUACGCGAGUUCUUUGUAGUGUGUUUUCACACAUACGCUGAUAAUCUUUGGGGACUGGGGUAUAUUGUUUUCGCAAAGCACUGGUAGUUUGUGAGCUUGUCCAAUUUUUCCCCCCAUGCCUAUACUGGUUGGUCUCAGUCUUAGUGGUAAUAAGCUGGCGUCAAAUUUUCCAGAAUUCAUAUAUAAUUGCUAUAACAUGAUCCGAUGCCUGAAUCAGCAGCUAACAAUUUACGUAAUCUUGAAGAACUAUAUCUUGGUGCCAAUUCUUUCGAGGGCUCAUUUCCAACGAAUAUAUUCAAGCUUUCCAAAUUAAGGGUUCUUGACCUAUCUGUGAAUAAUUUUUCAGGUUCCAUUCCCAAUGGUAUAGAGAUGCUUCCCGAUCUUGGAAUAAAUCGUAUUUAUAAUAAUUCAUUUGAAGGAAUUAUUCCUUCUUCAAUUAGUCUACUUAAAGAUCUUCAACACCUAGACUUCGGUGACGACAACCUUGUGGUUUCAAGUAUAAUGUCUUACGGGUCCAAUCUAACCGAUCAUUACAGGCAACCCCAUUGGAGAUGCUCUUAAUAACAUUUUAACUAGAGAGUAUUUUCUAUCAAUUGCAUUUGUAUUAAAUUUGAUUUAGAUGAAGAGAAACAGAAUACAUAUGAUCCCGAGACAACAUUUUGUCAAUGUUUUCGUCUUGAUUGAACAGUCUUCUUCAUGCGUGUCCUUGUCAACUUCAGUUGCAGUAAUUCAAUGUAUCUCAGGAACCACCUUGGCUUUCCCAUUUUGAUAACAAGUAUCCUGAAGAUAAUCCGCAUAUCAAUCCACAUCCGCGCGUAUCCCAGUUGAUUUAUUAAUUUAUUCAUGAAGUGUUGCGAACGACAUUCCUGCAAAAGUAAAAGUCAGUGGAAUUUGUAUGAUAGCAUGAUGAAUAUUUAAAGUUUCAGUUAAAAUUUCACCAAGUAUUUUAUUUCUGGCUUAAGUCCCGGAUUGACGAAUUCUGCUGAUCACAUUUCUAAUCGACCAAUUCUGGUCGAAUAAAUUAAAUGGCACACUUCCUGAGUUGGUGGUAGGGGCGUUCUUCUUGUGUUUCUUUCUUUUCAUUAUUGACAUUGUUAUCCAGGCCCUUGCUUCUGGGCUUUUGUAAAGCACCCAUUUACGCCAUUGUCAUGAUCAUAGCUAGUCUUCCAUAUCCAAGAUACGCGCAUUAUAGUGGAUUUAUCUUUAUUAGUGAUUUCUGUGGAAAUGCAUAAUCUUAAUUAUAAGCUCCAAUAUUAUAAAAUAAACCUAACUUAUUAGAGUUAACAGGGCAUUUGUGUUGAUAAUUUGCGCAAUGUUAAUGGGGAUCGCUCCCAAGUCUUGGACGGACUCUUUCCAAGUCUUCUGAGGACCCAUCUGCACACUAAUUUGUCCGCCAACUAAAAAUUUAUAUAUAUUUUUCCAUAGAAUAUAAAUAGUUGGGGGUACUAACAGAACCUCUAGUAAAAUUAAUUAAUACCGUUAUGAUUUCGCAAACACAGCAGACAGCAGGCAUAAGGCUUAUAAAUAGAAGUGUCGUAUUUGGUUGAUGGUCAAGUUGAGUGGAAAUAUGGCACACUUUGUAAAGCCUUGUUAUCCUCUUCUCUUUGUUUUCUUUCUCUCAUUACUUCAAUCCAUUCUAACAACACAAGAGGGAGAAGCUCUUGUGAAAUGGAAGAAUAGCCUAGCCCCUUCUUCUUUUCUCGACUCUUGGUCACUCACCAAUCUCGAUAAUCUUUGCAACUGGACUGGCAUUACUUGUAACUCUGCAGGUUCAGUCUCUGAGAUUAACCUUAGUGAGAAACAACUUGAUGGAAUGCUGUCCGAGUUUGGUUUCACUUCAUUUCCAAAUCUCAACAAUCUCACCCUCGCAAUUAACUACUUCUCGGGUCCAAUACCACCAGCCAUUGAGAAUUUAACACAGCUUCAAUAUCUUGAGUUGAGCAAUAAUUAUCUAGAUGGUCCCAUUCCUUUCCAGGUUAGCAAUCUUCAGAGGUUGCUCAUCUUAAACCUGUCAGAGAAUGAACUGCAAGCUCCAAAUUGGUCCAAUUUUUCCCCCAUGCCUUUUUUGACCAUCCUCGACCUUUAUAAAAAUAAUCUUUUGUCAGAAUUUCCCGAAUUUAUAUCUAACUCGUGUAACCUUACGUACCUUGACCUCUCAUCCAACAAGUUUAGAGGGGAUCUUGCGCGAGAAUCAGUAUUAACCAAUCUAGGUGAUCUUGAAACCCUCUAUCUUAUUAGAAAUUCUUUCAAGGGGUCAUUUCCGUCAGAUUUAUUCAAGCUUUCUAAAUUAAAACGUCUUCACCUGUCGAGCAACAAAUUUUCAGGUUCAAUUCCUAAUGCCAUAAGGUUGCUUUGUGAUCUUGAAUUCCUAUAUUUAGGCAACAAUUCCUUUGAAGGACUGCUUCCACCAAAUAUAUUUAAGCUUUCAAAAUUAAAACAUCUUGUUCUUCGGAGUAAUAAGUUUUCAGGAUCUGUUUCCAAUGAUAUAAAUUUGCUUCCUGAACUUGAAUAUCUCGAUCUUAAUUCUAAUUUUUUUGACGGGCCGCUUCCUCCAGAUGUAUUCAAGCUCUCCAAACUAAGGUUUCUUUACCUCUCGGGUAAUACCUUUUCACGUUCUGUUUCCAAUGAUAUAGGUUUGCUUUCUGAGCUUGAAACCCUCGAUCUUAACUCUAAUUUUUUGAGGGUCCGCUUCCGUCAAAUAUAUUCAAGCUCAAAUUAAAAAUUCUAGACCUCUCAAACAAUAGAAAUUUAUUUCAAAGAAGUUUUCCUAUUGGACUGGAACUCUUGAGUAACCUCAGCUACUUAGGUCUAAGUUCCAGUAAUCUCAGUGGCAAUAUUCCAUCUUACAUUGGAAACCUGAAGCUACUAAUAUCUCUUGAUCUCAGUUCUAAUCAAUUGACUGGACCGCUUUCAAAGCUCGUUUCUAAUGUCACAAAUCUUAUAUUUCUUGAUUUAAGAGAUAAUAGUCUUAGUGGAAAUAUUCAGACUGACUUGUGGAAAUAUAACGAUCAUCCAACUCUGGAAUACAUCAAUUUGAGUGGGAACUAUUUUACGGGUAUAGUUUUUCUCUAUAGAUCUUUUCUUUUGUCAUAUGUAACUAAGCUAGUAAUCUGAUUAAUUGCAGUUUUACCAAAGUUUCAACAAUCUUGACAGGUGAGCUUCCAACAACAAUUUGCAAUGUCACUUCCCUUUCGGUUCUUGAUUUGUCAAAUAAUAACUUAAGUGGUGCACUUCCAAAAUGUUACGGGAAUCUUGCUGAUGGAUUGCUUUACAUUAAUCUUGCGAAUAAUCACUUUCGAGGAACAAUACCCACUACUUUCUCCAGGAGUUGUCAGCUGAUAUAUCUGAACAUGGAUGAUAAUGAGUUUGAAGGAUUGAUGCCCCCAUCUUUGGCGAACUGUAAGCACUUGAAAAUUUUUGAUAUUGGCAAUAAUAAAAUAGGUGGUACAUUUCCGUCAUGGCUUUAUGCACUUGGAGAGCUAGAAGUCCUUGUCUUGCGAUCAAAUAAACUCUAUGGUACAAUAAGUGGAAGGAGCAUAGAAGAUCCCUUCCCCAAGUUGCGGAUUGUGGAUCUGUCCAACAAUCAAUUCACAGGCCAUUUGCCAAUUCAAUACUUUAAGAAUAUGAAAUCAACUGAUAAUUUGUAUCGUUAUCAGAAUGACACAGGAGUUUUUUCUUUCCAUUAUGAAGCAUCUGUCUCAUUAACUGUGAAGGGAACAGAGUAUGAAGUGAAAAAUAUCCUUCAUAUUUACACAACCAUUGAUCUGUCCUGCAACAAGUUUCAAGGAGAAAUUCCUGACGUUAUUGGAGAGCUUAGAUGGCUUGCAUUGCUGAACUUAUCUCAUAAUAGUCUAACAGGACAUAUCCCAUCAUUGCUGAGAAAUAUGAAAGGACUCCAAUCUUUAGAUUUGUCUUCAAAUCAACUGAAAGGGGCUAUUCCACUUCAGUUAACUGCAUUGACAUUUCUAGAGGUCUUGAACCUCUCGGGAAACCAUCUUAGUGGAGAGAUUCCUCAGAAAGGGCAGUUCAGCACAUUUAACAUUGAUUCUUAUCUAGGAAACUCCGCGUUAUGUGGUUCACCUUUGAUGAAGAAAUGUGCAAACACAGCAUCACCUCCACAAGAAGCCGGAAAUGGUGAUGAAGAUGAAGCUGGUGAUGAAUUGACAUGGGAAGCAAUCGUGAUGGGAUAUGGAUGUGGACUGAUAUGUGGAUUGUCAUCUGCAUACAUUGUUCUCAAACUAGGAAAGCCUUGGUGGUUUGUGAGAUAUAUCGAAGUACUGCAACAGAAGUUGAUGAAAAGAUAUGCAUGAAGAAAGGUACUGGUAGAUCAAGAUGAACUUGAAAGUUGUUGUCGUGGUAGACAUUUGUGAACCAGUAGUGUACUAGCUGCAUAAGUAUUUGGUAUUAUGUAAUAAUCCGUUUGGUCGGGACUCAAAAUGAUUUCUCUUGCUUCAGGGGUAUUAAUAUUAACCUUGCUAUCUUGAUCAAUGUUAGGGCAAAUUAAAAAGAAUAUAAAAGCAAAAAAUUUGCAUCAAACACCUGUUGUACCAACAUGCAUCCAUUAAUUUGCUUUCAUCUAUUAAGUAACAAUUUAAGAGCGCUUCCACUCUGUUUAAGCAUGGAGAUAACACAAAGAAGGCAAGUCCAUGGACUAAUAUAUUAACACGUAGUCCACAUCUAUGGUAUGAACAAUUCAUAUUGCUCUUCUAUCUGUUCAACAGUCUCCCGAAGAUAGGCCAAAAAUGUCAUCUGUGGUUCUUAUGUUUGUCAGUGAAGGAGAAUCUCUGAUGCCUACACAACCUGGUGUUUUUACAGAAAGGAAUGUAGGUGAAACCAGGGGCGUAAAAUGAAUCAGGACUAAAAUCUGCUAAAAUGAUAAUUAUUUACUCAUCAUUCAAGAUUAGUCGGGCUCAAAGAUUUAUAUGGAUUUUAAGAACAAACUAUGACUAAAUAUGAAAAAAUCAUUAAUUUUUCCGACUCAAUAUUUUUUAGCCUCCCCCGGCCCUGGGUGAAACCAUAAGCUUCUCUGGUGCACAUCCAAAUCAUUCAGUUGGUUCUACUUUCAGCUCACCCACAGGAACAUCAUUCUGCAGGUACUCUUUUAUCUGUACUUUCUUAUAUUGUAUGCCAGUAAAUUUUAUAUCGACAAACUGCACAAUACACCUCGAUCUCAUAUUAUUGACAGGUGAGCUCCUCUCAUAAUGCUCACAGGCGAACCCCUGCAUAUAUACUUUGUGAUGUCAUUGAUGAUCGAUAGACUUGAAAAAAAAUUAUGACAAAGAUUCAUAAAAUAUCUACUUCCAUCCUAAUUCAGUAUUCAAUAUUAUUCAUUCGUAUCAUCAUCCAAUCAAUUCUAAUAGUUCUUCUUUAAAUCAGUACAAAUAUUGUUAAAUACCUGGAUGAUGGUUGUCUUUCCGCGAACCAAUCAUGAAAUUACCUCUGUAUAAAUCCAUCGGAAAUAAGACAGUUAAUAUCCCAAUCGAAUACACCCCGUCAGUUGUCAAACUCCUCGAAACGUAUUAAUCACUUUAGAAAAUUUGUUCCACUGGCGCUAGUCAGUCCCAGAGUUGGUGGUGGGUGCUUCUGGGCUUUCGAAAAGCACCCAUUUACUCCAUUGUUUAGAGAAGUAAAACCCCACCUUCCGCUCAUUUGAUUGAUCAGCUGAAUUAGGCAGAGUUUACAUGGUCAUGAUCAUAGUCUCCCAUNUUAAUAGUCUGACAGGACCUAUCCCAACAUUGCUGAGAAAUAUGAAAUAACUCCAUUACUCCAAUCUUAGAUUUGUCCUCAAAUCAACUGACAGGGGCUAUUCCACCUCUGUUAACUGCAUUGACAUUACUUUUCUCUUUAUAUUCUUUCCUUUUGUAUGUACCUAUGCUAAUUAUCUGAUUAUUAAAAUUAUAACAAAGCUUCAAGAUUUUUAACAGGUGAGCUUCCACUAAAAAUUUGCAAAGUCACUUCCCUUUCGCGUCUCAUUAUGUUAGAUAAUGGGUCAAGUGGUGCACUUCCACAGUGUUUGGGGAACCUUUCUUUGCUUGGUUUCAAUAAUCUUGCUAAUUAUCAAUUUCAAGGACCAAUACCAACGACUGUCCAAGACUUGUCUGUGCAUAUCUAAACAUCCAUAACAAUCACUUUGAAGGUUUGUUGCUCCAAUCUUUGGCAAACUGUAAACACUUACAAAUUCUUGAUAUUGGAAACAACGUUGGAGAGCUAGAUGUCCCAGUUAGGGCGGUAAUUCGACUAGAGCAAACCGAGUUUUGAGCGGAGCCAAAUUCGAGCCAAGUUUAAUCGAGUCGAGCCGAGUCGGCUCGUUUAGCUAAUCGAGCCUAAAACUUAGCCCGAACUCGACUCAUUUAAUUUCACGAGUCGAGUCGAGCCAACUCGUUUAGCUAAAUGAGCUGAUUUUAACAAGUCGAGCGAGCGAGCUCGUAUAAUUUUAACUUAGUCGAGCCUGAAUCUCUACCCAAACUAUUGGCUCGUGUAAUUUCGCGAGUCGAAUCGAGCCGGCUCGUUUUAUUAAACAAGCCGAAAUUUUUGCCCGAAUUUGCUCGUUUAACAAGCCGAUCUGAGCCUAGUUAAAUGAGUUCGAGUUAGUCGAGCUCGCGAGCUGCGAGCUCACCUGCCAGCUCUAGUCCUAGUCUUGCAAUCAAAUAGGUUUAACGGUAUAGAAAGUGGAAGGAGCACAAGGCAUCCAUUCCCCAAGGCUAUUUACCAAUUCAGUACUUUGAGGAUACAAAAUCAUUCUGCAGGUACUCUUGUAUCUGUACUUUCUUGUACUGUAUGCCACUUUGACAGUAGAGUAAAAUUUAUAUCGACAAACUGCAUAUGUUCUGAACUACUCCUCUAUCCCAAAUUAGAUGAGCUAGUUGACUUUGAGCACGUAACUUAAGGUACAUUGACCAACUAGUUCCGAUAUUUAUUUUUUUAAUUUUUCUUUUGUAAAUGAAAAUUUCAUAUUUAAAUUUUUAUUUGCAAAACUAAAAUUUAAAAAUAUGUAAUGUGGCUAUGCGGUCAAUGUCAACGAGCUCAUCUAAUUUGGGAUUGGGAUGCAGGGAGUAUUACGUACUAUGUUAUGCAAGCUGUUUACAACUUUCAUCAAAAUUUUCAAACAUUUCUGAAUAUGUAUUUUCAAAGAAUUCUCGGGCACUCUUAAGGCCUAUAAUUAUUGGAACUCUCACGUUAUGGACCAGAGGACCACUAUGUAUUUUACAAGCACGACGAAUCAUGUGGUCAUUAUGGACUCCCCAAGCCUUAGAGGACUCAUUCCAGGUUUUAGGAGGACCACUGCCUAGCUCACCCUUUCGGAGUGAUGUAAAUUAGUUUCCAGACACUAAAAAUAAGUAAUCAGAUUAAUCAUUACAAAAUUUUGAUAUAAAAUCAGAAUAAAUCCUAAACUUUGAUGAUACAAAAAAAAUUAUAAUUGUAAAUUAUACAAUCAAAUUAAGAUCGAAUUAACUUCCCUCACACUUAAAAUUUAUAGCGAUCAAAUCAAAAUCGAAUUAACUUUCCUAUUACUAAAAUUUAAUUACAAUAUUAUUAGAUAAAGAGAAUAUAUAAUAAUCAAGAGAAAAUAGAUUUUUUUUUGCCACUCAACUUAUUGUGUUUUAAGAAACUUACCACCCAACUAAAUUUUUUUCCUUUUGCUCACUAAUGUUAGGUUUGGAUUUGUUUUUAGCCACCAAAUAAGGUUCGGAUUUGAUUACCAGCAUUAUGAUAAUUUUUUUUGUCACUAAACUUAUUGCGUCUUUAGAAACUAACCACUGAACUAAAUUUUUUUUAUUUUACUCACUAAUGUUAGAUUUAGUUUUUUUUGUCACUAUAGUUAGGUUCAGAUUUGAUUAUUAGCAUUACAUUAAUUCUGUGUAGCAUUUUUAAAAUAUGGUAGUAGUCUGUGAUAUUUAGAUGAUUUGAUAUAUGUCUGUAUUUUUAUAUAUAGUAUAUUUUAUGUCCCCAAGGUCGUUUACCUUGGGUCAUAAAAAUUUUACACUCAUUUUAUGACUUUUAAAAGAUGUAGUUUCAUAAAUAAUUUUAUUUUUUUCUUUCGAAUUAAAAUUCAGCAUUUGAAUUUUACACACAAAAAAAUCGCAAGAAUAAGAUAUGAAACUAUGCUUUACAAGAGUCUUAAAAUACGUGCUAAACGGUAGAAAAAACUGUAAACUAAUGAGAGGUACAUAGGGAGUAAUAAUAACAUAAAAUGAUGCACAAUCAUCGAAUUAAGUUUUCCUCUCUCUAUAUAUUUAUUUUGUAAAUUUUAAUAAGAUAAAGUUAUUAAAAUUUAUGAUAUAAAUUUAAGAGAUAUCUUAGAUUGAGUGGCAAAAAUUUAGUUGGGUGGUAAGUUUCUAAAAACACAAUAAAUUGAGUGGGAACAAAAUCUAUUUUCCCAAUAAUGAGUGGGAAUAAAAUCUAUUUUCCCAAUAAUCAAAGUGACGAAAAAUCAAAGUCAUCUAAUAAGUCCAGAAAAAAUAUGACCAUUAGUAUAUUGAAAUAAUAUUCACGCAUUUAUAUACGAGAAUAUAUGGUCCACAAGUUAGUGCACAAUGUCCAAGAAUCUUUAUCAAAUAACACGGCAAGCAUGCAGCAUAUAAAUAAGAGUGGGCAGUAUGGUAUUGCAUUCAUAACCCACUUGAGCAGAAAUAUGGCACACUUCCUAAAGCCUUCUCACCUUCUUCUCUUUGUUUUCUUUCUCUCGUUACUUCAAUCCAUUCUACCAACAAGACCAGAGGGAGAAGCUCUUGUGAAAUGGAAGAAUAGCCUAGCCCCGUCUUCUUUUCUCGAUUCUUGGUCACUAACCAAUCUCGAUAAUCUUUGUAACUGGACUGGCAUUACUUGUAACUCUGCAGGUUCAGUCUCUGGGAUUAACCUUUAUGAGAAACAACUUGAUGGAAUGCUGUCCGAGUUUGGCUUCACUUCAUUUCCGAAUCUCAACAAUCUCACCCUCGCAUACAACUUCUUCUCGGGUCCAAUACCACCAGCCAUUGAGAAUUUAACACAGCUUCAAUAUCUUGAUUUAAGCAUCAAUAGUCUCGAUGGUCCCAUUCCUUUCCAGGUUAGCCAUCUUCAGAGGUUGCUCGUCCUAAACCUGUCACAGAAUGCAUUGCAAGCUCCAAAUUGGUCCCAUUUCUCUUCCAUGCCUUUUUUGCGCAUCCUCAAGCUCAGUAGGAAUCAUCUUGUAUCGAAAUUUCCAGAAUUUAUAUCCAAUUCUCAUAGCUUGGCUAUCCUUGACCUUGGCCAGAACAACUUUACAGGUGAUCUUGUGCGUGAAUUUACCAAUCUACAAAAUCUUGAAACCCUCUGGCUUUAUCGUAAUUCUUUUGAGGGGCCAUUUCCGCCGGAUAUAGUCCAGCUUUCCAAACUAAAAGAUCUUGCCCUGUCAAGUAACAAAUUUUCAGGUUCAGUUCCCAAUAACAUAAGGUUGCUUUGUGAUCUUGAAUACCUAUAUUUAGGCAACAAUUCCUUUAAGGGGCCACUUCCACCAAAUAUAUUUAAGCUUUCAAAAUUAAAACAUCUUGUUCUUUGGAGUAAUAAGUUUUCAGGUUCUGUUUCCAAUGAUAUAGGUUUGCUUCAUGAGCUUGUAACCCUCAAUCUUAACUCUAAUUUUUUUGAGGGGCCGCUUCCGCCAAAUGUAUUCAAGCUCUCCAAACUAAAGUUUUUUGCCCUUCAUGAGAAUAACUUUUCAGGUUUUAUUUCUAAGGAUAUAGGUUUGCUUUCCGAACUUGAAAUCCUCUAUUUUGGCUCUAAUUUUUUUGAGGGGCCGCUUCCUCCACAUGUAUUUAGGCUCUCCAAAUUAAGAGGUCUGGACCUCUCACACAAUAGAAAUUUAUUUGAAGGAAGUAUUCCUAUUGGACUGGGACUCUUGACUAACCUCAGGUACUUAGAUCUACAUUCCAAUAAUCUCGGUGGCUAUAUUCCAUCUGACAUUGGAAACCUGAAGCUACUAGUACUUCUUGAUCUCGGUUCUAAUCAAUUGACUGGACCGCUUUCAAAGAUCGUUUCUAAUCUCACAAAUCUUAUAUGUCUUGAUGUAAGUCAUAAUAGUCUUAGUGGAAAUAUUCAGAGUGACUUGUGGAAAUAUAACGAUCAUCCAACUUUGGAAUACAUCAAUUUAAGUGGGAACCAUUUUACGGGUAUAGUUUUUCUCUAUAGAUCUUUUCCUUUUCUCAUAUGUAACUAAGCUAGUAAUCUGAUUAUUGCAGUUUCACCAAAGUUUCAACAAUCUUGACAGGUGAGCUUCCAACAACAAUUUGCAAUGUCACUUCCCUUUCGGUUCUUGAUUUGUCAAAUAAUGAAUUAAGUGGUGCACUUCCAAACUCUUUGGGGAAUCUUGCUGAUGGAAUGCUUUACCUUAAUCUUGCUAAUAAUCAGUUUCGAGGAACAAUACCAACUACUUUCUCCAGGAGUUGUCGGUUGACAUAUCUAAACAUGGAUAAUAAUGAGUUUGAAGGAUUGUUGCCCCCAUCUUUGGCGAACUGUAAGCACUUGAAAAUUCUUGAUAUAGGCAAUAAUAAAAUAGGUGGUACAUUUCCGUCAUGGCUUUAUGCACUUGGAGAGCUAGAAGUUCUUGUCUUGCGAUCAAAUAAACUCUAUGGUACAAUAAGUGGAAGGAGCAUAGAAGAUCCCUUCCCCAAGUUGCGGAUUGUGGAUCUGUCCCACAAUCAAUUGACAGGCUAUUUGCCAAUUCAAUACUUUAAGAAUAUGAAAUCAACUGAUAAUUUGUAUCGUUAUCAGAAUGACACAGGAGUUUUUUCUUUCCAUUAUGAAGCAUCUGUCUCAUUAACUGUGAAGGGAACAGAGUAUGAAGUGAAAAAUAUCCUUCAUAUUUACACAACCAUUGAUCUGUCCUGCAACAAGUUUCAAGGAGAAAUUCCUGACGUUAUUGGAGAGCUUAGAUGGCUUGCAUUGCUGAACUUAUCUCAUAAUAGUCUAACAGGACAUAUCCCAUCAUUGCUGAGAAAUAUGAAAGGACUCCAAUCUUUAGAUUUGUCUUCAAAUCAACUGAAAGGGGCUAUUCCACUUCAGUUAACUGCAUUGACAUUUCUAGAGGUCUUGAACCUCUCGGGAAACCAUCUUAGUGGAGAGAUUCCUCAGAAAGGGCAGUUCAGCACAUUUAACAUUGAUUCUUAUCUAGGAAACUCCGCGUUAUGUGGUUCACCUUUGAUGAAGAAAUGUGCAAACACAGCAUCACCUCCACAAGAAGCCGGAAAUGGUGAUGAAGAUGAAGCUGGUGAUGAAUUGACAUGGGAAGCAAUCGUGAUGGGAUAUGGAUGUGGACUGAUAUGUGGAUUGUCAUCUGCAUACAUUGUUCUCAAACUAGGAAAGCCUUGGUGGUUUGUGAGAUAUAUCGAAGUACUGCAACAGAAGUUGAUGAAAAGAUAUGCAUGAAGAAAGGUACUGGUAGAUCAAGAUGAACUUGAAAGUUGUUGUCGUGGUAGACAUUUGUGAACCAGUAGUGUACUAGCUGCAUAAGUAUUUGGUAUUAUGUAAUAAUCCGUUUGGUCGGGACUCAAAAUGAUUUCUCUUGCUUCAGGGGUAUUAAUAUUAACCUUGCUAUCUUGAUCAAUGUUAGGGCAAAUUAAAAAGAAUAUAAAAGCAAAAAAUUUGCAUCAAACACCUGUUGUACCAACAUGCAUCCAUUAAUUUGCUUUCAUCUAUUAAGUAACAAUUUAAGAGCGCUUCCACUCUGUUUAAGCAUGGAGAUAACACAAAGAAGGCAAGUCCAUGGACUAAUAUAUUAACACGUAGUCCACAUCUAUGGUAUGAACAAUUCAUAUUGCUCUUCUAUCUGUUCAACAGUCUCCCGAAGAUAGGCCAAAAAUGUCAUCUGUGGUUCUUAUGUUUGUCAGUGAAGGAGAAUCUCUGAUGCCUACACAACCUGGUGUUUUUACAGAAAGGAAUGUAGGUGAAACCAGGGGCGUAAAAUGAAUCAGGACUAAAAUCUGCUAAAAUGAUAAUUAUUUACUCAUCAUUCAAGAUUAGUCGGGCUCAAAGAUUUAUAUGGAUUUUAAGAACAAACUAUGACUAAAUAUGAAAAAAUCAUUAAUUUUUCCGACUCAAUAUUUUUUAGCCUCCCCCGGCCCUGGGUGAAACCAUAAGCUUCUCUGGUGCACAUCCAAAUCAUUCAGUUGGUUCUACUUUCAGCUCACCCACAGGAACAUCAUUCUGCAGGUACUCUUUUAUCUGUACUUUCUUAUAUUGUAUGCCAGUAAAUUUUAUAUCGACAAACUGCACAAUACACCUCGAUCUCAUAUUAUUGACAGGUGAGCUCCUCUCAUAAUGCUCACAGGCGAACCCCUGCAUAUAUACUUUGUGAUGUCAUUGAUGAUCGAUAGACUUGAAAAAAAAUUAUGACAAAGAUUCAUAAAAUAUCUACUUCCAUCCUAAUUCAGUAUUCAAUAUUAUUCAUUCGUAUCAUCAUCCAAUCAAUUCUAAUAGUUCUUCUUUAAAUCAGUACAAAUAUUGUUAAAUACCUGGAUGAUGGUUGUCUUUCCGCGAACCAAUCAUGAAAUUACCUCUGUAUAAAUCCAUCGGAAAUAAGACAGUUAAUAUCCCAAUCGAAUACACCCCGUCAGUUGUCAAACUCCUCGAAACGUAUUAAUCACUUUAGAAAAUUUGUUCCACUGGCGCUAGUCAGUCCCAGAGUUGGUGGUGGGUGCUUCUGGGCUUUCGAAAAGCACCCAUUUACUCCAUUGUUUAGAGAAGUAAAACCCCACCUUCCGCUCAUUUGAUUGAUCAGCUGAAUUAGGCAGAGUUUACAUGGUCAUGAUCAUAGUCUCCCAUAUAUCCCUGAUACGCACAUUAUAGUGGAUUUAUCUUUAUCAGUGAUUUCUGUGGAGAUGCAUAAUCAUUAUAAGCUCCAAUAUAAAAUUUUAAAGUUAGUAUGGGAAUUUGUGUUGAUAAUUUGCGCAAUGUUAACAGGAUUGCUCCCAAGUCUUGGACGGACUCUUUCAAAGUCUUCUCAGGACCCAUCUGCACACUAAUUUGUCUGCCAACUAAAAAAUCAACAAUAUGUUACUCCCUCCGUUUUUCUUAAACUGAGGUUAAAAUUUUUGACACAAGAUGGGUUGACAGUAUAAAAUUAAAAUAUUUGUGAAUAAAAAUUUUGGUUAUAUUUUUUAUUUAAAAAGAAAAUCUUGAAAAUAAUAUUAUUAACUACCAGUCAGAUCACUUAAGUGUAUGUCCAAAAUUAAAGCGGCAUAUAAAAAAAAGGGAGGAAGCAUGUACUAACUGUUUCCAUAACAGUUUACAAGUAUAAGCUAUACCCCCUCUCUAUUUUUUUCUAUGACAGCUUUGAUUUUGGGCACACAUUCUUAAGUGUUUUGACCGGAUAGUUAAAAAUUUAUCUUCUAAAAUUUUUAAAAAAAGUAAAAUCGCAAAAAAAAUUAGAAAGCUGGUAUUUUUGAUAAAUUUCCAAAUAUGUAAUCAAGAAAAAUAACUUUUACUAUCCAAUCAACUCAUUUAAAGAUGUGUGUCAAAAAUCAAAAUAUCAUACAAAAAAUAGGUAUACAUUUUUUUAAUAGAUUAUACUCCCUCUGUUCCAAAAUAAGUGUCAGCUGGGGGUAAUAACAAGACCUUAGUCAACCCAAGCACAGCAGACAGCAGGCAUAAGGCAUCAGGAAUUUCACAGGACCAUUAUCUUUCUCUUAUUAACUGUGAAGGGAACAGCGUAUGAAGUAGCAAGAACCUUCAUAUUUACACAGCCAUUGAUCUGUCGUGCAACAAAUUUCAGGGAGAAAUUCCAAAGGUUACCGGAGAGCUUAGAUGGCUUGCAUUGCUCAAUUUAUCGCAUAAUUAAUAGUCUGACAGGACCUAUCCCAACAUUGCUGAGAAAUAUGAAAUAACUCCAUUACUCCAAUCUUAGAUUUGUCCUCAAAUCAACUGACAGGGGCUAUUCCACCUCUGUUAACUGCAUUGACAUUACUUUUCUCUUUAUAUUCUUUCCUUUUGUAUGUACCUAUGCUAAUUAUCUGAUUAUUAAAAUUAUAACAAAGCUUCAAGAUUUUUAACAGGUGAGCUUCCACUAAAAAUUUGCAAAGUCACUUCCCUUUCGCGUCUCAUUAUGUUAGAUAAUGGGUCAAGUGGUGCACUUCCACAGUGUUUGGGGAACCUUUCUUUGCUUGGUUUCAAUAAUCUUGCUAAUUAUCAAUUUCAAGGACCAAUACCAACGACUGUCCAAGACUUGUCUGUGCAUAUCUAAACAUCCAUAACAAUCACUUUGAAGGUUUGUUGCUCCAAUCUUUGGCAAACUGUAAACACUUACAAAUUCUUGAUAUUGGAAACAACGUUGGAGAGCUAGAUGUCCCAGUUAGGGCGGUAAUUCGACUAGAGCAAACCGAGUUUUGAGCGGAGCCAAAUUCGAGCCAAGUUUAAUCGAGUCGAGCCGAGUCGGCUCGUUUAGCUAAUCGAGCCUAAAACUUAGCCCGAACUCGACUCAUUUAAUUUCACGAGUCGAGUCGAGCCAACUCGUUUAGCUAAAUGAGCUGAUUUUAACAAGUCGAGCGAGCGAGCUCGUAUAAUUUUAACUUAGUCGAGCCUGAAUCUCUACCCAAACUAUUGGCUCGUGUAAUUUCGCGAGUCGAAUCGAGCCGGCUCGUUUUAUUAAACAAGCCGAAAUUUUUGCCCGAAUUUGCUCGUUUAACAAGCCGAUCUGAGCCUAGUUAAAUGAGUUCGAGUUAGUCGAGCUCGCGAGCUGCGAGCUCACCUGCCAGCUCUAGUCCUAGUCUUGCAAUCAAAUAGGUUUAACGGUAUAGAAAGUGGAAGGAGCACAAGGCAUCCAUUCCCCAAGGCUAUUUACCAAUUCAGUACUUUGAGGAUACAAAAUCAUUCUGCAGGUACUCUUGUAUCUGUACUUUCUUGUACUGUAUGCCACUUUGACAGUAGAGUAAAAUUUAUAUCGACAAACUGCAUAUGUUCUGAACUACUCCUCUAUCCCAAAUUAGAUGAGCUAGUUGACUUUGAGCACGUAACUUAAGGUACAUUGACCAACUAGUUCCGAUAUUUAUUUUUUUAAUUUUUCUUUUGUAAAUGAAAAUUUCAUAUUUAAAUUUUUAUUUGCAAAACUAAAAUUUAAAAAUAUGUAAUGUGGCUAUGCGGUCAAUGUCAACGAGCUCAUCUAAUUUGGGAUUGGGAUGCAGGGAGUAUUACGUACUAUGUUAUGCAAGCUGUUUACAACUUUCAUCAAAAUUUUCAAACAUUUCUGAAUAUGUAUUUUCAAAGAAUUCUCGGGCACUCUUAAGGCCUAUAAUUAUUGGAACUCUCACGUUAUGGACCAGAGGACCACUAUGUAUUUUACAAGCACGACGAAUCAUGUGGUCAUUAUGGACUCCCCAAGCCUUAGAGGACUCAUUCCAGGUUUUAGGAGGACCACUGCCUAGCUCACCCUUUCGGAGUGAUGUAAAUUAGUUUCCAGACACUAAAAAUAAGUAAUCAGAUUAAUCAUUACAAAAUUUUGAUAUAAAAUCAGAAUAAAUCCUAAACUUUGAUGAUACAAAAAAAAUUAUAAUUGUAAAUUAUACAAUCAAAUUAAGAUCGAAUUAACUUCCCUCACACUUAAAAUUUAUAGCGAUCAAAUCAAAAUCGAAUUAACUUUCCUAUUACUAAAAUUUAAUUACAAUAUUAUUAGAUAAAGAGAAUAUAUAAUAAUCAAGAGAAAAUAGAUUUUUUUUUGCCACUCAACUUAUUGUGUUUUAAGAAACUUACCACCCAACUAAAUUUUUUUCCUUUUGCUCACUAAUGUUAGGUUUGGAUUUGUUUUUAGCCACCAAAUAAGGUUCGGAUUUGAUUACCAGCAUUAUGAUAAUUUUUUUUGUCACUAAACUUAUUGCGUCUUUAGAAACUAACCACUGAACUAAAUUUUUUUUAUUUUACUCACUAAUGUUAGAUUUAGUUUUUUUUGUCACUAUAGUUAGGUUCAGAUUUGAUUAUUAGCAUUACAUUAAUUCUGUGUAGCAUUUUUAAAAUAUGGUAGUAGUCUGUGAUAUUUAGAUGAUUUGAUAUAUGUCUGUAUUUUUAUAUAUAGUAUAUUUUAUGUCCCCAAGGUCGUUUACCUUGGGUCAUAAAAAUUUUACACUCAUUUUAUGACUUUUAAAAGAUGUAGUUUCAUAAAUAAUUUUAUUUUUUUCUUUCGAAUUAAAAUUCAGCAUUUGAAUUUUACACACAAAAAAAUCGCAAGAAUAAGAUAUGAAACUAUGCUUUACAAGAGUCUUAAAAUACGUGCUAAACGGUAGAAAAAACUGUAAACUAAUGAGAGGUACAUAGGGAGUAAUAAUAACAUAAAAUGAUGCACAAUCAUCGAAUUAAGUUUUCCUCUCUCUAUAUAUUUAUUUUGUAAAUUUUAAUAAGAUAAAGUUAUUAAAAUUUAUGAUAUAAAUUUAAGAGAUAUCUUAGAUUGAGUGGCAAAAAUUUAGUUGGGUGGUAAGUUUCUAAAAACACAAUAAAUUGAGUGGGAACAAAAUCUAUUUUCCCAAUAAUGAGUGGGAAUAAAAUCUAUUUUCCCAAUAAUCAAAGUGACGAAAAAUCAAAGUCAUCUAAUAAGUCCAGAAAAAAUAUGACCAUUAGUAUAUUGAAAUAAUAUUCACGCAUUUAUAUACGAGAAUAUAUGGUCCACAAGUUAGUGCACAAUGUCCAAGAAUCUUUAUCAAAUAACACGGCAAGCAUGCAGCAUAUAAAUAAGAGUGGGCAGUAUGGUAUUGCAUUCAUAACCCACUUGAGCAGAAAUAUGGCACACUUCCUAAAGCCUUCUCACCUUCUUCUCUUUGUUUUCUUUCUCUCGUUACUUCAAUCCAUUCUACCAACAAGACCAGAGGGAGAAGCUCUUGUGAAAUGGAAGAAUAGCCUAGCCCCGUCUUCUUUUCUCGAUUCUUGGUCACUAACCAAUCUCGAUAAUCUUUGUAACUGGACUGGCAUUACUUGUAACUCUGCAGGUUCAGUCUCUGGGAUUAACCUUUAUGAGAAACAACUUGAUGGAAUGCUGUCCGAGUUUGGCUUCACUUCAUUUCCGAAUCUCAACAAUCUCACCCUCGCAUACAACUUCUUCUCGGGUCCAAUACCACCAGCCAUUGAGAAUUUAACACAGCUUCAAUAUCUUGAUUUAAGCAUCAAUAGUCUCGAUGGUCCCAUUCCUUUCCAGGUUAGCCAUCUUCAGAGGUUGCUCGUCCUAAACCUGUCACAGAAUGCAUUGCAAGCUCCAAAUUGGUCCCAUUUCUCUUCCAUGCCUUUUUUGCGCAUCCUCAAGCUCAGUAGGAAUCAUCUUGUAUCNUUUUUAUUUAAAAAGAAAAUCUUGAAAAUAAUAUUAUUAACUACCAGUCAGAUCACUUAAGUGUAUGUCCAAAAUUAAAGCGGCAUAUAAAAAAAAGGGAGGAAGCAUGUACUAACUGUUUCCAUAACAGUUUACAAGUAUAAGCUAUACCCCCUCUCUAUUUUUUUCUAUGACAGCUUUGAUUUUGGGCACACAUUCUUAAGUGUUUUGACCGGAUAGUUAAAAAUUUAUCUUCUAAAAUUUUUAAAAAAAGUAAAAUCGCAAAAAAAAUUAGAAAGCUGGUAUUUUUGAUAAAUUUCCAAAUAUGUAAUCAAGAAAAAUAACUUUUACUAUCCAAUCAACUCAUUUAAAGAUGUGUGUCAAAAAUCAAAAUAUCAUACAAAAAAUAGGUAUACAUUUUUUUAAUAGAUUAUACUCCCUCUGUUCCAAAAUAAGUGUCAGCUGGGGGUAAUAACAAGACCUUAGUCAACCCAAGCACAGCAGACAGCAGGCAUAAGGCAUCAGGAAUUUCACAGGACCAUUAUCUUUCUCUUAUUAACUGUGAAGGGAACAGCGUAUGAAGUAGCAAGAACCUUCAUAUUUACACAGCCAUUGAUCUGUCGUGCAACAAAUUUCAGGGAGAAAUUCCAAAGGUUACCGGAGAGCUUAGAUGGCUUGCAUUGCUCAAUUUAUCGCAUAAUUAAUAGUCUGACAGGACCUAUCCCAACAUUGCUGAGAAAUAUGAAAUAACUCCAUUACUCCAAUCUUAGAUUUGUCCUCAAAUCAACUGACAGGGGCUAUUCCACCUCUGUUAACUGCAUUGACAUUACUUUUCUCUUUAUAUUCUUUCCUUUUGUAUGUACCUAUGCUAAUUAUCUGAUUAUUAAAAUUAUAACAAAGCUUCAAGAUUUUUAACAGGUGAGCUUCCACUAAAAAUUUGCAAAGUCACUUCCCUUUCGCGUCUCAUUAUGUUAGAUAAUGGGUCAAGUGGUGCACUUCCACAGUGUUUGGGGAACCUUUCUUUGCUUGGUUUCAAUAAUCUUGCUAAUUAUCAAUUUCAAGGACCAAUACCAACGACUGUCCAAGACUUGUCUGUGCAUAUCUAAACAUCCAUAACAAUCACUUUGAAGGUUUGUUGCUCCAAUCUUUGGCAAACUGUAAACACUUACAAAUUCUUGAUAUUGGAAACAACGUUGGAGAGCUAGAUGUCCCAGUUAGGGCGGUAAUUCGACUAGAGCAAACCGAGUUUUGAGCGGAGCCAAAUUCGAGCCAAGUUUAAUCGAGUCGAGCCGAGUCGGCUCGUUUAGCUAAUCGAGCCUAAAACUUAGCCCGAACUCGACUCAUUUAAUUUCACGAGUCGAGUCGAGCCAACUCGUUUAGCUAAAUGAGCUGAUUUUAACAAGUCGAGCGAGCGAGCUCGUAUAAUUUUAACUUAGUCGAGCCUGAAUCUCUACCCAAACUAUUGGCUCGUGUAAUUUCGCGAGUCGAAUCGAGCCGGCUCGUUUUAUUAAACAAGCCGAAAUUUUUGCCCGAAUUUGCUCGUUUAACAAGCCGAUCUGAGCCUAGUUAAAUGAGUUCGAGUUAGUCGAGCUCGCGAGCUGCGAGCUCACCUGCCAGCUCUAGUCCUAGUCUUGCAAUCAAAUAGGUUUAACGGUAUAGAAAGUGGAAGGAGCACAAGGCAUCCAUUCCCCAAGGCUAUUUACCAAUUCAGUACUUUGAGGAUACAAAAUCAUUCUGCAGGUACUCUUGUAUCUGUACUUUCUUGUACUGUAUGCCACUUUGACAGUAGAGUAAAAUUUAUAUCGACAAACUGCAUAUGUUCUGAACUACUCCUCUAUCCCAAAUUAGAUGAGCUAGUUGACUUUGAGCACGUAACUUAAGGUACAUUGACCAACUAGUUCCGAUAUUUAUUUUUUUAAUUUUUCUUUUGUAAAUGAAAAUUUCAUAUUUAAAUUUUUAUUUGCAAAACUAAAAUUUAAAAAUAUGUAAUGUGGCUAUGCGGUCAAUGUCAACGAGCUCAUCUAAUUUGGGAUUGGGAUGCAGGGAGUAUUACGUACUAUGUUAUGCAAGCUGUUUACAACUUUCAUCAAAAUUUUCAAACAUUUCUGAAUAUGUAUUUUCAAAGAAUUCUCGGGCACUCUUAAGGCCUAUAAUUAUUGGAACUCUCACGUUAUGGACCAGAGGACCACUAUGUAUUUUACAAGCACGACGAAUCAUGUGGUCAUUAUGGACUCCCCAAGCCUUAGAGGACUCAUUCCAGGUUUUAGGAGGACCACUGCCUAGCUCACCCUUUCGGAGUGAUGUAAAUUAGUUUCCAGACACUAAAAAUAAGUAAUCAGAUUAAUCAUUACAAAAUUUUGAUAUAAAAUCAGAAUAAAUCCUAAACUUUGAUGAUACAAAAAAAAUUAUAAUUGUAAAUUAUACAAUCAAAUUAAGAUCGAAUUAACUUCCCUCACACUUAAAAUUUAUAGCGAUCAAAUCAAAAUCGAAUUAACUUUCCUAUUACUAAAAUUUAAUUACAAUAUUAUUAGAUAAAGAGAAUAUAUAAUAAUCAAGAGAAAAUAGAUUUUUUUUUGCCACUCAACUUAUUGUGUUUUAAGAAACUUACCACCCAACUAAAUUUUUUUCCUUUUGCUCACUAAUGUUAGGUUUGGAUUUGUUUUUAGCCACCAAAUAAGGUUCGGAUUUGAUUACCAGCAUUAUGAUAAUUUUUUUUGUCACUAAACUUAUUGCGUCUUUAGAAACUAACCACUGAACUAAAUUUUUUUUAUUUUACUCACUAAUGUUAGAUUUAGUUUUUUUUGUCACUAUAGUUAGGUUCAGAUUUGAUUAUUAGCAUUACAUUAAUUCUGUGUAGCAUUUUUAAAAUAUGGUAGUAGUCUGUGAUAUUUAGAUGAUUUGAUAUAUGUCUGUAUUUUUAUAUAUAGUAUAUUUUAUGUCCCCAAGGUCGUUUACCUUGGGUCAUAAAAAUUUUACACUCAUUUUAUGACUUUUAAAAGAUGUAGUUUCAUAAAUAAUUUUAUUUUUUUCUUUCGAAUUAAAAUUCAGCAUUUGAAUUUUACACACAAAAAAAUCGCAAGAAUAAGAUAUGAAACUAUGCUUUACAAGAGUCUUAAAAUACGUGCUAAACGGUAGAAAAAACUGUAAACUAAUGAGAGGUACAUAGGGAGUAAUAAUAACAUAAAAUGAUGCACAAUCAUCGAAUUAAGUUUUCCUCUCUCUAUAUAUUUAUUUUGUAAAUUUUAAUAAGAUAAAGUUAUUAAAAUUUAUGAUAUAAAUUUAAGAGAUAUCUUAGAUUGAGUGGCAAAAAUUUAGUUGGGUGGUAAGUUUCUAAAAACACAAUAAAUUGAGUGGGAACAAAAUCUAUUUUCCCAAUAAUGAGUGGGAAUAAAAUCUAUUUUCCCAAUAAUCAAAGUGACGAAAAAUCAAAGUCAUCUAAUAAGUCCAGAAAAAAUAUGACCAUUAGUAUAUUGAAAUAAUAUUCACGCAUUUAUAUACGAGAAUAUAUGGUCCACAAGUUAGUGCACAAUGUCCAAGAAUCUUUAUCAAAUAACACGGCAAGCAUGCAGCAUAUAAAUAAGAGUGGGCAGUAUGGUAUUGCAUUCAUAACCCACUUGAGCAGAAAUAUGGCACACUUCCUAAAGCCUUCUCACCUUCUUCUCUUUGUUUUCUUUCUCUCGUUACUUCAAUCCAUUCUACCAACAAGACCAGAGGGAGAAGCUCUUGUGAAAUGGAAGAAUAGCCUAGCCCCGUCUUCUUUUCUCGAUUCUUGGUCACUAACCAAUCUCGAUAAUCUUUGUAACUGGACUGGCAUUACUUGUAACUCUGCAGGUUCAGUCUCUGGGAUUAACCUUUAUGAGAAACAACUUGAUGGAAUGCUGUCCGAGUUUGGCUUCACUUCAUUUCCGAAUCUCAACAAUCUCACCCUCGCAUACAACUUCUUCUCGGGUCCAAUACCACCAGCCAUUGAGAAUUUAACACAGCUUCAAUAUCUUGAUUUAAGCAUCAAUAGUCUCGAUGGUCCCAUUCCUUUCCAGGUUAGCCAUCUUCAGAGGUUGCUCGUCCUAAACCUGUCACAGAAUGCAUUGCAAGCUCCAAAUUGGUCCCAUUUCUCUUCCAUGCCUUUUUUGCGCAUCCUCAAGCUCAGUAGGAAUCAUCUUGUAUCGAAAUUUCCAGAAUUUAUAUCCAAUUCUCAUAGCUUGGCUAUCCUUGACCUUGGCCAGAACAACUUUACAGGUGAUCUUGUGCGUGAAUUUACCAAUCUACAAAAUCUUGAAACCCUCUGGCUUUAUCGUAAUUCUUUUGAGGGGCCAUUUCCGCCGGAUAUAGUCCAGCUUUCCAAACUAAAAGAUCUUGCCCUGUCAAGUAACAAAUUUUCAGGUUCAGUUCCCAAUAACAUAAGGUUGCUUUGUGAUCUUGAAUACCUAUAUUUAGGCAACAAUUCCUUUAAGGGGCCACUUCCACCAAAUAUAUUUAAGCUUUCAAAAUUAAAACAUCUUGUUCUUUGGAGUAAUAAGUUUUCAGGUUCUGUUUCCAAUGAUAUAGGUUUGCUUCAUGAGCUUGUAACCCUCAAUCUUAACUCUAAUUUUUUUGAGGGGCCGCUUCCGCCAAAUGUAUUCAAGCUCUCCAAACUAAAGUUUUUUGCCCUUCAUGAGAAUAACUUUUCAGGUUUUAUUUCUAAGGAUAUAGGUUUGCUUUCCGAACUUGAAAUCCUCUAUUUUGGCUCUAAUUUUUUUGAGGGGCCGCUUCCUCCACAUGUAUUUAGGCUCUCCAAAUUAAGAGGUCUGGACCUCUCACACAAUAGAAAUUUAUUUGAAGGAAGUAUUCCUAUUGGACUGGGACUCUUGACUAACCUCAGGUACUUAGAUCUACAUUCCAAUAAUCUCGGUGGCUAUAUUCCAUCUGACAUUGGAAACCUGAAGCUACUAGUACUUCUUGAUCUCGGUUCUAAUCAAUUGACUGGACCGCUUUCAAAGAUCGUUUCUAAUCUCACAAAUCUUAUAUGUCUUGAUGUAAGUCAUAAUAGUCUUAGUGGAAAUAUUCAGAGUGACUUGUGGAAAUAUAACGAUCAUCCAACUUUGGAAUACAUCAAUUUAAGUGGGAACCAUUUUACGGGUAUAGUUUUUCUCUAUAGAUCUUUUCCUUUUCUCAUAUGUAACUAAGCUAGUAAUCUGAUUAUUGCAGUUUCACCAAAGUUUCAACAAUCUUGACAGGUGAGCUUCCAACAACAAUUUGCAAUGUCACUUCCCUUUCGGUUCUUGAUUUGUCAAAUAAUGAAUUAAGUGGUGCACUUCCAAACUCUUUGGGGAAUCUUGCUGAUGGAAUGCUUUACCUUAAUCUUGCUAAUAAUCAGUUUCGAGGAACAAUACCAACUACUUUCUCCAGGAGUUGUCGGUUGACAUAUCUAAACAUGGAUAAUAAUGAGUUUGAAGGAUUGUUGCCCCCAUCUUUGGCGAACUGUAAGCACUUGAAAAUUCUUGAUAUAGGCAAUAAUAAAAUAGGUGGUACAUUUCCGUCAUGGCUUUAUGCACUUGGAGAGCUAGAAGUUCUUGUCUUGCGAUCAAAUAAACUCUAUGGUACGAUAAGUGGAAGGAGCAUAGAAGAUCCCUUCCCCAAGUUGCGGAUUGUGGAUCUGUCCCACAAUCAAUUGACAGGCUAUUUGCCAAUUCAAUACUUUAAGAAUAUGAAAUCAACUGAUAAUUUGUAUCGUUAUCGGAAUUCCACAGGACCAUUAUCUUUCUCUUAUGAAGCAGCAGUCUCAUUAACUGUGAAGGGAACAGAGUACGAGGUAGCAAAGAACCUUCAUAUUUACACAGCCAUUGACCUGUCGUGCAACAAAUUUCAGGGAGAAAUUCCAAAGGUUACUGGAGAGCUUAGAUGGCUUGCAUUGCUGAAUUUAUCUCAUAAUAGUCUGACAGGACCUAUCCCAUCCUUGCUGAAAAAUAUGAAAGAACUCCAAUCUUUAGAUUUGUCCUCAAAUCAACUGACAGGGGCUAUUCCACCUCAGUUAACUGCAUUGACAUUUCUGGAGGUCUUCAACCUCUCGGGAAACCAUCUUAGUGGAGAGAUUCCUCAGAAAGGGCAGUUCAGCACAUUUAACAAUGAUUCUUAUCUAGGAAACUCCGCGUUAUGUGGAUCACCUUUGACAAAGAAAUGUGCAAACACAGCAUCACCUCCACAAGAAGUCGGAAAUGGUGAUGAAGAUGAUGCUGGUGAUGAAUGGACAUGGGAAGCAAUCGUGAUGGGAUAUGGAUGUGGACUGAUAUGUGGAUUGUCAUCUGCGUACAUUGUUCUCAAACUAGGAAAGCCUUGGUGGUUUGUGAGAUAUAUCGAAGUGCUGCAACUGAAGUUGAUGAAAAGAUAUGCUUGAAAAAUUGUACUGGCCGAUCAAGACGAACUUGAAAGUUGUUGUCCUUGUGGACAUUUCUGAACCAGUAGUGUACUAGCUGCAUAAGUAUUUGGUAUUAUGUAAUAAUCCGUUUGGUCAGGACUCAUAAUGAUUUCUCUUGCUUCAGGGGUAUUAAUAUUAACCUUGCUAGUUAAUUCAAAUUAAAACAAAUAUAAAAUCAAAAAAUUUGCAUCAAACACCUGUUAUACCAACAUCCAUUAAUUUGCUUUCAUCUCUUACGUAACAAUUUAACAGCGAUUCCACACUGUUUUAGGCAUGGAGAUUACACAAAGAAGGCAAGUCCAUGAACUAAUAUAUUAACCCGUAGUCCACAUCUAUGCUACGAACAAUUCAUAUUGGUCUUCCAUCUAUUCAACCGUCUCCCGAAGAUAGGCCAAAAAUGUCAUCUGUGGUUCUUAUCUUUGUCAGUAAAGGAGAAUCUCUGAUGCCUAUACAACCUGGUUUUCUUACAGAAAGGAAUGUAGGUGAAACCAGGGGCAUAAAAUGAAUCGGGACUAAAAUCUGCUAAAAUGAUAAUUAUUUACUCAUCAUUCGAGAUUAGUCGGGCUCAAAUGAAGAUUUAUAUGGAUUUUAAGAACAAACUAUGACUAAAUAUGAAAACUAGACAACCUGGUUUUCUUACAGAAAGGAAUGUAGGUGAAACCAGGGGCGUAAAAUGAAUCGGGACUAAAAUCUGCUAAAAUGAUAGUAAUUAUUUACUCAUCAUUCAAGAUUAGUCGGGCUCAAAUGAAGAUUUAUAUGGAUUUUUAAGAACAAACUAUGACUAAAUAUGAAAAAAAUCAUUAAUUUUUCCGACUCAAUAUUUUUUAGCCUCCCCCGGCCCUGGGUGAAACCAUAAGCUUCUCUGGUGCACAUCCAAAUCAUUCAGCUGGUUCUGCAGGUACUCUUCUAUCUGUACUUUCUUAUAUUGUUUGCCAGUACAUUUUAUAUCGACAAACUGCACAAUACACCUCGAUCUCAUACACAGGUGAACUCCUGCAUAUGCUUUGUGAUGUCAUUGAUGAUCGAUAGACUUGAAAAAAAAUUAUGACAAAGAUUCAUAAAAUAUCUACUUCCAUCCUAAUUCAGUAUUCAAUAUUAUUCAUCCCGUAUCAUCAUCCAAUCAAUUCUAAUAGUUCUUCUUUAAAUCAGUACAAAUAUUGUUAAAUACCUCGAUGAUGGUUGUCUUCCCGUGAACCAAUCAUAAAAUUACCUCUGUAUAAAUCCAUCGGAAAUAAGACAGUUAAUAUCCCAAUCGAAUACACCCCGUCAGUUGUCAAACUCCUCGAAACGUAUUAAUCACUUUAGAAAAUUUGUUCCACUGGCGCUAGUCAGUCCCAGAGUUGGUGGUGGGUGCUUCUGGGCUUUCGAAAAACACCCAUUUACUCCAUUGUUUAGAGAAGUAAAACCCCACCUUCCGCUCAUUUGAUUGAUCAGCUGAAUUAGGCAGAGUUUACAUGGUCAUGAUCAUAGUCUCCCAUUUCCCAGAUACGCGAAUUAUAGUGGAUUUAUCUUUAUCAGUAAUUUCUGUGGAGAUGCAUAAUCAUUAUAAGCUCCAAUAUAAAAAUUUAAAGUUAGUAUGGGCAUUUGUGUUGAUAAUUUGCGCAAUGUUAACAGGAUUGCUCCCAAGUCUUGGACGGACUCUUUCAAAGUCUUCUCAGGACCCAUCUGCACACUGAUUUGUCUGCCAACUAAAAAAUCAACAAUAUGUUACUCACUCCGUUUUUCUUAAACGAGGUUAAAAUUUUUGACACAAGAUGGGUUGACAGUAUAAUAAAAUUAACAUUUUUGUGAAUAAAAAUUUUGGUUGUAUUAUUUUAUUUAGAAAAAGAAAAUCUUGAAAAUAAUAUUAUUAACUACCCAGUCAAAUCACUUAAAAGUAUAUGUCCAAAAUUAAAGCGGCAUAUAAAAAAACCGAGAGAGAGUAUGUACUAACCUGUUUCCAUAACAGUUUACAAGUAUAAGUUAUACUCCCUCUCUAUUUUUUUAUAUGACGCUUUGAUUUUGGGCACAUAUUUUUAAGUGUUUUGACCGGAUAAUUAAAAAUAUUAUUUUCUAAAAUUUUUAAAAGAAAGUAAAAUUGAAAAAAAAAUAGAAAGCUGGUAUUUUUGAUAAAUUUCCAAACAUAAUCAAGAACAAUAAUUUUUACUAUCCAAUCAACUCAUUUACAGAUGUGUGUCAAAAAUCAAAAUAUCAUAUAAAAAACAACAAUAUGUUACUCCCUCCGUUUUUCUUAAACUGAGGUUAAAAUUUUUGACACAAGAUGGGUUGACAGUAUAAAAUUAAAAUUUUUGUGAAUAAAAAUUUUGGUUAUAUUUUUUAUUUAAAAAGAAAAUCUUGAAAAUAAUAUUAUUAACUACCAGUCAGAUCACUUAAGUGUAUGUCCAAAAUUAAAGCGGCAUAUAAAAAAAAGGGAGGAAGCAUGUACUAACUGUUUCCAUAACAGUUUACAAGUACAAGUUAUACUCCCUCUCUAUUUUUUCUAUGACGCUUUGAUUUUGGGCACACAUUCUUAAGUGUUUUGACCGGAUAGUUAAAAAUUUAUCUUCUAAAAUUUUUAAAAAGAAGUAAAAUCGCAAAAAAAAUUAGAAAGCUGGUAUUUUUGAUAAAUUUCCAAAUAUGUAAUCAAGAACAAUAACUUUUACUAUCCAAUCAACUCAUUUAAAGAUGUGUGUCAAAAAUCAAAAUAUCAUACAAAAAAUAGGUAUACAUUUUUUUUAAUAGAUUAUACUCCCUCUGUUCCAAAAUAAUUGUCAGCUGUGACAUUUUGCAAAAGUAGCUGGGGGGUAAUAACAAGACCUUAGUCAACCCAAGCACAGCAGACAGCAGGCAUAAGGCAUCAGGAAUUUCACAGCACCAUUAUCUUUCUCUUAUUAACUGUGAAGGGAACAGAGUAUGAAGUAGCAAGAACCUUCAUAUUUACACAGCCAUUGAUCUGUCGUGCAACGAAUUUCAGGGAGAAAUUUCAAAGGUUACUGGAGAGCUUAGAUGGCUUGCAUUGCUCAAUUUAUCUCAUAAUAGUCUCACAGGACCUAUCCCAUCAUUGCUGAGAAAAAUGAAAGAACUCCAAUCUUUAGAUUUGUCCUCAAAUCAACUGACAGGGGCUAUUCCACCUCAGUUAACUGCAUUGACAUUACUUUUCUCUUUAUAUCCUUUCCUUUUGUAUGUACCUAUGCUAAUUAUCUGAUUAUCAAAAUUAUAACAAAGCUUCAAGAUUUUUAACAGGUGAGCUUCCACUAAAAAUUUGCAAAGUCACUUCCCUUUCGCGUCUCAUUAUGUCAGAUAAUGGGUCAAGUGGUGCACAUCCACAGUGUUUGGGGAACCUUUCUUUGCUUGGUUUCAAUAAUCUUGCUAAUUAUCAAUUUCAAGGACCAAUACCAACGACUGUCCAAGACUUGUCUGUGCAUAUCUAAACAUCCAUAACAAUCACUUUGAAGGUUUGUUGCUGCAAUCUUUGACAAACUGUAAACACUUACAAAUUCUUGAUAUUGGAAACAACAAAAUAGGUGGUACAUUUCGGUCAUGGCUAUUUAUUUUGGAGAGCUAGAUGUCCUAGUUAGGGCGGUAAUUCAACUAGAGCAAACCGAGUUUUGAGCGGAGCCAAAUUCGAGCCAAGUUUAAUCGAGUCAAGCCGAGUCGGCUCGUUUAGCUAAUCGAGCCUAAAACUCUGCCCGAACUCGACUCGUUUAAUUUCACGAACGAGUCAAGCGAGUGAGCUCGUAUAAUUUUAACUUAAUCGAGCCUAAAUCUCUACCCGAACUAUUGGCUCGUGUAAUUUCGCGAGUAGAAUCGAGCCGGCUCGUUUUAUUAUAGAAGCCGAAAUUUUUGCCCGAAUUUGGCUUGUUUAACAAGCCGAUCUUUCAUCAAAAAUUUCAAACAUUUCUGAAUAUGUAUUUUCAGAGAAUUUCUCCAGCACUCUUAAGGCCUAUAAUUAUUGCAACUCUCACGUUAUGGACCACUGUGUAUUUUACAAGCACGACGAAUCAUGUUGUCAUUAUGGACUCCCCAAGCCUUAGAGGACUCAUUCCAGGUCUUAGGAGGACCACUGCCUAGCUCACCCUUUCGGAGUGAUGUAAAUUAUUUUCCAAACAUUAAAAAUAAAUAAUCAGAUUAAUCAAUACAAAAUUAAAGAUAUAAAAUCAGAAUAAAUCCUAAACUUUGAAUAUACAAAAAAAAUUAUAAUUGUAAAUUAUACAAUCAAAUUAAAAUUGAAUUAACUUCCCUCACACUUAAAAUUUAUAGCGAUCAAAUCAAAAUCGAAUUAACUUUCCUAUUACUAAAAUUUAGUUACAAUAUUAUUAGAUAAAGAGAAUAUAUAAUAAUCAAGGGAAAAUAGAUUUUUUUUUUUUGCCACUCAACUUAUUGUUUUUUAAGAAACUUACCACCCAACUAAUUAUUUUUUCCUUUUGCUCACUAAUGUUAGGUUUGGAUUUGUUUUUAGCCACCAACUAAGGUUCGGAUUUGAUUACUAGCAUUAUGAUAAUUUUUUUUGUCACUAAACUUAUUGUGUCUUUAGAAACUAACCACUCAACUAAUUUUUUUUUAAUUUACUCACUAAUGUUAGGUUCAGUUUUUUUUUGUCACUGAAGUUAGGUUCGGAUUUGAUUAUUAGCAUUACAUUAAUUCUGUGUAGCAUUUUUAAAAUAUGGCUCAUAAGAAUUUUACACGCAUUUUAUGACUUUUAAAAGAUGUAGUUUCAUUAAUAAUUUUAUUUUUUUCUUCCGAAUUAAAAUUUAGCGUUUGAAUUUUACACACAAAAAAUCGAAAGAAUAAGUUAUGAAAGUAUGCUUUAUAAGAGUCUUAAAAUACGUGCUAAACGGUAGAAAAAACUGUACACUAAUGACAGGUAAAUAGGGAGUAAUAAUAACAUAAAAUGAUGCACAAUCAUCGAAUUAAGUUUUCCUCUCUCUAUAUAUUUAUUUUGAAAAUUUUAAUAAGAUAAAGUUAUUAAAAUUUAUGAUAUAAAUUUAAGAGAUAUCUUAGAUUGAGUGGCAAAAAUUUAGUUGGGUGAUAAAUUUCUAAAAACACAAUAAAUUGAAUGGGAACAAAAUCUAUUUUCCCGAUAAUCAAAGUGACGAAAAAUCAAAGUCAUCUAAUAAGUCCAGAAAAAAUAUGACCAUUAGUAUAUCGGAAUAAUAUUCACACAUUUAUAUACGAGAAUAUAUGGUCCACAAGUUAGUGCACAAUGUCCAAGAAUCUUUAUUAAAGUAACACGGCAAGCAUGCAGCAUAUAAAUAAGAGUGGGCACUGGGCAGUAUGGUAUUGCAUUCAUAACCCACUUGAGGAGAAAUAUGGCACACUUCCUAAAGCCUUCUCACCUUCUUCUCUUUGUUUUCUUUCUCUCGUUACUUCAAUCCAUUCUACUAACAAGACCAGAGGGAGAAGCUCUUGUGAAAUGGAAGAAUAGCCUUGCCCCUUCUUCUUUUCUCGAUUCUUGGUCACUCACCAAUCUCGAUGAUCUUUGUAACUGGACUGGCAUUACUUGUAACUCUGCAGGUUCAGUCUCUGAGAUUAACCUUUAUGAGAAACAACUUGAUGGAAUGCUGUCCGAGUUUAGUUUCACUUCAUUUCCAAAUCUUAACAGUCUCACUCUCGCAUACAACUUCUUCUCGGGUCCAAUACCACCAGCCAUUGAGAAUUUAACACAGCUUCAAUAUCUUGAUUUAAGCAUCAAUAGUCUCGAUGGUCUCAUUCCGUUCCAGGUUAGCCAUCUUCAGAGGUUGCUCGUCUUAAACCUGUCACAGAAUGCAUUGCAAGCUCCAAAUUGGUCCCAAUUCUCUCCCAUGCCCUUUUUGUGCAGCCUCAACCUCAGUAGCAAUCCUCUUGCGUCGAAAUUCCCAAAUUUCAUAUCCAAUUCUCAUGGCCUGACUCACCUUAGCCUUGAUCAAAACGAGUUUACAGGUGAUUUAGCGCGUGAAUCAAUAUUUGCCAAUCUGCAUAAUCUUGAAGUCCUCAGUCUUGUUGGCAAUUCUUUUGAGGGGCCAUUUCUGCCAAAUAUAUUCAAGCUUUCCAAAUUAAAACGUCUCACCCUGUCAAGUAACAAAUUUUUAGGAUCAAUUCCCAAUGACAUAAGGUUGCUUUGUGAUCUUGAAUUCCUGUAUUUAGGAAACAAUUCUUUUGAAGGACCGCUUCCACCAAAUAUAUUCAAGCUUUCAAAAUUAAAACAUCUUGUUCUUUGGAGUAAUAAGUUUUCAGGUUCUGUUUCCAAUGAUAUAGGUUUGCUUUCUGCGCUUGAACUUUUGAAUCUUCACUCUAAUUUUUUUGAGGGGCCGCUUCCGCCAAAUGUAUUCAAGCUCUCUAAACUAAGGUUUCUUAACCUCUGGGGUAACAACUUUUCAGGUUCUGUUUCCAAUGAUAUAGGUUUGCUUCCGGAGCUAGAAAUCCUCAAUCUUCACUCUAAUUUUUUUGAGGGCCGCUUCCGCCAAAUAUAUUCAAGCUCUCUAAACUAAGGUUUCUUAACCUUUGGGGUAAUAACUUUUCAGGUUCUGUUUCCAAUGAUAUAGGUUUGCUUCCUGAGCUAGAAUUCCUCAAUCUUCACUCUAAUUUUUUUGAGGGUCCGCUUCCGCCAAAUGUAUUCAAGCUCUCUAAACUAAAGUUUCUUCAUCUUCGAGGUAAUAAGUUUUCAGGUUCUGUUUCCAAUGAUAUAGGUUUGCUUCCUGAGCUUGAAAUCCUCAAUCUUCGCUCUAAUUUUUUUGAGGGGCCGCUUCCGCCAAAUGUAUUCAAGCUCUCCAAACUAAGGUUUCUUUCCCUUAAGGAAAAUAAAUUUUCAGGUUCUGUUUCCAAUGAUAUAGGUUUCCUUUCUGAGCUUGAAUACCUAUAUCUUGACUAUAAUUUAUUUGAAGGAAGUAUUCCUAUUGGACUGGGACUCUUGACUAACCUCAGCUACUUAGAUCUAAGUUCCAAUAAUCUCAGUGGCUAUAUUCCAUCUGACAUUGGAAACCUGAAGCUACUAGUAUUUCUUGAUCUCAGUUCUAACCAAUUGACUGGACCGCUUUUAAAGAUCGUUUCUAAUCUCACAAAUCUUAUGAAUCUUGAUGUAAGUGAUAAUAGUCUUAGUGGAAAUAUUCAGAGUGACUUGUGGAAGAACUCUAUAUCCUUACGUUACAUUAAUUUUGCAAAUAAUUAUUUGUCUGGGAACAUUCCUAAGGAAUACAACGAUCAUCCAACUUUGGAAUACAUCAAUUUAAGUGGGAACCAUUUUACAGGUAUAUUUUUCUCUAUAUAUCUUUUCCUUUUCUCAUAUGUAACUAAGCUGGUAAUCUGAUUAUUGCAGUUUUACCAAAGUUUCAACAAUCUUGACAGGUGAGCUUCCAACAACAAUUUGCAAUGUCACUUCCCUUGCGGUUCUUGUUUUGUCAAAUAAUGGAUUAAGUGGAGCACUUCCAAAUUGUUUCGGGAAACUUGCUGAUAGAUUGCUUUCCAUUAAUCUUGCUAAUAAUCAGUUUCGAGGAACAAUACCAACUACUUUCUCCAGGAGUUGUCAGGUGAAAUAUCUAAACAUGGAUAAUAAUGAGUUUGAAGGAUUCUUGCCCCCAUCUUUGGCGAACUGUAAGCACUUGAAAAUUCUUGAUAUUGGCAAUAACAAAAUAGGUGGUCCAUUUCCGUCAUGGCUUUAUGUACUUGGAGAGAUAGAAGUCCUUGUCUUGCGAUUAAAUAAACUCUAUGGUACAAUAAGUGGAAGGAGCGUAAAAGAUCCCUUCCCCAAGUUGCGGAUUGUGGAUCAAUAGACAUCGGCUAAAAAGCGAUGUCUAUGUAAAAUCAGACCGAUGUCUUCGUGGGUGAUGAGAAAAGUAAGUGCAUUACACAUCGCUUUCUAGCCGAUGUCUAUAACCUAUUUACACAUCGUUUAAUAUGACAAUCUGAUGUAUUUUUUAACAGUAGAUACCUUCACUAUAAUUUCAGUUCCUCAUUCCUAUGCCCUCUAUAUCAUUUUAAACUUGUCACAUGCUUAAUAAAAUGAUACUUUAACAUCUUAAAACUUGUAAAAUAGAUGUAUAUGAUAACCUUUUACAUCAUGCUUUUAUAGGAAGUGAUGUGGUACCCUUCUUUUCUUUAAGAAAGCGAUGUCUUUGUUCUUGUUUUACAUCAGUGAUUUUUAUACUCUGAUAUCUAUUAUAUAGUUUAACAUCAGGCUUUUUCUUGUUAACUGAUAUGUAUUCAUUCUUAUGACAUCGCUUACUAAGUGAUGUAAAUGUUAGUUUUAAAUUGCCAUGAAUCCUCCUGUUUCUUAUGAAUCCCCCUGUUUCAUUUAAAUUUCCAACAAAUUCCAAAACAACACCAAAGCUAUACUAAUUAAACAACCAAUUACCAAUGUCUAGCCUACCAUAACAGAACUAAAACAAAACUAGCUAGCAAAACAAUACUUCCGCAAAAGCCAAAUAUAUUACCAUCAAUCAUUACCAAUCAAAUUACAUCCCACAAUCAAAGAAACUGCACAAAUCCUAAAUAUUAACCAAGCAACCAUAAUUUACAAGCAGUUCACCACGUACUCCAGCAACCAUAAUUUACCAACUACAUUUCCCUCCAUUUAUCAACAAAAUCUACUUAGCUAGCUAGUGUCACUGUCUUACAUAAACUGAACUAAUUAAAGGAAACCAAAGUUCUCCAAUAAACCAAAGGCCUGUUUAUAAGAAGGACUCGAUAUGGCUAAGUGUCUCAAACCGAACCUCGUCAAGCUCAGCCUUGGAACAAAUCACUUUUCGAUUCUUGGAUGCCCACUGAAAAAUGUAAAACAAUAACAUUGAAUUAUACCUAAAUUUAUAUGUACACCAUUUAAUUAUAUCAACAAUGGAUUAGGCAAAGAAAAAUACCCUUUUAAAAAAUGUCAUUUCAUUGUCCAUGACAAUCUCUUUCAUAUACCGCAUAAUAACAUAGCCGCAUUCAGUUCCACCGGGCUGUUUAGGACAUCCCUAUUUAACCAAAAAAAACUCAAAAUAGUAAGUAAAGUAAUGCCCCUGGUUCUAAGCAUCAGUAGCACAAAUUGUUAAAAAUAAAUACGAAAGCUUACUGUAAUAUAUUUGAAGCUUGGGGCUUUAUUUCCCCUUCCGGCCUGAACAUUGAAAGUAAUCACAGCCCUGUCAUCUUGGCAGUGUUAAUAAUGCACAUGCAUUUAUAUCUCCAUAAGAAAGAUAAUCAAUAAAAAAAUAAAUGAAAAUACCUUGAUAUUGCUUUUUCCAAGUUGGGGAAACUAGUUGAACGAGGCAGAGGAUUAAGUAUGAAAACCUCGCCACCCCAAAACAGAACCAAUACCCAAUGGAAACUAUUUUUAACAAAUAUUUAUGAAAAACACAAUUACUAUCAAAAUCAUAUAAAUUUUAUUUUCAGUCAUGUAAAAAACUAAAUAAAAGAGAUUUAUAAUAAAUAAGAAAACACUUAAGCUACUUACUUGCUAUUAUGCGGCAUCAAAAAGAGACGAUCAGGAUUACCCUCUUUAAAUCGAUUAACCAAGUUAUCUUCAAAAGAAUUGUUCAUCAAGUUCAGCGAGGCUCCAGGAUCACAAAAAGCAAAUUGAUCCUUAGUGCCAUUUUCACGAACCACGCAAUGCAAGUAUCUACAUUGUAAAUGAAAUGAAAUUAUAUAAAAUUACACGAAUAUGAAUUAUAACUAAACAACAGUCAUGAUCUAGAAGACAGUAAUUAAAAAAAGUUUACUCACGCCAUGUAUGCAGCAAUUGCUGCUUGGCCAAUCAUAUUAAACUCCAGCAAGGCGACUAUGUUUUCAUACAAGAUGAAGAUUCUUUUCUCGAUACCAAACACCUCAGCAUCACACGGGAUUUGAAUUGAGUCUCCGGAGGAUUGCAUAAAUGUUGUUGCAUGUUUAUACAACAACCGAAAGCGUUUUGGAACAUUUUUAUUGAUCUCCAUGUUAUGAAACAAGGACUGGACUUUAUCUAAAUCGGUUUUAGGUUCCUUUACUUUCCGUUUACCUUUCUGAAAAAUGAACAAAAUUAAUUUAAAACAAAAUAUAACAAAAUAUAGGGGUAACAUAUAAUAGUACAAUCCAGUACAACAAUUAUGUUAAAGUACACACCAUAGUAGGAAUAGUAGGAGGGGCAUUUGGGAAUAUGAUCAAGUCGCGGGGCCAUGAGACGUACGAGCCAACAGCUUGCUCUACUGUUUCAAUCUCACCUGGUACCGGUUUAGGAAUCUUGGCUUGUCCUUGAAUUGGGCCAUCCACUGAGACGCGAACACAUCCAGGCUCUAUCGGCACUCCAUGUAUAGAUUUGUUCAUGUUAUCAUCAUCAAACAACAAACCAAAUGCCACUUUAUUUUCUAUUGUGCCUACAGCCAACUCACAUUUUCGUGGACCGGCCUACACACAUAUAUUUAAACAAUUAUGACGAAUGCUUGAAAUAUGUUGAGCUAAAUUGAAUAAAUGUGCUAGUUAUUUUACCUUAUUCUCUGGUGGAUUAGGUUCCAAGUCAACUUCAAUCAUCUCUGGUUCCAGUUUUUUCACCACCUCUGUCUUAGCUUCUUUGACAGUGUUUGCCUCACAACUUGCUUUAUCAGAAGCAAUAGGAGAUGAAAUAUUUGCUUUGCUGAGCAAGGCCUUCAUUUCAGCCAUCUCCUGCCUUGUCUUCUCCAUUUCCAUGGCCAUCUCUUUCUUGGCUUUCUCCAGCUCCGCGUCCCUCUCUCGAUCCCUCUCCAACAACUCAGCUUUGGUGAUUCUAUUUCUUCUUCCUGGUGGUAUAUUAAAAAAAAUUGACGGGCUCACAAAGCCUCCAACUCCUCGAACCCUCCCCGAAUGUUCAGGAGUUUGUAGGGCCGUAGUCAACACAUCUCGACUCCCAGAAGGAGUGAAUUCCCCCUUACUUUGCUGCUCUAGUAAAAUAUUCUGACAUGAAAAAUAUGAACAUACAAAUCAUCAUCUAGUGAACCUCAUCAUCAAUAUUAACUUUAAUUUUACGAGCCUUUUAAUUAUAAAUACUCACAAUUCUUUUUCCUAUUUCAGCUAGGUCUGAAUCCUCAUCAUCAGCAUCAUCAGCCUCAUCAUCAUCAUCAACAUUAUCAUUAUCAUCAUCAAUUUUAAUUUUACGAGCCUUUUGCCACAUGAGAGCCCGAUCAGGUUCUUCAUCGGCAGCCAAAGUUCCUUUCUUGAUCUGAUUAAAAUCAAAAAAAAAUUAAAAAGGCCAAGAUAUGUAAAAUACAAUUAUUUAGGUUCAAUGCUUAAAAUACAACUAUUUUUAUACCUCUUCUUCCAAUAAUCCAAUGUAACCCUUUCUUGAUGUCCGGUGAGGAUAUUUUCGAUUACUCACCCUCAGCUUUUGUUUUUCACUAAAAGACUUCAAAUAUUUUAAAUAAUAUUAGAAUACUAUUUUUCAGAAUAUAAAAAGACAUUUAUAUCACAAUAAAGCAGAACAUAAAAUAUAUUUCAUACCAGAAAUUUCGAGGUAGUCCUCUCAGCAACAAAAUUUUUCCAAGCCUCCUUUCCAACAAAAGCAUACUUCUUUGGAGGCUUUCGUAAUUUCUUCUUCUGCCCAAGAUACGGCCUCACAUAAUCUCUUGUUAAAUUUGCUUUAAAAUUCCUCCACUUUGCUCCUGCAGACCUGAUCAACCCCUUCUCAAGUUGCUUAGGAACUUUAAAUGUCUCCUGCAACCAAUGUUAAUUGACAAAAUUUACAAAAUUAUACUCUAAAUGAGUAGAAGAAAAUGCAAAAUUUACAAAAUGCAUAGGAGAUUACUUAUUUUUAUACCUUCACAUCAAUCCAUAUUUUCUCCUUUAGUUCAUCAGGUACCUUUGACCAGUUAGGAUAAUCAAUCGGAAUCAUUGUCCUAGCCAACAUUCCAGUGUAGGAUUGUAGACUGUGCCUUGCAUCCCCUGUAGGAACUCCAUGUGCAUUACAUGAAACCUUUGUUUUCUUGCCCUGCGCCUUCCUCACCACCACUUUAUACAUAGCAGAAACCCCUCGGGCACCCCCACGCUUUUUCUUUGCUGUUUCAGAUGUUGUAACUGUUGCAUCCGUUUCCUCCACAGAAUUCACAUUUUCUCCCUGAGGUUCUGUUGUCAGCUCCAACCUUUUAUCUGAUGCCUCAUCCGACUUUUUGGAGUCUUCAUGGAAUUGUACUUUGGUUUUUUGCUUUUUAUUUGCCAUUUAUCUUCUUCAAUCUGAAAAUGAAACAUAUAUAAUCCAUUAGUCACAGGCAUAUAUACGAGCAAUUACAGGAUAAGCAGUUAUAAAGUUACAUAAGCCUACAUAAGCCGUUACAAAAUUGUAAAAAUGCAUAACUAAACAUUUACACAGAGUGAAAAUUACAGGAGUCUAAUUACACAGAGUAAAUUACAAAGUUGCAUCACAUAUAUUACAUGACUUGAAAUAAUGUUAUCACAGAGUAAAUUACAAAGUCUCAUCACAAAAUUAACUAUUACAUGACUUGAAAUAAUGUUAUCACUUCUUAACCCAAGUGCCCUUAAUAUUUUCUCUAAUACUUUUCUCAACAUCAUCACCGACAUCACAUGUAGGAAUUUGGCAGCAGAAUGGAGGAUUUUCCAUGGUUGUGUCUCCUAAAUCAUCAUCGUUAUACACCUCUUGGUAGUCUCGAGUUGUAGAGGUUAAUACGACGGACCACUUGGCAUCCACCGGAUCUUCAAUAUAAUAAACUUGCUUUACUUGAUCUAUAGACACGUAUUUAUCUCUCUUGUGGCCUUGUCGACUUAGAUCGACAAGUGUGAACCCAAGAUCAUCCACCUUAAUUCCCUUGUCAUUGUCCGCCCAAUUACAUAAAAACAGUGGGGCUUUGAAUGCAUGAUAAUCCAGCUCCCAUAUAUCUAGGAUAACACCAUAAAAUGUCAAGUCACUUUCUACGGGGUUUAAAUCUUUAGCGCUAGACACUUGGACAGUUUUAGCAACUAAAGACACUCCGCUGUUUUGAACUACCCUCACAUUGUCUCGCUGUUUUGUAAAGUAUCGGACCCCGUCUACUAGAUAAGCUUCGUAAGUCAUAACUGAAAAUGAUGGUUUUCCAGCUAUCCAUCUUACUGUCUCUGAAACUCCUCCAGGAUUCUCCACCAUUUCACUACUGACCUACACAUUUCAUAAACAGAAAUUAUCCUAAAUUACUAUAGAGAAAAUAAAUUAGGCACAAAUGAAACUAUAAAAAUACUAACUUUUUCUAGAAACCAAUCAGCAAAACUGUUAUUGUGCUCUCUCAAGAGCCAAUGAACGCUUUUCUUUUUCCCACGAUGGAUUUCCUCUAGAUACUCCUUAUGCAUUCUGCCAAAAAUUAUAUAUUCAUUAAAGAAGUAGUUUAUACAGAAUGUAUAUAUUAAUUGAACAGCCACAAAAUUAAAAAAAUCUUACAAGAUAUAUGGCUGUACUUCAAGGUUGUUUAGAAGAACGUGUAAAUGAGCUUCAUCCCUCUCUUUUUCUUCGAUUGAUUUCAUUACCGCAACAGAUAAUGGACCACUUAACUUGCCUUCAUCUUUGCGAAGACCAGCAGUGGUGCAAGUUUGCUUGACAAACUCUUGGCAGAAUUCAAUCGAUUCUUCUCCAAGAUAACAUUCUGCUAUACAACCUUCGGGGUAGUAACGAUUGCGUACGUAACUCUUCAACACCUUAUUAAACCUCUCAAAUGCAUACAUCCAUCUAUAGAAGACUGGCCCACAUAACCGUAAUUCCCGAACCAAGUGCACUAUGAGAUGUAUCAUUACAUCAAAAAAUGAUGCAGGAAAAAUUUUUUCUAGCUCGCACAAAGUUACUAUUACAUCUGAUUGCAAUUUAUCUAGUUUAGAUACGUCGACAACUUUGCUGCAUAAAGCAUUAAAGAAGAAACACAAUCUAAUUAUUGUGACCCUGACUUUUUUUGGAAGUACCGCGCGAAUUGCAAUAGGAAGUAAUUGUUGAAGUAGGAUGUGGCAAUCGUGGGACUUCAACCCAAACAUUUUUAAUUCUUCCAUGGAAACACAGUUUUUAAUGUUUGACGCGUGUCCAUAAGGAAGUUUCAUGUGCAUUAACGAUGACAACAUCUUCUUCUUUUCUGCCUUGGACAAAUUAAAAAUCGAAGGAGGUAAAUAGGUCUUUCUUUCUCCUUUUUGUGGAGCUAGAUCAGCCCUAACCCCCAUGUCAAUCAUGUCAAGACGAGAAGCUUCACUAUCUUUAGACUUAUGUUUCAUAUUCAGUAGUGUGCCAAUCAAGCUAUCACACACGUUUUUCUCCACGUGCAUAACAUCUAGACAAUGACGGACAUGGUGAAAUUUCCAAUACUCUAACUCGAAGAAAAUUGACUUUUUCUUCCAUGGACAGUCAACCUUCUUUGACUUCCUUACUUCUUUCCCAAACUGAAAUUCAAUUUUUUCUUGCUGCAAUAAAACCUCUUCUCCCGAAAGAGGUUGACGUGCCUGCCCUAAUUCUUGUUGUCCAUUAAAAGCAGCUUUUUGCUUCCUAUAUGGAUGAUUUCUAGCCAAGUAACGUCGAUGACCUUGGUAACACAUCUUCCUACUAUGGCUUAAAUACUUUGCAACAGUAUCAUCACCACAUAUUGGACAAGACAUAUAACCUUUAUUAACACAUCCGGACAGAUUUCCAUAUGCGGGAAAGUCGUUUAUUGUCCACAAUAAAAUUGCUUUUAAAGUGAAAUACGACUUAGUGUGUGCAUCAUAGACAUUUGGUUCACCUUCCUCCCACAACUUCUUUAAAUCAUCGAUUAGAGGCUGUAAAUAUACAUCAAGGUCAUUACCAGGCUCAUGAGGACCGGGAACUAAAACUGUUAGCAUCAUAAACUUCCUCUUCAUGCAUAACCACGGAGGAAGAUUAUAAGUCACUAGUACUACUGGCCAACAAGUGUAUCUAUUGGUUAGACCGUUAUUAUGCGGGUUUAUACCAUCUGCAGACAACGCCAAGCGAAUAUUUCUUGCCUCACUACCGAAGGCAGGCCACCUAUAGUCGAUAUUUCUCCAAGAAGGAGAGUCGGCUGGAUGCCGCAUCUUUCCAUCUUCUAUUCGCUGCUUUGCGUGCCAGGUAAUCAGUUCAGAUGUAGAAGGAGAUUUAAACAUUCGCUUCAAUCUCGGAAUAAUUGGAAAAUACCACAUUAUUUUAGCAGGAACAUUAAUCCUUACUUUACCAUCCUUUCCUAACUUCCAGCGAGAUAGACUACACUUAGGACACUUAGAAGCAUCAACAUAUACCCCCCGAUAUAGUAUGCAAUCGUUUGGACAUGAGUGGUACUUUAUGUAUUCUAGGCCUAAGUUGGAUAAUGUUUUCUUGGCUUCAUAUGCAUUAGGUGGCAUCACAUUUUCCUUAGGAAGGAGAGAGCCAACAGUAGACAAUAAAUCUGUAAAGGCGCUAUCACUAAUUCCAAACCUUGCUUUCCAAUUAUGCAGUUUUAGCAUCGACUCCAAUUUGGUACAUUCACUACCCUCAUACAAAGGCUGUUGAGCAUCAGCCACAAAUCUCCUAAACUGAUACGACUCAUUAUUGUACUCACUCGAAUUAUACGCAGCAUCACAAACAUUGACUGUUUGUGAUGCAUGACCAGGGGAAUGCAUCGAUGCAGGGUCAAGCGUAGGUGCAGGGCUAGGGGCAUUGUCAUGAACUGUUGAUCCAGUGAUUCCACACCCUUGUGUGUGCCAAAUCCAAUCAAGGUAUCCCAAACUAAAACCGUAUUCAUAUAAAUGUCCCCUAAUAAUCUUAACUGCAAAUUUUUUAAAGUUAACACAUCUUUUGCAGGGGCAUGGGAUUUUUUUAGUAUCACUAGCAUUUUCCUCGGCAAAUAUUAAAAACUCUUCAACCCCGAUUUCAUAGUCAAGUGUAUCCCUAUCUUUGAAAAUCCAAGACUUGUCCAUGUUAUUCUCAAACUACCUGAUUGUCAAAUAUGAUAUCAAAUUACAUGGUAACAAAGAUCCAAACACAAUAUACAAUUACAUUUACAAACUAAACAAACACAAAUAUAUUUACACAGCUGUGCAUAAAACAUAAAAAACAAAUCCCAAGCUCUAAACAUAUAUAACACAGUACAUAAAAAAGAAACCCCAAGCUCCAAACAUAUAUAAAACAUAUAUACAACUACACGUUUAAUUUUCACAUGCAUACAUAUAACUACAAAAAGUUAUACUUGCAACCGAAACAUUUAUAUAAAUAUAAAGAAGAAUAUAGAAGAAUAUAUAUACCUAAAACCCAGCAGCUUCGAAACCCAGCACCUCCAAAAUCCAGCAGCUAUCCAGCAGCUUCGAAAACCCAGCAACUACCCUAAUCUCCAAGCUUCAAAUCUCCAAGCUUCAAAGAACCCUAAUCUCCAAGCUCCACUCGACCCUAAGCUUGAAGAUCGAACCUUAAGCUUGAACACAGCAGCUUCGAAUCGCGCACAAAUCGCACCUAGGGUUUAGAAGAGAGGGAAUCAGUUAAUAGAACAUUUGAAAGGGGGUUUAGAAGAGAGGGAAUCAGUUAUUAAACCAAGAACGAGGAUUGAAGGACUGAAGGAUUGAAGAAAAUCGCAUACCUAGGUUUAGCUGUCGAGAGAAAGGGGGAAGAGCUGCUGUCUGAAAGAAAUAUGUAUAUAUGUCCCGAUUGUUUUCUUUUGAAUGCUUUUGUUUUAAUUUUGAUUUAUUUUUAAUGUUUUUUUAUUGUUUUAUACUGAGGCGGGAGUGAAUGAUAUGUUAAAGGGGGGGAAAACAGUAGGGGGAACUAAUUAAAAAAUUGACUAAGGGCGGGGGAGCGGAGGGCGCGGGCUUUAAUAUUUUUAAAAUUGAGAUUAGACAUCGCUUAAUAAACAAUGUGAUGUGAAAAAAUUUUAAAGUGAGAGCUUAGACAUCACUUAUGUUAAGGACUGAUGUAAAGAUACCAGAAAGACAUCACAUAUAAAACGAGCGAUGUAAAAAAGGCAUUUUACAUCGGUGACACUUCCGACUGAUGUCUAAUGUGCGAUGUCUAUUGACGAAUUUCUAGUAGUCUCCAAAGGAUAUUUAUCUUUCCAUCAUGAUGCAGCAGUCUCCUUAACUGUGAAGGGAACGGAGUAUGAGGUAGCAAAGAACCUUCAUAUUUACACAGCCAUUGAUCUGUCGGGCACCUAAUUUCAGGGUCGAAUUCCAAACGUCACUGGAGAGCUUAGAUGGCUUGCAUUGCUCAAUUUAUCGCAUAAUAGUUUAACAGGACCUAUCCCAUCAUUGCUGAGAAAUAUGAAAGAACUCCAAUCUUUAGAUUUGUCCUCAAAUCGACUGACAGGGGCUAUUCCACCUCAGCUAACUGCAUUGACAUUUCUAGAGGUCUUGAACCUCUCGAAAAACCAUCUUAGUGGAGAGAUUCCUCAGAAAGGACAGUUCAGCACAUUCAACAAUGAUUCUUAUCUAGGAAACUCCGCGUUAUGUGGAUCACCUUUGACGAAGAAAUGUGCAAACACAGCAUCACCUCCACAAGAAGUCGGAAAUGGUGAUGAAGAUGAUGCUGGAGAUGAAUUGACAUGGGAAGCAAUCGUGAUGGGAUAUGGAUGUGGACUGAUAUGUGGAUUGUCAUCUGCGUACAUUGUUCUCAAACUAGGAAAGCCUUGGUGGUUUGUGAGAUAUAUCGAAGUACUGCAACUGAAGUUGAUGAAAAGAUAUGCAUGAAGAAUGGUACUGCACUACAACAAAAACAGCAUCACACAACGGUUUUUGCCCGUUGUCUGAUACCCAAGAAAACCGUGGUCUAUUGCGAUGCCGUCUGAUACGCGCCUCAGACAACGUUUUAUUAGUUAAAGGCUUGUCUAUAAGGCCAUGCUACGAUGGUAACAAAAACACUUGUAUGUUAGCUUCCUGGUCACACAACACUGUAUGGAACCCUUGUUUAAACGGCUCGUAAACAACACAACAAAUAAAACACUUGUCUAAUUACAACAACGGUUUCUUGAAAUAUUGUCUGAAGUUUCUUCACACAUCGGCUCUAAAAACAGUUGUCUAACGUGCAUCAUUACACAAUAUCACAGUUAAGAUACCGUUGUCUGAUUGAAUUUACUAGACAACACUUUUUAAACCGUUGUAGGUUGUAGGUGUUGGACAAUAGUUUUUCGAGGACGAAAAUAAAGUGUUGUGUCUUUGUUUCGGCCAACACUUUUUCCAGCGUCCGUUGUCUGACUAGUGUCGUGUGAUGCCAGUUUUGUUGUAGUGCUGGUUGAUCCAGACGAACUAGAAAGUUGUUGUCCUGGUAGACAUUUCUGAACCAUUUGUGUCCUGGCUGAAUAAGUAUUUGGUAUUAUGUAAUAAUCCGUUUGGUUGGGACUCAAAAUGAUUUCUCUUGCUUCAGGGGUAUUAAUAUUAACCUUCCUAUCUUGAUCAAUGUUAAAUCAAAUUAAAUGAAUGAAAAAACAAAAAGUAUGCAUCAAAUCCGCUCCUGCUGUACCUAACAAUUUAACAGCACCCUUCCACACUGUUCAUACCUAAUUUGCGUGUAAUAUGAAAACUAAGAGGCAUGGCUUUUGUCUUUGAGAGAACUUAUUCCAAGUCUUCUUCGGAGGCCUACUGCCUCAACAACCUUUCAAAGACUAUGCAAUAAUCCACGUGACAGAAAAACCAAAGUCCAAUUAGUAUUAUAAGUUCAUAAAAAAUACUAUAGGAUCAUUAGCAUUAGCAUUACAUUAGCAUACAGCAUAUAUAUAAAUAGAAGAAUGCAGUGUGGUAUUGGAUUCAUAAUCCAAUUGAGCAGAAACAUGGCACACUUUGUAAAGCCUUAUGACCUUCUUCUCUGUGUUUUCUUUCUCUCAUCACUUGAAUCCAUUCUUGCAACAAGACGAGAAGGAGAAGCUCUUGUGAAAUGGAAGAACAGCCUAGCCCCGUCUUCUUCUCUUGAUUCUUGGUCACUCACUCAUCUCGAUAAUCUUUGUAACUGGACUGGCAUUACUUGUAACUCUGCAGGUUCAGUCUCUGACAUUAACCUUUUCAACAAACAACUCACUGGAAAGCUUUUCGAGUUUGGUUUCACUUCAUUUCCGAAUCUCAACAAUCUCACCCUCGCAGAUAACUUCUUCUCUGGUCCAAUACCAUCAGCCAUUGGGAAUUUAACACAGCUUCAAUAUCUUGAUUUGAGCAAUAAUUAUCUCAAUGGUUCCAUUCCGUACCAGGUUAGCCAUCUUUCAAAAUUACACGUCUUAAACCUGUCAGAGAAUGAACUGCAAGCUCCAAAUUGGUCCAAUUUCUCCCCCAUGCCUUAUUUGACCAUCCUCGACCUUUAUCAGAAUAAUCUUAUGUUGGAAUUUCCAGAAUUUAUAUCUAACUCGCGUAACCUGACAUACCUUGACCUUUCAUAUAACAAGUUCACAGGCGAUCUUGUGCGCGAAUCAGUAUUAGCCAAUCCAGGUGAUCUCGAAACCCUCUAUCUUAAUGAAAAUUCUUUUGGGGGGCCAUUUCCACCAGACAUAUUCAAACUUUCCAAGUUGAGAGUUCUUGCCCUGUUCAAUAAUCUUUUUGAGGGGCCGCUUCCGUCAAAUAUAUUCAAGCUCUCUAAACUAAGAUUCCUUUUACUUUGGAGUAAUAAUUUUUCAGGUACUCUUUCGAAUGAAAUAGGUUUGCUUUCUGAGCUUGAAGACCUAGAUCUUCACUCCAAUUUUUUUGUGGGGCCGCUUCCGCCAAAUAUAUUCAAGCUCUCUAAACUAAGAACCCUUUUCCUCUUGGGUAAUAACUUCUCAGGUUCUAUUUCCAACGACAUAGGUUUGCUUUCUGAGCUUGAACACCUAUAUCUCGACUCCAAUUCUUUUGAGGGACCUUUUCCAACAAAUAUUUUCAAGCUUUCCAAAUUAAUACAACUUGGUCUCGCAAACAAUACAAAUUUAUUUGAAGGAAGUAUUCCUCCAGGACUGGGGCUCUUGACUAACCUAGAGGACUUGUCUCUUGCUUACAAUAAUCUUGGUGGCUAUAUUCCGUCUUCCUUUGGAAACCUAACACUACUAGUAUAUCUUAAUCUCGCUCGUAAUCAAUUGGUUGGAACACUAUCAAAGACCAUUUCUAAUCUCACAAAUCUAUGGUUUCUUGAUGUACAUCAUAAUAGUCUCUCUGGGAAUAUUCAGAGUGACUUCUGGAAAAACUCUACAUCACUGCGUUACAUUAAUUUGGCAGACAAUAAUUUUUCUGGGAACAUUCCUAAGGAAUAUAAUGUUCUUCCAAUCCUGGAUCACAUCAAUUUUAGGGGGAACAAUUUUACAGGUAUUUUUCUUUCCAUAUUUUUUCCUUCUGUUGUAUUCAAUUAUGCUAGAAACUACAGCCUCUGUUUUUUCAAAUACAUAUCGUUUAACUUUUUGGCACAAAACUUUAUAAUAAUUCUAACUAAAAGGUCAAUGAACUCAAAAAUGUGUGUCAAAAAGUCAAACGUCAUUUAUCUGAAAUCAGAGGGAGUAUAUAUUACUGUUUUACCAAAGUUUCAACAAUCAUGACAGGUGAGCUUCCACCAACAAUUUGCGAUGCCACUUCCCUUUCGAUUCUUGAUCUGUCAAAUAAUGGAUUUAGUGGUGCAGUUCCACAUUGUUUGGGGAAUCUUGCGGAUAAAUUGAUUUCGAUUAAUCUUGCUAAUAAUCAGUUUCAAGGACCAAUACCAACAAAUUUCUCCGAGAGUUGUCGUCUGACGUAUCUUAACAUCUAUAACAAUCACUUCAAAGGUUUGGUUCCCCAAUCUUUGGCAAACUGUAAGCACUUGCAAAUUCUUGAUUUUGGAAAAAAUGAAAUAGGUGGAACACUUCCGUCAUGGUUUUUUACUCUUGGAGAGCUAGAAGUCCUGAUCCUGCGAUCAAACAGAUUUUUCGGGAGAAUAACUAGAAGGAGCAUACCACGCCCCUUUCCCAAGUUGCGGAUUUUGGAUCUAUCCAACAAUCAGUUCACCGGCUAUCUGCCAAUUUUAUACUUCAAGAAUAUGAAACCAAAUGAUAAUAAUUAUGAUUAUUUCAACAACACAAACGAAGCCUAUUACGUUUAUCAAGUUUCUAUCACAUUAAAUGUGAAAGGAAGCGAGCAUGAAGUGACAAAUAUUCUUCAUAUUUACACGGCCAUUGAUCUGUCGUGCAACAAAUUUGAAGGAAAAGUUCCAGACAUUACCGGAGAGCUUAGAUGGCUUGCAUUGCUAAAUUUAUCUCAUAAUAGUCUUUCGGGGCCUAUUCCAUCACAACUGGGAAAAAUGAAAGAGCUCCAGUCUCUAGAUUUGUCGUCAAAUCAAUUGACAGGUGUUAUUCCGGAUCAACUUACUAGUAUGACAUUUCUUGCUAGUUUGAACCUCUCAGAAAACCAUCUUUCUGGGAAAAUCCCUCGGAAAGGACAGUUCAGCACUUUUGGCGAAGAAUCUUACUUAGGUAAAUCGGCCUUGUGUGGAGUUCCUUUGACAAAGAACUGUAUAGACGAUGUGCCACCUUCACAAGUUGGAAAUGGCAAUGAUGAAAAUGUUGAUGAAGAUGAUACCGUUGAUGAAUUCAAUUGGAAAGUGAUCCUGAUGGGAUAUGCAUGUGGAUUAAUAGGCGGAUUGUCUGCAGGAUACAUUGUCUUCACAGUCGGAAAGCCUUGGUGGUUUUUGAGAUACAUUGAGACACUGCAGCAGAAGUUGAUCUGAUGCGCAACUAGAAACAACGUUAUAAUCUUAGAAUGACUUGUGUCUUUAAACAGAGUUAGGAACUUAGGAUGACUUGUGGUGCUAUAUUUUUUUUUUGAAAAAAAAAAACAUAUUUUUGUAAUUUUUUAGAUACAGAUGUUAAGAAGGUGUUGUAUAUUCAUUUUUUACCCAAAAAAAAAAAGAGGGCUUAUUUCAUGAAAAUUAGAGUUUUAUGUAUUUUCUCCAGAAAUUAGUCCUUAUUUCUGAAAAUAAGGUUAGUCAAAACGGUCACUACACGAUUGGUAGCCUUUCAGUUCUUCCUAGUGUCCACUACAGUUUCAUUCCUUACCAGUUAUUUUAUGCUCUGCACUGCAUUAUGCAGCUUUCAUAUUACUGACAGCUAAUCUCCUUCCAACACUUUGCGAUGCGAAGCAGGGACGCAUAAGUAUUUUUAUAUGUGUAUUAGUUUUGAAGAUUAAAGUUGCAUGGACAAUUGUGUUGAUAAUUUGAGCAAUGUUAACCGGGAUAGGUCUUCUUCUCUCUCCCAAGUCUUCUGAGGACUCAUCGGCUCAGAUUAGUCUAUCCAAAAAUUAUGAUCUGACGGCUAUUGGCACACUAACGAUUUACAUAUCACUUGAAUAUUACUGGAUACCCGCAUCUUGUUUUAAAUGGCGUAUAUCGGCUAAUAGUUCAACGAUGGUGACAAAUCCCGGUGAUCCAAAUAAUUGAUUGUCGCAAAAUUUUCCGCUUACAUCCAACUAACACGUAUUAGGAAAAAAAAUUAUAUAAUUAAACACGCUCAUGUAUCUAUAUCUUUUACAAGAUUGUAAGUCCCCAAUUCUAUGUGAUAUUAGCUAUAUGUGACUAGAAGGUUUAGAAAUACUAGAUUAUCAAGAUUUCUUUUUAUUCUAGCUAGUGUUGAGUUAUAUUUAUUUUCUUCAAACAAUCAAUACUUAUUUUUUAUUAAUAUGUGAAACUCCAAUAUAUAUUAUUAUACGAUAUAUUAUGAAAACACUAUAUUUUGUAAUGUUCAUCUUAUCCUACCAGCAAAAUUACAUCGCUAACAAAAUUAUAUCAAUUUUAUUUUAUAAACUCAAAUAAUUUAAUUUAUGAAACAACUCUAUGAGAUUCUUAUCAUGAGUUAGAAUUCAAAUAAAUAAAGAGUUCAUAUUGAUAAGUGGAAUUGAUGUGCAAGUAAGGGGUAUAAAAAAAUCUCAAAAUAACUCCAAAAAGCACAUGACAUGUUUGAUUUAAUAGAACUGGUACAUAAACAGGGGGACCAUUAUAUUUAUAAGCAAGUGACCAACAAUAGUUUACUACUGAUAUUUUGUGAUAUUUUUUGUGAUAUUUUUUGAGACCUUUAACAUUAUUCUGUGAAGUGGUAUACUACUGUUACUAGUUCUGAAACUUCAAACAAAGUAGGCGCAACAUUGUAAGAGUGAUUAAUAAAGUUGAGAAACAGUGUGUACAUUGAGCAGUAUGACAAUCAGGUUCAGCAUAUAAUACAAUCAGAUUCACAAUCAGGUUCACGAGAAACAUGCUGCAUUCCAAAAAGCCUUAUUAUCUUCUUCACUAAAUAACAAGGCAAAUACAGCAUAUAAAUACAAGUUAUAAGUACAAGUGUGGUAUUAGAUUCAUAACCCAGUUGAGGAGAAACAUGGCACACUUUGUAAGGCCUUCUCACCUUCUUCUCUUUGUUUUCUUUCUCUCAUCACUAGAAUCCAUUCUUGCAACAAGACGAGAGGGGGAAGCUCUUGUGAAGUGGAAGAAUAGCCUAGCCCCUUCUUCUUUUCUCCACUCUUGGUCACUCUCCAAUCUCGAAAAUCUUUGCAACUGGACUGGCAUUACUUGUAACUCUGCAGGUUCAGUCUCUGAGAUUGACCUUUGUGAGAAACAACUUGAUGGAAUGCUGUCCGAGUUUGGUCUCACUUCAUUUCCAAAUCUCAACAAUCUCACCCUCGCAGACAACUUCUUCUCAGGUCCAAUACCACCAGCCAUUGAGAAUUUAACACAGCUUCAAUAUCUUGAUUUAAGCAUGAAAAGUCUUAAUGGUCCCAUUCCGUUCCAGGUUAGCCAUCGUCAGAGCUUGCUCAUCUUAGACCUGUCACAGAAUGCAUUGCAAGCUUCAAAUUGGUCCAAUUUCUCUCCCAUGCCUCAGUUGCGCUUCCUCAAGCUCAGUAGCAAUCAUCUUGUGUCGAAAUUCCCAAAUUUUAUAUCCAGUUCUCAUAGCCUGACUUACCUCAACCUCUCAUAUAACAUUGGAAACCUCAAAAAAUAUAUAUUUAUAUAUUUAUAAUUAAAAAAUUGAAUUACUUAAUAUAUUAAAAAAUUGAAUAAAAUUUUAUAUAUUUUAUUAAAAAAUUGAAUAAAAAUUGAAUAAAAUUGAAUAAAAUUGAAGUACACGAAAAGGUACACGACACGAAAUACACGACUGAGAAGUCGUGUCGGUUUUGUGUUUACCCUUCGGGUACACGACACGAGGUACACGAAAUAAAUAAAUAAAUAUAUAUAUAUAUAUUUACCCUUCGGAUUAAGAGUUGGUCGCGGACAAAUUCAAAGUUUCCCAAUUAUCCUUUAUUUUAUGUAACUUUGCUUAUGUUUAAGCCUAAAUUUGGACAAUAUUUGUAAAAUAUUAAUAUUUCGUGUACUAAUUCGUUACCAGUUUCGUGUAUUUUUUCGUGUAUAUUUCGUGUUUUCGUGUUUUCAUGUACUAUUUCGUAUCGUGUCGUUUUCGUGUACAUGAAAAAAUUCGUGUACUACAGUUCGUGUCGUUUUUACCUGUUUCUAAAUCGUGUCGUGUUCGUGUUUACAAUCGUGUACACGAAUUGAAUUCGUGUCGUGUUCGUGUAUACCCACCAGAUACACGAAACACGAAAGUACACGACACGUUUAUACACGACACGAACGAUUUGCCAGGUCUANGAAACACGAAAGUACACGACACGUUUAUACAUGACACGAACGAUUUGCCAGGUCUAUUCAAACCUAGCAAGUAACCAAGAGGGGGCAAACUCCACCAGAGACAAAUCAAAGACCAUACCUGAGUAUUGCCAACAUAACAUUACAAACUGGCAGGUGAAAAAUAUGUGAAUAAGGUCUUCGUCACCAGAGUUACACAUGGGACAGUCAAGAGAAAGAUUUACUCCCUUAGAUUGUAAUCGACUUUUCACAGGCACAUUAUUCCUGCAAAAACGCCAUAAAAACACUUUGAUCUUAAGAGGAACCUCCAACUGCCAGAGUUUCUUCCACCCACUAGAUUGUGUAACAGUGCCAGUGCCAAUAUUUUGGGCAUGCCAAAACUGGUAACCUGUUUUCACAGAAUUUUGGCCGUUAGUAGUCUUUGACCAAGCUAGAUGAUCCACGGUCGACCUAUAGGGAACAGAAGUUUUUAAAAAUUAUGUAAUUCAUUCAAUUCCGUAUCAGACAAUACAUCUUAUCAUCGGUGAUAAUGGAAAUAGUGUAGAUGUUUGACCUAGUCCAUGUUUGACAACCAAUAUAAUAAGAAAUAAAUUCUUAUUUUUCUAAAAAAUAUAUUUUUGUAUAUAAAUGUUAAAGAGAUAUUUCUUAUUUGUUGUUUGAAAAAAGUAAAGACUUAUUUCAGAAUAAAUAAAAAUUAUUGUACAUUCUCUUUAUUUUUAAAAAUAAGUUUGGUCAAAUCGCCCAUAAUUCUCGUAAUUCAAAAGCCCAUUAUUUUUUUUUUUCUUGCUAAUUGAUCAGCACACGCACACGUUUCCAACUUCCCGCAAAGGGUACCGGAGUACCACCACACCGACGCUUUGUUGGGCCCAAUAAUUGGCUGAAGUUGAACGGGGCUUUCUGCCUCCGCUGGACCCCAGUUGGGAGGACUCUUUCCAAGUCUUUCGGAGACUCUUUCCCAUUGACUCCAACUUUCCAGGGUGUAUACAAAUUUUUUGAAAGAGGGUGUAUACAAAUUAUUCACGGCCAUCAAAUUAACCAGCGUAGCUGGUGAACAAAUAUUAUUGUUUAUUAUAAUUUUAUUUAAUUUAAAUGUGAUUAUAAAGAACAUAAGAGGACGUUUGAAAGUGUGGGUCUUAUUUCAAACAGUAGAUUUCAAAAAAUAUGAUUUCAAUUGUUAUUUAAAAUUCUUAAAUUUAUAUUAUAUUAAAAUGUUCUUAUCUAUACUAUACUAUUAAAACCGAAACAUUAAAAGUUUGGUCGGUCGGUACUUGGGCCGAUAUAUGGGCCUAUCUAUAUAACUAAUUAUUUUUUUUUAAUUUUGGGCCGAAAUACAGGCCUGUCUAUAUAAUCAAUUAUUCUUUUUAACUAAAAUAUGUUAUCUUUUUUACUAUUAAAGCCAAAACAUUAAAAAUUUGAUCGGUCGGUACUUGGGCCGAAAUAUGAGCGUAUCUAUAUAACUAAUUAUUUUUAUUUUUUUUUAUUUUUGGCCGAAAUACAGGCCUAUCUAUAAAAUCAAUUAUUCUUUUUAACUAAAAUAUGUUAAUUUUUUUUACUAUUAAAGCCGAAAUAUUGAAAGUUUGGUCGGUCGGUACUUGGGCUUCUAGGCCGAAAUAUAGGCCUAUCUAUAUCAUCAAUUAUUCUUUUAAACUAAAAUAUGUUAUCUUUUUUACUAUUAAAAUCGAAACAUUGAAAGUUUGAUCGGUCGGUACUUGAGUCGAAAUACGGGCCUAUCUAUAUAACUACUUAUUAUUUUUAACUUGGGCCGAAAUACAGGCCAAUCUAUGUAAUCAAUUACGCGGUAUUCUUUUUAACUAAAAUAUGUUAUUUUUUUAACUAUUAAAGUUGAAAUAUUGAAAGUUUAGUCGCUCGAUACUUGAGCCGAAAUACGGAUCUAUCUAAAUAACUAAUUAAUUUUUUUUAACUUUGGAUGGAAAUACAGCCCUAUCUAUAUAAACAAAUAUCUUUUUAACUAAAAUAUGUUAUCUUCUUUAUACUUUCUAACUAAAAACUCAAUCUUCUAAAUGAACAUGGAAGAAUAUAGUAAUUAUCUUUUUAACUAAAACAAAUUAUCGUCUAUUAAAUCAAAUUAUAACAAACUAUCCAUAAACAUCCUUAAUUUAUAACAAAUUAUUAAAUAUUUUUUAUCAUCUACUAAAUCAAAACAUUAAAAAUUAGAUUACCAUUAUGGAUCAGUAUUUGAAUUACGCUUCUCUUUAACUUAUAAUAUGUUUUAUACUAUAUUAUUAACUAUUAAUAACUAAAUAUUAAAACGCUGAUUGGGUUGUUUCUAUCUGGGUUUACGGGUCUCCUCAAAUUAUAAUCCCUCCGUUCUUAAAUAUCUGCCUUUUGACUUUUUGGCACGCAUGUUAAAGUGUUUUGAAUUUAUAGUAAAAAUAUUAUUUUUAAAUUUCUUUUUCUGAAUAAAAAUUUUAUAUCAAUACUUUUAUUCAUAAAAAGAAAUAUUUGAAAAUAACAUUUCUAGCUAUGUGGUCAAAAUAUCUUAAAAUGUGUGCGAAAAAGUCAAAAGGCAUAUAUUCAAGAACGGAGGGAGUAACAUGUAAAAAAAAUUAUUUUAACAUUAUCAUUAAAAAAUUAUAUAUUUGACCUAAUUAUAAAUUAACUAUUUGAAGGAAUAAACUAUUAAGAAUUUAUUUAGCUGCUAAAUAAAAGUUUUUUUAAUAACAUUAUUCUAUCACAAUUUUACUUUCAAUAAAAUUCGUUAAAUCUAAAAUAUAUGCGAUGAAAUAACAAAUAUUAAAACCGCCCGUGCAUUGCACGGGUUUUAAGCUAGUUCUAAUUAAUGAGUCACUAUUCGUAUUCUCAAGCAUGUUAGUUUGUUAAAAUUUAAAAUUUCAAAUGAAAUUAGGCUAAAAGACCAUAAUAUCAAAUCAAAAUCUCAUUAUCCAAUAUAUUGGUGGGCAAAAAUAUUAAACCUGGCUAUUCAUUAAUAUUGGUUCUUUAUUCAAAUUAUGUCAAAUUUAUAUAAAAUUUCGAAAAUUAUUUAUGAAUAAGAGUCGGCAUUCAUAUAUUUAUUAAGGAUACAAGUGAGAAAAUGUUAUUAAAUUAAUAUUUUUUAAUAUACGUAAGUUUUUUAAAAUAAAUUUGUAGCGUGGGACGGGAGUAUUAGACUGAUUCUGGCUUGGAGUGAAUCAGCCCAUAAAGUUUACAGGGUAGAUGACCAUUCUUAAAUCUUAAAGAAUCUUACGGUGACAGCUAACUGAACGACUCGGUUUCAGAAGUGCUGAAAAGUUUCGACGUAAACUACAAUUUGCCUAGCAUGUAAUUUCCAUGCAUUUUCUCGUUACGAGUAGGUUUGUCCGGAAGUACAAUUCAAAAUAGAGUGCUGUUAAAAAAAAUUGAGUUACUUAUUCAAUAACUUUUUUGAUAUUUAUAUAUUUUUAAUUAUAAUAAAGAUACUAGUGAUUAUGGUUAGCUUUUGGAGUACUUUUGGAGUACUUGGAAAUUUUCUUUUCGAGAAAAACGAGAGUACCUAUUUCAAUUUUUUACCAAAAAUUAUAAUUGAAAACAACGGACUUUUAUACUUAUCAUAACAAUUUUUAACAUCUUGUUUAGAAAUAACCUGUUGUUGUAUUAUGCAAAAGUAAUAUCACUAGUUUCUAUAUCCGUAUUCUAAUGAUAAUAAAAACAUCUCUAAUUCAUUAAAACUCUUACAUAGAAAUUGAUAAAAAAAGAAGAUAUAAAAUAAUUUAUUAAAAAUAUAUCAAAGUUUUUGCACUCGGUUAUAAUUAUUGUGUAAUUUUUUUUUUCAAUUCCAAGAUAUUGUUAUAAGAAAAUUUUACAUCAUAUAUAUAUUACAAAAAAAAUUAAUGUAUUAUAUAUAUAUAGGGUCCUACUCUGGUACAAACCUUUUUAGCGUACAAACUACAAACCAAAAUUAAAAAGUCUCUAAAUCAAAUCAGAAUAUAGCACAUAUGGUAUGGAAAUUGAUCGUUGCGAGAUGAACAAAAAUAAUGAUUAUAAAGUUUGUAUUUGAGCCAUUAUAUAUAUACUUACAAUAAAAGUAAUAAUAUAUUAUAUUCUAAAUAUAGUUAACCACUGCAGUUGGUCGCUUAUAAAUAGAAGUGUGCAUUAUAGGAUGAAACGUACAUCAAGCUGAGGAGAAACAUGGUACACUCUGCAAAGCUAUAUCAUCUUCUUUUACUUGUUUUCUUUUCCUCCUUACUUCCAUCCAUUCUAUUGGCAACAAGACGAGAAGGAGAAGCUCUUGUGAAAUGGAAGAAUAGCCUAGCCCCGUCUUCUUUUCUUGAUUCUUGGUCACUCUCCGAUCUCGAUAAUCUUUGCAACUGGACUGGCAUUACUUGUAACUCUGCAAGUUCAGUGUCUCAGAUAAAUCUUUCCCAAAAACAGCUCGAUGGAACGCUGUCCGAAUUUGGUUUCACUUCAUUUCCGAAUCUCGAAAAUUUGACUAUAAGAGACAACAGCUUCUCCGGGCUAAUACCACCAGGCAUUGCGAAUUUAACACAGCUUCAAUACCUUGAUUUAAGCUACAAUUAUUUCAGUGGUUCCAUUCCGUACGAGGUUAGCCAUCUUCAGAGAUUACGUGUUUUAGACUUGUCGUAUAAUGAAAUGCAGGCUCCAAAGUGGUCUGACUUCUCUCCCAUGCCUUUUAUGAGCAUCCUCAACCUACGGGCCAAUCAUCUUGUGUCGAAAUUCCCAGAAUUUAUAUCCAAUUCUUUUAGCCUGACUUUCCUUGACCUUGGAGACAACAAGUUCACCGCUGAUCAUCUUGUGCUCGAAUCAGAAUUUACCAAUUUGCAAAAUCUUGAAACGCUGUUUCUUGAUGGUAAUUCUUUUGAGGGGACGUUUCCACCGAAUAUAUUCAGGCUUUCUAAAUUAAAAUACCUUUCCCUAUCUGCUAAUAAGUUUUCAGGUUCUGUGCCGGAUGACAUAGGGAUGCUUCGUGAUCUUGAAUCCCUUUAUCUUGGUAACAAUUCUUUCAAAGGGAUGCUUCCACAAAAUAUUUUCAGACUUCCCAAAUUACGGGAUCUUUCCCUCUGGGGUAACAAUUUUUCAGGUCUUAUUUCAGAUGAUAUAAGGAUGCUUUCUAACCUGGAAUCUCUUGAUCUUAAUGGUAAUUCUUUUCAGGGUCCGCUUCCACCAAAUUUCUUCAAGCUUUCCAAAUUAAGACAUCUCGCCCUCUCAAAUAAUAAAAGAGUAUUUAAAGGAAGUAUUCCUCUUGGGUUGGGGCUUUUGACUAACCUUGACUACUUAUGUCUUAAUUCCAAUUAUCUCACUGGCUACAUUCCAUCUGACAUUGGAAAUCUAAAGCUACUAGAACAUCUUGAUCUCAGUUUUAAUCAAUUGACCGGACCGCUCCCAAAGAUCAUUUCUAACCUCACUAAUCUAACGCGUCUUGGUCUGAAUGAUAAUUGGUUUUCCGGCAGUAUUCCAAGUGACUUCUUGGAAAACUCUACAUUAUUAUUUUACAUUGAUCUUUCAAACAAUGAUCUGUCUGGAAGCAUUCCUAAGGAAUUCAACGUUCAUCCGACAUUGGAUUAUAUCAAUUUAAGUGGAAACCGUUUUAGAGGUCUACUUCUCUCUUUAAAUUUUUAUGUUCGUUUUGUAUAUGCUAGUAACCUGAUUAUUACACUUUUACUGAAGCUUCAACAAUUCUAACUGCAGGCAAGCUUCCAGCAACGAUUUGCAAUGCUACAUCCCUUUCGACUCUUGUUCUGUCAAAUAAUGAAUUCAGCAAUGCACUUCCACAUUGUUUGGGGAAUCUUGCUGAUCAACUUCUUUCCAUUAAUCUUGCUAAUAAUUUGUUUCGAGGACCAAUACCAACAACUUUCUCUAAGAGUUGUCGGCUGACAUAUCUAAACAUGUACAACAAUCACUUUGAAGGGUUGUUGCCGCAAUCUCUGGCAAACUGUAAGCACCUACAAAUUCUUGAUAUUGGAAACAAUGAAAUAGGUGGUAAAUUCCCGUCAUGGCUGUUUACUCUUGGAGAGCUGGAAGUCCUAGUCUUGCGAUCAAAUAGAUUCCACGGUCCAGUCAAUGGAACAAGCUCAGCAAAUUUAUUCCCCAAGUUGCGGAUUGUUGAUCUCUCCAACAAUCAAUUUACAGGCGAUUUACCAAUUCAGUAUUUUAAGAAUAUGAAACCAACAGAUAACCACUAUAGUUAUUUUUAUACAGAAAGUGGUUUUUACUAUCAUCAAGCAUCGAUCUCAUUAACUGUGAAAGGAAGAGAGUAUGAAGUGAAAAAGAUCCUUCAUAUUUAUACAGCCAUAGAUGUGUCAUGCAACAAAUUUCAGGGAGAAAUUCCCGAGGUUAUUGGAGAACUUAAAUGGCUUGCAUUGCUCAAUCUAUCACAUAAUAGUCUUAUUGGACCUAUCCCAUCACAGCUCGGAAAUAUGGAAUCACUUUUAUCUCUAGAUUUGUCUUCAAAUCAUUUGACAGGGGGUAUUCCCGAUCAGUUGAUUAGGUUGACAUUUCUAGAGGUCUUGAACCUCUCGGAAAAUCAUCUGACAGGGCCUAUCCCCCAAAAAGGACAGUUCAGCACAUUCAACAAGGAUUCUUACCUAGGUAACUUUGCCUUGUGUGGAUUACCUUUAACUAAUAACUGUACACACACUGUGUCACCACCACAAGAAGGCGGAACUGGUGACAAUGAUGCCUAUGAUGAACCCGAUUGGGAAGUGAUCCUCAUGGGAUAUGGAUGUGGACUAAUAUGCGGAUUGUCCACAGGGUACGUUGUCUUCACAUUCAGAAAGCCUCAGUGGUUUAUGAGAUACACUGAAAGCGUGCAACAGAAGUUGAUGAGAUGAUGCAUGUUGAGUACCGUUCAAUCAUGAAGCACAACUGGAAACAAUGUUAUCUUAGGAAAACAUGUGUUCUGAACCAGUAGUGUUUGCACAAAAUUUGUGGUGCUAUGUAAUACUUAUAUAAUUGUACGUAUGAUUAUUGAUUAGUCGUUGAGAAAAUGCAUUUUAUUUCAGUGUCAAUGAUAAUCUACAUGUUUUGGAUACUUCCAGCUUCUCAUACUAAUAUAGGAACCACUUGAAAAAUUUUGGACAGGCUCUGAGGAUGCUAAUGCUGCUGUUUAGUUUCUACCGCGGAAUUGACUUUAGCAUAUACUCGUAUGACAUAUUACUAGAUAUAUGGUUGUUAAAUAAAAUUAUCUUUUUGUGGAAUAAAUAGGAAAGCAAAAUCAUAGAAUAAUGUAUGUUAUAUAGGAAGGUAUUGUCCUCUUAGAUAGGUAUCAUUUAUGCCUCAUUGGCAUGUCUCAGAAAACUUUUGGGUUAACACAAUGUUUACUUAGAGCAUUGCCAUUCCUUAAAUAUAAUAUAAAAUAUUGGAUCUUAGUGACUUAAGAUGAUAAUAGCUAUUCGCACCUCCAACAAUAUUCCUUAUAUUCAUUCCUUAUAUACUAUUUUAUUAUUAAAAGUUACCAUUAUUGCAAUAGGUGAAAAGAGAGAACAUGUUUGUAUUCAAAAUUUAUUGUAAAAUAAUAUUUAGGAGAGGAGAGAGGUUACCUAAAGAUAAGGCAUGGCUAGUUAUUUAGAGAAUCACUAGGAUACUGUUGGAGUGGAUUAUUUUCCCAUAUUACUCAUAUUUUGGUUUAAGAUUCCUAAUAGGGAAGCUGCUGGAGUUGCUCUUAGAGCAUCUCCAAGAGAUUCUUCAUUUAAGCUCCUAACUUGAGAUUUGAGUAGGGAGAGGAAAAAUGUUGCUCCAAGAGACUCUUAAGUGGCUCUUAAAUCACUAAGAGCCUCUUGUUUCUCUCUCCUCUCUCCUCAAAGUUAAGAGCCACCACAUUGCUCCUAACUUAUUUUUUCACAAUAAAAAAAUCUUUUCCUCCAAUUCAGCUCCAUCUUUCCAUCUCUUUUGUUAUAGUGGAGCCCAAUAUAUGAAUAAAAUAUGAAAUAGAGAAGAGAUGUAGAGAGUAUUGUUGGAGUUUACACUCUUAACUUUGUCUUAAAUUGCUAAGAGCUAUUUUUUUAUAUUAUAUUUAGGAGCCAAUAAGGAGGCUCUUGGAGAUGCUUUUAGUACUAAUUGUUAGAAUAUGAAAAUGCAGUUAUGAACUAUUAUGCUAGAGAGAGAAAAAUUCAACAAACUUCAUUUCUGUAAACUACAACUAUUAGUCUGUUACAUUGCUGAAAGCUACAUUUAUACAUUUACAGUUUACAACAAACUAUGAAACUGAUUUUCCCGCGUCCUCCUCACUUGUCCACGUGGCCUGACUGGCUUGGUGUCCUUGACACUCUUUAUUAUUGCUAAUAUAUACUUAACACUAAUACCUCAAAGCAGGGUAUAAAUUCAAUAGCACAGCUUCUGGAUAAUGGAAAUUUAGUUAUCCAGAGGUCUUGGUUUUACAUAUCACUUGUAUAUUAUGUCUCGGUCUCAUUGAAGCAUACCAAACGAGAUUUUGGGUUUGUUAAUAUUUUUUUAGUCCAAAUUUGAAUAAUACUGUUAUGCUUAUUCACACGGUAGACGUGUUUUUAUUAAAAUACUGCAACUGAAAUUGAUGAAAACAUGCACAAAGCAUAGCAGACGAAAGACUUGAGGAGAUAUUGUCUUAGGCGAUGCAAUACGUUCUAAUAUAAUGCUAUAUUAUGCAAUCUCGUUUAAUACUUUCAUCAUUAUUCUCCAAGAUGUCUGAACAUGUAUUUUCAAAGAAUUCUCAGUUCACCUUUAGUCUUAUAGCGACAUUUUGAAGGCACUCUCAACUUACACCCUAUAUAUACACGUACGGUUCACUUCAGUACAAAGAUUUUAUGAUACAACUCUCAUAUUAUGAACUAGUUCUGUCGAAUACAUGAAUAUUGAUCAAUCAUUUGAACUCGAGUUUCCCAGCUGGCCAGAUACCCAGAUUAUUAGCCAUGCAAAACAUGCAGAACCACUAGUAAUGCAGAAAAACAAUAUAUUAGUUUUCUCCGGUGUUACAGAAAUCAGGAAUCGGACCUAAUCGGUUUAGCUACCGAUUUAGGGAUUAAUAGGAAAUAGGGGAUUAAUCGGAGUGAAAAUCGGAUUUAUUUUAAUAUUAAAAUAUUAUUUAAUAUUUAGUUAUUAUUAUAUUAGCUAUUUAGUAACUAAUAUAUUUACUAUAUUCAUAAACUCUAUAAUUAUUCGUAUUGAAAGUAAUAUAGUAUUUUAAUUUUAAUAAUUUACUAUAUAUACUUCGAUUAAGAAAUAUAUAUAUAAGGAUUAAUCGGAUUUCAAAAAUCGAAUCGGUGGCCAACCUUGCAGAGGAUUAAUCGGGGAUUAAUUGGUUGAAUCGGGGAUGUUUAGAACACUGGUUUUCUCCAAAUAUCACUACAACAAAACUGCCAUUUUACGACGGAAAUCUAAUAUUCUAAAGGGUUACGACCAAACUAUGUCGGUGGACUUUAUUUUAAUUUACCGUUUAACAGUAGUUAAUUUUGGAUAUCUACACUUGCGAUGGAAAACAUACGACAGUCUACUUCGUGAGAGAAAAUCAUUUUAUUUUAUUUUUUAGCGCCAGAAUUUUAAUACUGAAAUAUUAUAUAUAUGAAGGAAACUGAUCUCUAAUGUUUUCAGCUUGCUCAUCCAUCGUAAGUAAUCCGUCGAAAAAGUUAGUUUGUUGUGGUGGUGUCUUAUCAUGAGAGAAAAUGAUAAUAUCGCAAAAUAUUUGCAACUGAAAGAUAAAUUAUAAUUCUAGAAACCAUUUAGGUAACGAUGCACGAAGUUAUUUUCACUCACUUAGAAUUAAUGNUGAAAACAUGCACAAAGCAUAGCAGACGAAAGACUUGAGGAGAUAUUGUCUUAGGCGAUGCAAUACGUUCUAAUAUAAUGCUAUAUUAUGCAAUCUCGUUUAAUACUUUCAUCAUUAUUCUCCAAGAUGUCUGAACAUGUAUUUUCAAAGAAUUCUCAGUUCACCUUUAGUCUUAUAGCGACAUUUUGAAGGCACUCUCAACUUACACCCUAUAUAUACACGUACGGUUCACUUCAGUACAAAGAUUUUAUGAUACAACUCUCAUAUUAUGAACUAGUUCUGUCGAAUACAUGAAUAUUGAUCAAUCAUUUGAACUCGAGUUUCCCAGCUGGCCAGAUACCCAGAUUAUUAGCCAUGCAAAACAUGCAGAACCACUAGUAAUGCAGAAAAACAAUAUAUUAGUUUUCUCCGGUGUUACAGAAAUCAGGAAUCGGACCUAAUCGGUUUAGCUACCGAUUUAGGGAUUAAUAGGAAAUAGGGGAUUAAUCGGAGUGAAAAUCGGAUUUAUUUUAAUAUUAAAAUAUUAUUUAAUAUUUAGUUAUUAUUAUAUUAGCUAUUUAGUAACUAAUAUAUUUACUAUAUUCAUAAACUCUAUAAUUAUUCGUAUUGAAAGUAAUAUAGUAUUUUAAUUUUAAUAAUUUACUAUAUAUACUUCGAUUAAGAAAUAUAUAUAUAAGGAUUAAUCGGAUUUCAAAAAUCGAAUCGGUGGCCAACCUUGCAGAGGAUUAAUCGGGGAUUAAUUGGUUGAAUCGGGGAUGUUUAGAACACUGGUUUUCUCCAAAUAUCACUACAACAAAACUGCCAUUUUACGACGGAAAUCUAAUAUUCUAAAGGGUUACGACCAAACUAUGUCGGUGGACUUUAUUUUAAUUUACCGUUUAACAGUAGUUAAUUUUGGAUAUCUACACUUGCGAUGGAAAACAUACGACAGUCUACUUCGUGAGAGAAAAUCAUUUUAUUUUAUUUUUUAGCGCCAGAAUUUUAAUACUGAAAUAUUAUAUAUAUGAAGGAAACUGAUCUCUAAUGUUUUCAGUUUGCUCAUCCAUCGUAAGUAAUCCGUCGAAAAAGUUAGUUUGUUGUGGUGGUGUCUUAUCAUGAGAGAAAAUGAUAAUAUCGCAAAAUAUUUGCAACUGAAAGAUAAAUUAUAAUUCUAGAAACCAUUUUGGUAACGAUGCACGAAGUUAUUUUCACUCACUUAGAAUUAAUGCUAAAUAUUUGCAACUGAAAGAUAAAUUAUAAUUCUAGAAACCAUUUAGGUAACGAUGAGCGGAGUUAUUUUCACUCACUUAGAAUUAAUGAUAAAUAUUUGCAACUGAAAGAUACAUCAUAGUUCUAGAAAAGGAUCCACGAAGUUAUUUUCACUCACUUAGAAUUAAUUGUAAGUUAUUGUGAGUUUUUGAAUAUGAAUUAUCUCAAAUUUUAUUAAAACACAUGUUGAUUCUUAUAUACAAAUUUGCCUAUCUAAUAUUAUAAUAUUUAUGGAGAAGGUGUAUGAACAAUUGUGUAGAUAAUUAUACUUUACAAAGCAUACUUCUGCUAGCUGAAUUUUGAUUAAAAAAAUCGAAAGGGAUAGGUCUGGGUCUCUCCAAGUCUUUGAGGACUCAUUCCAAGUCUUCUGAUGAGGACAAAAUAUAUUGCUGGAAGUCUUUCAGUCCUUCCUAGAGUAUUUUGUGCUCUGCACUGCAUUAUGCAGCUCUCAUAUAACUGACCGCUAACCUCCUUCCAACACUUUGCGAUGCAAAACAGUGGCAUGUUAUAAGUAUUUCCGUAUGUGUAUUUAUUUGGAUAUUAAAGUUGCGUAACAUUUGUGUUGAUAAUUUGCGCAAUGUUGAUGAGGAUUGCUCCCAAGUCUUGGCGGACUCUUUCCAAAUCUUCUGAGGACCUAUGGGUUCAAAUUAGUCCAUUAAAAUGAAUACCAUUGUUUUGUGAUUAAGUUGUAUGGUUAAGAGCUUAUCCUCUGUCGUCCCAGGUCCUGGGUUCGACCCUGGCUCACCCCGAGAGUUUCGUAGAACAGAUACUCAUUAUAAGGCUAUAAGCCAUAUUUGUCAAAAAAAAAGUUGUAUAGGCAAUAUGCAUUGCAAAAUCAGCAACAGAAUAUAUACUAAUUAAUUACCUGAUAUCGGUUUGAACAAAUACUUUCUAUGUAGUUGUAAUAUUAGUCUUCUUUAAAAGUUAUCAUGAGGGAAGAUAUAUAUUGUGAUGCGGGGGAAAUAUUGUAACCGAAAAUAAUUAUAAUUCUAAAAAUUUCCAUUAUACACUUUUUUUAGUGUUCGUACGUGGUAAGUACUUCAGACGACAUUUCUCGCGUAUGCCUCCAAUUAAGAAUUUGAUGUUCAGCCUAGUCCUAAACUAAAAUUAUUAUAAAUGUGUAAUUCAAAAUUAUAUUGCUGGUAGGCUCUGAGAUUAACCUUAAACAAAAACAACUCAGUGGAACGCUUUCCGAGUUUGGUUUCACUUCAUUUCCAAAUCUCAACAAUCUCAACAUAGCACGAAACAACUUUUACGGUCCAAUACCACCAGCCAUUAAGAAUUCUAUUUUAAUAUGUAACAUUCUAUUUUCUAAAAUAAUAAAUAUUUUUUUUAAUAGUUGGUCAAAAAUUAGUCAAUUUGACUUCUCAAAAAGCAGAAAGGACAUGUAAAUUGAGACGGGGGAGUAUUUAACGGAAUUCAACGAAAGGUGUGCGUAUCGUUCUUGAAAUGUAAAAAUAGGUGGUGCAAUUCGAGUUUCCAAACCUAUGGGUACAAUAUCGUUUUUAAACGUAAGCUAGGGGGUCCAAAUUACAAUUACAUGUAUAUAUAGUGACUUAACGGAGUGCAUAUAGUUAACGGAAGUUAACGGCAGGGAGUGCAUCUCGGGCUUGAAUAGUAAAGAUAAAAGGUGCGAGUUGAGUUUCUCAAAGUAUGAGUACAAUAUCGUUUUUGAAUGAUAGUUAAGGGGUGCGAUAUGCAAUUACCUCAAAAAAAUAUGAUCAUUAGUAUAUUAUAUUAGUAUCCACACACUUAUAUCUCAAAAUCUAUCCUCCAAAAUUAUCAUCUAUAUAGGCUAGCCACAUAAAAUAAAAAUUUAAAGAUAUUAGAUAUUUAGUUAUUUCAAUUAUAUAAUUUUUCCACGCAAAAUAACAAAAUAUCUUUAUCAACUUAUUAUUUAUGAGUUAAAUAUUCAACUUAUAUAAUUCGGGCAUGCUGGGUAUAAAUAGAAGUGUAACGCCUAAUUUCCGGGGUCUGGGAGUAGUUAGCGGGGUAUGAGAGAGCAGGCUAUUUAGAAGUCUUGGUCAUGAAAACUUCCAAGCUAACUUCGACAACGGAAUCUUCUGAGGCUACUAUUCUAAAGCACGCAUAAUCAUUGUAUUCAUUUUCCUCUAACACUGGCAAAAAGUCUAUUUAAGCAAAUGAAAUACAAACAACUGAGUGGAAUGCUGACCGAAAGUCUUUUUGGCUGAGCUUAUGAUUUAUUAGUACAUGAUUAAUAUGAUAAGCUAAGCUGAGAGCAUAAGAUAUCGUGUGUAUAAUUUUGUGUUUAUUAAUGACUUAUAAAUUAUUAAAAAUAUAAUAAGAAAAAUAAAAAUGAUUUAUAACUAAUUUAUGUUUUAUGAGUAAUUUUUAUUAGAAAAAAGUUUUAAAAAAUUAUUUCACUGAAAAAAAAUCCUCCAACUAACUUUUGGCUCUAAGUCAGUUUUUGAUUUAUUUAUGAUUUUAAGUCGGAUUCUGAUUUUUACACAAACAGAAAAUUUCCAGCUUAAAGUUAAAAACAACUUUAAGCUCCGGUUUUAAACCUCUGAGUUUGGUUUCACUUCAUUUACAAAUCUCAACAAUUUCACCAUCAAACACAAUGACUUCUCCAAUCUCCGGUCCAGUUCACCAGCCAUUGAGAAUUUGGCACAACUUCAAUUCCAUACCAGGUUAGUCGGCUUCGGAGGUUACACGCCUUAGACCUGUCAAAUACAAAUUUCAAUCUCCAAACUGGUCCGAUUUAUCUUCUAUGCAUUUUGUUGAGUCCGGCUCAUCUAAAACCUGAAGGUGUUAGAAGAAACCCGAAUGAAUCUUAUAUAUGAAUCUUAUAUAUGCUAUAUUUAAACAAUUCUGAGCACACUCAACCUUGGUAUUAAUAAUAUCGUGUCGAUAAUUCCAGAAUUUAUAUCUAAUUCUCAUAGCCUAACUUUCCUUGACCUUUCCAUAUAACAAAUUUACAGUUAAUCCUGUGCUUGAAUCAGUAUUUGCAACCAAAAUUAUGCAAUUAUAGUGCAGGUAGUCUUCCAGUUCUUCCUACUCUAUGCUAUAAUUUCAUUUGAUACCAAUAAUUUUACGCUCUACACUCCAGGAUGAGCUCGCAUAUUAUUGACAGCAAUAAUCCUUCCAACACUUUGUGAUGCAAAGCAGGGGGGCGCCUGUAUUUUCAUAUGUCUAUAUUAUUGGAGAUUAAAGUUGUGUGGACAAUUGUGUUGAUAAUUUGCCCAAUGUUAACAGGGAUAGGUUGGCUUAAAAAUAUAUAAGGUCACUUGUGCAUCGCUGUUCACACACUUAGACCCUGUUUGUGUAAGCUUUAAGUCCGGGCUCAAGCAAUUUCGACUUAAUCACUUCCGAGGACCAAUACCAACAGCCUUCUCAAAGAGUUGCCAGCUAAGAUAUCUAAACAUGUAUGACAAUCAGUUAGAAGGACUAUUGCCCCGAUCUUUGUCAAACUGUAAGCACUUAAAAAUUCUUGACAUCGGGAACAAUAAAAUGGGUGGUACAUUCCCUUCAUGGCUAUUUAAUCUCGGAGAGCUAGAAAUCCUAGUCUUGCGAUCAAAUAGACUGUACGGUCCUGUAAGUGGAAGGAGCACAUCACAUCCAUUCCCCAAGUUGCGGAUUCUAGAUCUCUCCAACAAACAAUUCGCGGGCUAUUUGCCAAUUCUAAACUUUAAGAAUAUGAAACCAGCUGCUGAUGAUAACGCGUAUAGUUAUAAAAAUAAGUCACAAGGACUAAUUAAUUACAUCUAUGAAGCAUCUAUCUCCUUAAAUGUGAAAGGAACAGAGUAUGAAGUGAAGAACAUUCUUCAUAUUUACACAGCCAUUGAUCUAUCGUGCAACAAAUUUCACGGAGAAGUUCCAAAGAGAGCUUAAAUGGCUUGCAUUGCUCAAUCUAUCUCAUAAUAGUCUUGCCGGACAUAUGUUCUGAAUUAUUAUUAUGCUUUCAUCAAUAUUUUCAAACAUUUCUCAAUAUGUAUUUCAAAGAAUUCUCAAGCCCUGGAACAUUUGGACCGGUCCUUUCGAAGCCAAGAUGCCCAGGUUAUCAUGGCCAUGCACAAAAAUGAAUAAAUUAUUCCAAGUCUUCCAUGACUCAUUCCAAGUCUUCGGAGGAGACCCUGAGCACAAAGAUGCUCAGGGUCUCCCCAAGCCUUCCAGGACUCAUUCCAAGUCUUCGGAGCACGGCCUCGACUCGCCCUUUCAAAGAUGUGAUAGUAGCUCGAGAGUGAUAUAAAUUAUUUUCCGGACACUAAAAAUAAAUAAUCAGAUCAAAUUAAUCAAUAAUAAAUUAAGGAUGAAAUCCAAAUUAAUCCUAAAUUUUGAUAAUAUAUAAAAAUUAUAAUUAUAAAUUAUAUAACCAAAUCAGAAUUGAAUUAACUUCCUUGGCACUAAAUUGAUAAGGAAAGUAUAAUAAUUUAAAUUUAAUUGAUGAAAAGUCAAAGUCUUCUAAUAAAUCCAUAAAGAAUAUGAUAAUCAAAAUAACGAAAAUUAUAAUUGAAAAAUCAAAAUCAUUAGUGUAUUGGAAUAGUGUUCACACACUUAUAUAUCAAAAUUUGUGGUCCAAAAACUAUAGCACAAUAUCCUAAAUACACCACAUUAAAUAUUAGUUCAAAAAUAUUCUGUAAAUAAUUGUUUUCAUUCAUCAUUUUGUUAUUUAAAAAACUAAUAAUUUGGGUUGAUGUUAACCUAUAUUUUAAUAUAUAAUUAUAUUAUUUUCGUAUUAUUUUAUUUAACUAGAAACAAUAUUUUUAUCAGACAUCAAUUAUAUUAAAAGAUAUAAUUUUAUUAAAAAAAAUUGAAUUAAAUUAAUAGGAUAACUCUACGCCUCACCAAGUCUACAAGACUCAUUUCAAGUCUACCAAGGACCACUACCUCGGUCCUCAACCAUUGGGAGAUGUGAAAGUAGCUUGAGAGUGACAAAAAUUAUUUUCCUCACAAUAAAAUUUAAUAUCUGAUAUAAAUUAAUUAAAUUAGUUAAUAAUAAAUUAAAACUAAUCAUGAAUUAUGAUAAUAAUUAAAUAAAUUAUAAUUAAAUUAUAUAAAUCAACUCCAAAUGAUACAAAUGACACUAAACCUUAGUUACUUUAUUGGUAAAUAAAUAUAAUAUAAUAAUCAAAUUGAUGAAAAAUCAAAAUCAUCUAAUAAAUUCAUAAAAAAUAUAUGAUCAUUAAUAUAUAUUAUAUUAGUAUCCACACACUUAUAUUUCAAAAUCUAUCCUCCAAACUUAUCAUCUCUGUAAACUAGCCACAUAAAAUAAAAAUUUAAAGAUAUUAGAUAUUUAGUUAUUUUCAUUAUAUAAUUUUUCCACACUAAACAACAAAAUAUCUUUAUCAAAUUAGUAUUUAUGAGUUAAAUAUUCAAGUUAUAAAUCCAGCAUGCAGCGUAUAAAUAGGAGAAACAUGGCACACUCUGCAAAGCCUUCUCACCUUCUUCUCUUUGUUUUCUUUCUCUCAUCACUUGAAUCCAUUCUUGCAACAACACGAGAAGGAGAAGCUCUUGUGAAAUGGAAGAAUAGCCUAGCCCCGUCUUCUUUUCUUGAUUCUUGGUCACUCACUCAUCUCGAUAAUCUUUGUAACUGGACUGGCAUUACUUGUAACUCUGCAGGUUCAGUCUCUGAGAUUUACCUUUAUGAGAAACAACUUGAUGGAAUGUUGUCGGAGUUUGGUUUCACUUCAUUUCCAAAUCUCAACAAUCUCACCCUCGCAUACAACUUCUUCUCCGGUCCAAUACCACCAGCCAUUGAGAAUUUAACACAGCUUCAAUAUCUUGAUUUGAGAAAUAAUUAUCUAGAUGGUCCCAUUCCUUUCCAGGUUAGCCAUCUUCAGAGCUUGCUCAUCUUAAACCUGUCAGAGAAUGCAUUGCAAGCUCCAAAUUGGUCCCAUUUCUCUCCCAUGCCUUUUUUGCGCAUCCUCAACCUCAGUCACAAUCCUCUUGCGUCGAAAUUCCCAGAUUUUAUAUCCAAUUCUCAUAGCCUGACUCACCUUAGCCUUAAUUAUAACGAGUUUACUGGUGAUUUAGCACGUGAAUCAAUAUUUGCCAAUCUGCAUAAUCUUGAAGUCCUCAGUCUUAAUGGCAAUUCUUUUGAGGGGCCAUUUCCACCAGAUAUAUUCAAGCUUUCAAGAUUAAAACGUCUCUUCCUGGCAGUUAACAAAUUUUCAGGUUCAAUUCCCAAUGACAUAAGGUUACUUUGUGAUCUUGAAUACCUAUAUUUAGGCAACAAUUCUUUUGAAGGACCGCUUCCACCAAAUUUAUUCAAGCUUUCGAAAUUAAAGCGUCUUUUUCUUUGGAGUAAUAAGUUUACAGGUUCUAUUUCCAAUGAUAUAGGUUUGCUUUCUGAACUUGAAACCCUCAAUCUUCAAUUUAAUUUUUUUGAGGGGCCGCUUCCCCCACAUAUAUUUAGGCUCUCUAAGUUAACAGGUCUAGAACUCGGAGACAAUAGAAAUUUAUUUGAAGGAAGUAAUAUUCCUAUCGGACUGGGACUCUUGACUAACCUCAGGUACUUAGAUUUACAUUUCAGUAAUCUCAGUGGCUAUAUUCCAUCUGACAUUGGAAACCUGAAGCUACUAGUACUUCUUAGUCUCGGUUCUAAUCAAUUGACUGGACCGCUUUCAAAGAUCGUUUCUAAUCUCACAAAUCUUAUAUUCCUUGAUGUAAGUGAUAAUAGUCUUAGUGGAAAUAUUCAGAGUGACUUGUGGAAAUAUAACCAUCAUCCUACUUUGGAAUACAUCGAUUUUAGUGGGAACCAUUUUACAGGUAUAUUUUUUCUCUAUAGAUCUUUUCCUUUUGUCAUAUGUAACUAAGCUAGUAAUCUGAUUAUUGCAGUUUUACCGAAGUUUCAACAAUCUUGACAGGUGAGCUUCCAACAACAAUUUGCAAUGUCACUUCCCUUUCGGUUCUUGAUUUGUCAAAUAAUGAAUUAAGUGGUGCACUUCCAAACUGUUUCGGGAAUCUUGCUGAUGGAUUGCUUUACAUUAAUCUUGCUAAUAAUCAGUUUCGAGGAACAAUACCAACUACUUUCUCCAGGAGUUGUCAGCUGACAUAUCUAAACAUGGAUAAUAAUGAGUUUGAAGGAUUGUUGCCCCCAUCUUUGGCGAACUGUAAGCACUUGAAAAUUCUUGAUAUAGGCAAUAAUAAAAUAGGUGGUACAUUUCCGUCAUGGCUUUAUGCACUUGGAGAGCUAGAAGUUCUUGUCUUGCGAUCAAAUAAACUCUAUGGUACAAUAAGUGGAAGGAGCAUAGAAGAUCCCUUCCCCAAGUUGCGGAUUGUGGAUCUGUCCAACAAUCAAUUCACAGGCCAUUUGCCAAUUCAAUACUUUAAGAAUAUGAAAUCAACUGAUAAUUUGUAUCGUUAUCAGAAUUCCACAAAAGUUUUUUCUUUCCAUUAUGAAGCAUCUGUCUCAUUAACUGUGAAGGGAACAGAGUAUGAAGUGAAAAAUAUCCUUCAUAUUUACACAGCCAUUGAUCUGUCCUGCAACAAGUUUCAAGGAGAAAUUCCUGACGUUAUUGGAGAGCUUAGAUGGCUUGCAUUGCUCAACUUAUCUCAUAAUAGUCUAACAGGACCUAUCCCAUCAUUGCUGAGAAAUAUGAAAGGACUCCAAUCUUUAGAUUUGUCUUCAAAUCAACUGACAGGGGCUAUUCCACCUCAGUUAACUGCACUGACAUUUCUAGAGGUCUUAAACCUCUCGGGAAACCAUCUUAGUGGAGGGAUUCCUCAGAAAGGACAGUUCAGCACAUUCAACAAUGAUUCUUAUCUAGGAAACUCAGCGUUAUGUGGAUCACCAUUGACGAAGAAAUGUGCAAACACAGCAUCACCUCCACAAGAAGUCGGAAAUGUUGAUGAAGAUGAUGCGGGUGAUGAAUUGACAUGGGAAGCAAUCUUGAUGGGAUAUGGAUGUGGACUGAUAUGUGGAUUGUCAUCUGCGUACAUUGUUCUCAAACUAGGAAAGCCUUGGUGGUUUGUGAGAUAUAUCGAAGUACUGCAAUUGAAGUUGAUGAAAAGAUAUGCAUGAAGAAUGGUACUAGCCGAUCAAGAUGAACUCGAAAGUUGUGGUCCUUGUGGACAUUUCUGAACCAGUAGUGUUCUAUUCUCUUUGUGGCUGCAUAAGUAUUUGGUAUUGUGUAAUGUUCUGUUUGGUCUUGAAUCAUAAUAAUUUUUCUUUCUUCAGGGGUAUUUAUAAUAUAAACCUUGGUAUUGUGUACUAGCUGUAAUAUUCUGUUUGAUCAAUGUUUAUACCAGUAAUUUUAUGCUCCGCACUGCAUCAUGCAGCUCUCAUAUUAUCUUCAUAUGUGUAUUUAUUUGGAUAUUAAAAACAUAUGGGAUAUGUGUUAACAGGGACAGCUCCCAAGUCUUGGAUAGACUCUUUCCAAGUCUUCCGAGGUCCUAUAGGUUUAAAUUAGUCCAUUAUCUGCAUACUAAUUUGUCCAACUGAAAAAUCAAGGAUAUUAUGUAUUAACUGUUUUAAUAACAAUUUACAAGUAUAAAUUUCAUAUAUUUUUUCAUAGAAUAUAAAUUAGUUGACGUACUAAAAUCACUAGUCAAAUUAAUUUAAAUAAAUAUAUUGAAAAGAUGAUAAUAAAAUUAUGGUAAUUUAUCACUACAACAAUUCUGGACAUUAAUUAUAUGUAUACUUAAAUAUAUUGAAAAGAUGAUAAUAUAGUAGAAUACAAAUGGUUAUGAUUCCGUAGUAACUACACCGUCGUAAGUUCACAUAAUUAUAUAAUUAUAGUUAUUUGAAAACGAAAAAUAAAUGAGAAAAUAUAUAGUGACCAAAUAUGAAUCAAUCUAAAAUUUUCAUUAUGGAGAUCGUAAGAAACGUGAUGAAGAACUGGAAUGAGAAUUCCUUACAAAACAUUUGGGUUAUAUUAUCAAUGAUGAAUGUUGUAUAUUAUACCUAUGAUUUCAAGUCUCAUACAAAAUUAUAUUGCUCAUAGUCUUUCGAUCAGUUCUUACUAGUGUAUGCAAUAGUUUCUCAUUCCAUACCAGUUAUUUUAUGCUCUGCACUGCCUUAUGCGCGCAGCUAUCAUAUUACUGACAGCUAACCUCCUUCCAACACUUUGCCAUGCGAAGCCUGAAGAUUAAAGUUAACAGGGAUAGGUCUUCUUCUCUCCCAAGUCUUGGACGGACUCUUUCCAAGUCUUCUGAGGACCCAUCGGCUCAGAUCCGUCCAUUAAAAAUUUAUUAUUGAUUACUUAUUAUUAUUGAUUGAUCUAAGAUUCCAAAGACAUGUUCCCGUAAUUUUCAGACUUAGCCAGUUGGUGUGGGCAGAAGUUUUAGAAAUAGUAGAUUAUGGGGAUUUUAUUUAUUCUAACCAAUUUUGAGUUAUUUAUUUUCUUCAAAAAAAUCAAUACUUAUUUUUUAUUGUUAUGCGGAAUUCCAAUAAAUAUUAAAAUAUAUAAUUUUGAUUAUUAUCAUAAAUUUAUUUAUUCAAUAAAUAUUAUUAUACUAUUAUGGAAACAUUUUAUUUUGUAAUGUAUAGUACACCCUUAUCCCACCAACAAAACUACAUCACAAACAAAUUAUAUCAUAUUUAAUUUAAUAAACUCAAAUAAUUUAAUUUAUGUAACAACUCUAUAAAAUUAGAGUGAUUGAUACUUUGCACCCCUUAUGUUUAAGCGUUUUUUCAAUUUGGUUUCAAACAAUUUUUUUGGCAGUAUGCACCCCAAAAUUUGAAAAUUGCUUCGCUUUGCACCCUUUUAAUCGCUCUCCGUUUAAUUGAUAUUGACCGUUAAAGACUUAAAGUUGACAGAUAUGGGUUUACAUUUUCAACACCACAAUUUUAAUUUUUUUUCAUGGGUAUUUUGAAAUAUUCAGACGACUGGGAUGAUUCAAGUGUCUUCAUGUUAGACAGUGCGAUAGGUCGGUCGAGGGGUUUUCAGAAACUGGGACCAAAGAUUGGCGCCAUCAGAUUGGAUUUAUAUCAUUGGAAACUCUCUGUACACCUCUAUAGAAACUGGGACCAAAGACAAGAGGGAGAAGCUCUUGUGAAAUGGAAGAAUAGCCUAGCCCCGUCUUCUUCUCUCGACUCUUGGUCCCUCACCAAUCUCGAUAAUCUUUGUAACUGGACUGGCAUUAAUUGUAACUCUGCAGGUUCAGUCUCUGAGAUUAACCUUUGUGAGAAACAACUUGAUGUAAUGCUGUCUGAGUUUGGUUUCACUUCAUUUCCAAAUCUCAACAAUCUCACCCUCGCAGCUAACUACUUCUCCGGUCCAAUACCACCAGCCAUUGAGAAUUUAACACAGCUUCAAUAUCUUGAUUUGAGAAAUAAUUAUCUAGAUGGUCCAUUCCGUUCCAGGUUAGCCAUCUUCAGAGCUUGCUCAUCUUAAACCUGUCACAGAAUGCAUUGCAAGCUCCAAAUUGGUCCGAUUUCUCUCCCAUGCCUUUCUUGCGCAUCCUCAACCUCAGUAGCAAACCUCCUGCGUCGAAAUUCCCAGAUUUUAUAUCCAGUUCUAAUAGCCUGACUCACCUUAGCCUUAAUUAUAACGAGUUUACUGGUGAUUUGGUACGUGAAUCAGUAUUUGCCGAUCUGCAUAAUCUUGAAAAGCUCAGUCUUGUUGGCAAUUCUUUCGAGGGGCCAUUUCCGCCAGAUAUAUUCAGGCUUUCCAAAUUAAAACAUCUUAGCCUGUCAGAUAACAAACUUUCAGGUUCAAUUCCCAAUGACAUAGGGUUGCUUUUUGAUCUUGAAUACCUAUAUUUAGCCAACAAUUCCUUUGAAGGACCGCUUCCACCAAAAAUAUUCAAGCUUUCAAAAUUAAAAAAUCUUGUUAUUUGGGGUAAUAAGUUUUCAGGUUCUGUUUCCAACGAUAUAGGUUUGCUUUCUGAGCUUGAAAGCCUCUAUCUUGACUCCAAUUUUUUUGAGGGGCCGCUUCCGUCAAAUAUAUUCAAGCUCUCCAAAUUAAGGAUUCUUUUCCUUUGGCAUAAUAACUUUUCAGGUUCUAUUUCUAAGGAUAUAGGUUUGCUUUCUGGACUUGAAACCCUCUAUCUUGACUCUACUUUUUUUGAGGGUCCGCUUCCCCCACAUAUAUUCAAGCUUUCCAAAUUAACAAGUCUUGACCUCGCAUACAAUAGAAAUUUAUUUGAAGGAAGUAUUCCUAUUGGACUGGGACUCUUGACUAACCUCAGAUACUUGAGUCUAUCUUCCACUAAUCUCGGUGGCUAUAUUCCAUCUGAAAUUGGAAACCUGAAGCUACUAGAAGUUCUUGAACUCAGUUCUAAUCAAUUGAAUGGACCGCUUUCAAAGAUCAUUUCUAAUCUCACAAAUCUCACAGUUCUUGAUGUAAAUGAUAAUAGUCUUCGUGGAAAUAUUCAGAGUGACUUGUGGAAAUAUGACGAUCAUCCAACUUUGGAAUACAUCGAUUUAAGUGGGAACCAUUUUACGGGUAUAGUUUUUCUCUAUAGAUCUUUUCCUAAUCUCAUAUGUAACUAAGCUAGUAAUCUGAUUAUUGCAGUUUCACCAAAGUUUCAACAAUCUUGACAGGUGAGCUUCCAACAACAAUUUGCAAUGUCACUUCCCUUUUGGUUCUUGAUUUGUCAAAUAAUGAAUUAAUUAGUGGUGCACUUCCAAACUGUUUCGGGAAUCUUGCUGAUAGAUUGCUUUUCAUUAAUCUUGCUAAUAAUCAGUUUCUCCAGGAGUUGUCAGCUGACAUAUCUAAACAUGGAUAAUAAUGAGUUUGAAGGAUUGUUACCCCCAUCUUUGGCGAACUGUAAGCACUUCAAAAUUCUUGAUAUUGGCAAUAAUAAAAUAGGUGGUGCAUUUCCGUCAUGGCUUUAUGUACUUGGAGAGCUGGAAGUCCUUGUCUUGCGAUCAAAUAAACUCUAUGGUACAAUAAGUGGAAGGAGCAUAGAAGAUCCCUUCCCCAAGUUGCGGAUUGUGGAUCUGUCCAACAAUCAAUUCACAGGCCAUUUGCCAAUUCAAUACUUUAAGAAUAUGAAAUCAACUGAUAAUUUGUAUCGUUAUCAGAAUGACACAGGAGAUAUUUCUUUCCAUUAUGAAGCAUCUGUCUCAUUAACUGUGAAGGGAACAGAGUAUGAAGUGAAAAAUAUCCUUCAUAUUUACACAGCCAUUGAUCUGUCCUGCAACAAGUUUCAAGGAGAAAUUCCUGACGUUAUUGGAGAGCUUAGAUGGCUUGCAUUGCUCAACUUAUCUCAUAAUAGUCUAACAGGACCUAUCCCUUCGUUGCUGAGAAAUAUGAAAGGACUCCAAUCUUUAGAUUUGUCUUCAAAUCAACUGACAGGGGCUAUUCCACCUCAAUUAACUGCAUUGACAUUUCUAGAGGUCUUGAACCUCUCGGGAAACCAUCUUAGUGGAGAGAUUCCUCAGAAAGGGCAGUUCAGCACAUUUACAAAUGAUUCUUAUCUAGGAAACUCCGCGUUAUGUGGAUUACCUUUGACGAAGAAAUGUGCAAACACAGCAUCACCUCCACAAGAAGUCGGAAAUGGUGAUGAAGAUGAUGCUUGUGAUGAAUUGACAUGGGAAGCAAU